rnacentral:lncRNA from 1 species
UCAAUUUUUCUAAAUUUCAAUUGGAAGUUAACCUUGUUUGUGGCAGUCUCGAGAAGUUAAACCUUUUACAAAAGGUUUAAGAUCCAGUAAUCCUGUGUACACUUCCAUAUUUUCCAUCAUUUUAGUCACUUCAGAUAUUGUUAGCAUCCAAGUGCUCUUGGGUUUGUAAACCAGAAAUUUCAAUUCAAACUGAAGCUUUUGAUAGUGAUAUCAGCGCCAUUGACGCUGGUGAUUUUGUUCUCAAAUCAAGUUACUAGCCUUUUGAUUGUUUCAGUUUUCUGAACCCAAAGUCUUUGUGCUCUAAAUUCAGUUCUUGGCCAUGUAAUCUUGUCAUGCUUAGAUAUCUAUAUCUAGUGUCCUGCCAGCUUAAUUUUGGUGCGUAAGUAUCAGUUAUUAAAAGUUACUAAAUGAUAUUAAAUCUUAGGUUGCUAUUUUUGUUAGUGGUUAAACAUUCAAAGGCAUUAAUCACUUAAUCCUAAAUGAAUUUAUUUAACUUGUGUGAAGUUGAAAUUAUUAUAUUUGGACAAAUAAUGUAUUAUAUUAUUUUUUACUUUUAUACUGUUUUAAUUUAUUUUUGAUUUGGUUUGGGAUUAUUUAUUUAAAUUUUUAUUAUUUGAUUAUGUAAUUAGUAUUGUGCAAAAUUGGUUUUAUUAGAAAUUACAGUGGUAAAUUAAUAAAUUAAAAUUAAGUUUCGGGUCAUUCGGGUCGACUCGUCAACCCACCGACCUGAAAUUUUUGGGUUCGAGUCAGAUAUCCUGACCUGUUUCGGGUUAGCAAGUCAGGUUCGGGUCAAUAAAUUUUCUAUUAUACCCGGUCUCAACCCGACCCGCCAAUCCGAUUUGGACUCAAUUGCCACCCCUAAUUAUAUUGGUAAAAAAAAGACAUAUUUUACAAAUUAUUCCAAUUUAUUUAGAAAAUGUUACUAAUUUCAUUACAAAUUAUGAAAUGUAAUCAUGGUUUACUAAGUUUUUACUAAACAUAAAUACUGCAUACAAAAGGAAAAGAUAUUUGACUUUGUUUUACUUUGAUUAGAAAAACUUGUGGUAGUAAUAACGAAAUAGUGAUAGUGAUGCAAAUUUCAAAUCAACAACCAACGUACACUUAAUUACGGUAAUUUUUUAGUUGAUUUGACUAAUAUAUGCCAUAAAGUAGUAAGAUUUGAUCAUUUAUAAAUUGACAAUUUUAGCAGUUUAUAUACCAUUCACUAUAAAAAUUAUGGUUAUUAUAAAAUGACACUUUAUAAUAAUUUACAUACUAUUUGGCAAUUAAAAGUAAGUUUGAUAAAAAAAAUGUGCAUAUAAAUCCAUAUUGUGAAUGAUACAAAAUAUAUUUGAAACUCACGAAACUUAAUAGAUAGGUAAAUUUACUAUAAUUUUAAAAGAUUACGCUACAUUAGUACAACUUUACCUUUUAUACUUGUGACCUAGAAAAUAAAUUUAUUAAAACACAUAACAUUUAUAAAUGAUACAUACAUUUAUUAAAAUGCUUAAAACACAAAACAUUUAUGAAUGAAACAUACAAUCAUGUAUUAUACAUUUAUGUUACCAACAACUACUAACUAUAAUAUUAAGUUUCAAUCAUUAAUAAAAAAAUCUUAACACUAUUUUAAAUAAACUUCCUAAUACUUGUUUCAUAUAAGUUUCUUUAAGUAAAAUAGUAAAUUUAUGCCACAAACUAGUAAGUUUUGAUGAUUAACCAAAUUUACUAUUCUAUCAACAAGAUUUACCAUUAAUCUAUAAAAAUUUACUAUUACUCGAACUAAACUUACUCUCAAAAAACUAAGUUUCGAAUAUAGAGUAGUAAUUUAUUUUUUUAAAAAAAGUAACUUUCAUUUUUAUUUCAAUUUACUUUAUGAGACAUAAAUAGGAUAACACUUAUAUGACCAUUUUUUAUUUAUUUUUGAUUUACUUUGAACGGCCAUUUGAUUAUUUGAUAGGCCUAUCCACCUAAAUAGGAUAACACUUAAAAAUAAGAAAGUAAGUUUCCCAUCUAAAAUAGUAAGUUAACAGUAAUAAAUUAGUAACUUUUAUACUUCAAAAUAAAAAUUGGAAUAAAUAUUAAACUUACUUUUUAAAUAAAUAAAUUACUACUUUAUAUCCCAAACUUACUUUUUAGAGUGUAAGUUUAACUCAAGUAAUAGUAAGUUUUUAUACAUAAAUAGUAAUUCUUACUGAUAACAUGGUAAAAUUGAUUAAUAAUCAAAACUUACUGAUUUAUGGGACACAUGUACUAUUUUACUUUAAAACAUAUUUCAAACUAGUAUUAGGAAAUUUAUUUGAAAUAACGAUAAGAUGUUUUAUUAAUGAUUAAUUCUUAGUAUCUUAGUUAGUAAGUACUCAUAAUAUAUCUGUAUAAUACAUGAUUAUAGUUAUCAUUUAAAAAAAAUUUAUUUACAUAUUUUAAAAUACUAUGAAAAAUAGUUUGACUUUUCACAUAAUCUUGUAAAAUAUGUAAUAAAAUUUUGUCGUAUUAUAAGUUUUUAAUCAUUUUCAAUUUUUGAAAAGUUUGAAAGUUUGGAUAACAAUAACAACAAAUCUUCCUAGAUAUAUAUAGAAUAUUACUUGUUUAUAUAUCAAAAUUUUUAUAAAUUAACACCUAUGAAUAUAAUAAGAUGAUAAAGUUUUAAUAAAUUUACAUCUGAGACACAAGAAAUAAUAAGAGUAAAGGCCUAAACAAAAUGAGAAAUAAUAUAAUAAUAAAAAUGAUAAAAUUAGUAUAACAAUUAAUAUAAGAAAAUCAGUAUGAUCUGGAUUUUUUUCCUUAGGAGAUUGUUCAUAAGAAUAGGAUCCAAUAAUUAUAAAUGAAAAUCACAUGCAUAUAUAAUCUAUUGUAUAAUUUAAAUUAAAUUUAGUUCAUGUAUAAAAUGGUCCUAAAAUAAUUAGUACACUAUGAUACAAUGUUAUUUUAACAACAAAAUUUUUUUUUACUAAAAGUCUGAAAUAUCCAUGACAUACGUAUGAGGGAUAUUUUACCAUAUUUGUAUCUCAUAUCUAAUCAUGAAAGUUAAUUUGAGAAAAAAUAUUUUUCACAAUAGAAUUAUUUUGAAUUUAGUCAACAAUUUGAGAUUUUUUAAACAAUAAAAGUAGUCAGAUUUAGUCAAUUGUGAAUUCAUAAUUUUAACAGUUUACAUAAAAUUCAUCUAUAAAAAAUUAUAAUUAUUAUAAAAUGACCUUUUAUAAUAAUUCACUUACCAUUUGCCAAUAAAAAAAGGAGUUUAAUAGAAAACAUAUGGAUACAAAUCCAUAAUGUAAAUGAUACAAAGUAUGUUUGAAAGUCACAGAACUUAACAUAUGGGUAAUUUUACUAUAAUUUUCAAAGAUUAUGCUAUGUUAAUACAACUUUAAUUUUUAUACUUGUGACCCAGAAAAUAAAAGGGAGUGUUUGGAUACAAAACUUAUCCCAAAUAAUAUUUCGCUUGCAUCAUAAACAUAUUUUCCAACCCACUUUUUUAUCUCACAUACAUCACAUCACAAAAAGUGCUACAGUAAUUAUUCCAAAUAAUAUUUCAAAUAAUACCCUAUCCAAACAAACAAAAAUUUAUUAAGACUUUACCAUUUUAUAAAAUUCAUAGGCAUUAAUAUAUGAAAAUUGCGUACCAUUUUAUUAUAUUCAUAGGUGUCCAUAUAUGGAAAUUGUGAUGUACAUAUAAGUGCAAUUCUAUAUAUAACUCGAAAGAUUUGUUGUUACUAUCAUCCAAACUUUCUAACCUUUCAAAAAUUCAAAAAUAAUUCAAAAUUUAUAAUAUGACAAAUUAUUCUUACAUAUUUUAUGACGUCAUAUGCAAAAAAAAAAAAAAAAGUUUUCAUAGUAUAUUUAAAAUGUUUAAAACAUAUAACAUUUAUAAAUGAUACGUACAAUUGUGUAUCAUACAUUUACAUUACGAGCAAUUACUAACUACAAUAAUAAGCUUCAAUUAUUAAUAAAAAAUCUUAGCAUUAUUUCAAAUAAAUUUCCUAAUACUUGUUUCAUAUAAGUUUCUUUAAGUAAAAUAGUUAAUUUAUGCCACAAACUAGUAAGUUUUGAUGAUUAACCAAAUUUACUAUUCUAUCAACAAUAUUUACUAUUAAUCUAUAAAAACUUACUAUUAUUUGAACUAAACUUACUCUCCAAAAAGUAAGUUUCAGAUAUAGUGUAGUUAUUUACUUCAAAAAAAAAGUAAGUUCCAUAUUUAUUCAAAUUUACUUUUUGAGACAUAAAAGUUACUAAUUUCUUGAGUUAACUUACUAUUUUUAAUGUAAAACUUACUAACCAUAUUUUUAGGUACUAUUUUAUUUAGAUGAUCAGUACAACAUGUAAUCAAAUGGUCGCUAAAAGUGUUUUUACCUGUUAUAUCAGGUAAAAACAGUUUCGUUACCAUAACGAUCGUUACUUCAGACUUUUCCUAAAGCAGUGUAAUUGUAAAAUUUGUUAAAUCGUACAACUAAAUAUAUUCAUCGUCCCAUUACAAAACCAUUAUAGCAUGGGCUUUUCCAUGUAUAACUUAAUCGCCGCCCUUUGCUUCCUAAAGCAUUUCUCCACCGCGUAAGGGCAUCUUGAUAGCAAACAAAGGAUAACUUCUUCCUUAAGUCAUCUCAAAAUUUGCCCAAUUUCUGCGCCUCCCUUAUCCGGUUAUCCAUCCCCAUGCACAUAUAAAAAGUUCCUUAAACUCCUCUUUAGCUCUCCAUUCAUCAGAACCCGUCAGAAUUUGGUCAACCCAAAAAGCAAGAAAGGCCGUUUUUUUUUUUUUUUUUUCUUUCUCUUCCUUCCUUCUAUUUCUAGUUUCUUCUUCAAUUCCAAUUACUAUAUUAUAUCCAGAGGAAUGGUGAAGCUGACCAUAAUUGGGAGGGUGAGUGAUGGGUUGCCUCUUGCGCAAGGCCCAAGGUACGUUAACGAAGAAGAGAAUGACAGCUUCUCAACGUACAAGCAACAAGGAGAGUUCAUUCUCGAGGAAAUCUCAAGAGCUGCCCUCCCCCUUUCCAAUACCAACAUUCGCAUUGAUCACCAUUGCUUCUAGUACGUAUCCUUCUCUUCUCUGCAUUUUCCCUCUUUUUGGGUGUUACUUUAAUUAUAUAUAAGCAACCCAAUUGCCUUUCUUCCCCAAAAGUAUUCGCUCUUUUUCAGCUUCAUUCUGACAAUUUAACUGGUUCUCUGUCACAAGGGCUGAGGUAAAAAUGAAAGAACUAAAUGGACAUAAACACUGCAGAUUUGAAUUCUUUUUGUUUCUUAAAGAACUUCACGAUUACAUUUUCAGAAGGAUUUGAUUCGGGUUUUCUAGUGUGUAGUAGAUAUUUUCUGCAGUGUUUCUCAUGACAAACUAGAUUGCACAUCAGAGUGUUUUGCCAGUAGUAUUAGUUGGUCAUUCAAAUAUAGCACGGAGCAACUCUUAUUGGUAUUUUGAUCUGAGGCAGCUAUAUAGUGGGGCAUGGAGUUUGUUUCAUGACCCUUUGCGAUUCAUCGUAUCCGCGGAAACUGGUACACUGCUAUCUGCAGGAGUUGGCUAAAGAAUUUGAGAAGUUUGAUACCAGCCUUGUAGAAAGAAUAACAAAACCAUACAGCUUCAUUAGAUUUGGUAAUCUCCAGCAGAUUCCAUUUUGUUUAAAGUUUCUUAGACAUUUCAGGGCACAAUGAAUCCUAUUCAUUUGCUUCCCUGAAGAAUAAAAGAAAUUGAGCUAAAGUUGAUGGAUGACUUGUUCCGUCUCUGCAUGCUGUUGCUAGCAGGUAGUAUUAUUGGAAAUAUUAGAAGGCAGUACGUGGAUACUAGGACGCAGACAAAUUUGUCAAAGCUGAAUGCUAAAUCUCUGCAAAAUGUGGAUUUCGUGACAGAGGACUUCUCGCAGAUAGUGAAAAGAAGGAAAAGAUCCUGUAAGAUUUUUAUUGAAUAUGUUCUCUCCUCUCCUAUUCAUUUGCAUUCAAAAUGGAUUAUUUACCAUUAGCUGCGAUGAUUUUCUGUAUUAUCAGACCUGCUAGAAAGAGCAACGGAAUCAUCAGAACAGGUUUCACAAAUCUGGGGUUCUAAAAAACUUGAGGUAUGGAUAUAAUCUCCAAUAGAACAAAAACAAAGAAUAGAAAAGAAACGAAUUUUUAAUAAGACCGUGGUGUAAGAAGCUUGUCAUGUUGGACAGAGCUAUACUUAUUACUUGGGACACUCAUACUCCGGGUUCUAAAAUCCACAGGUCAUUGCACUGAAAUGGACGCCAAUUACGAUUCUCUCUUUUGUUGGUGCAAUUCUUUUAUGGACCAGCCUAAUUGCCAGAGACGACCAGGGAGUGUAUGGAUACUAGGAGUGCUAACAUGAGGUAUUCCUUUUAAAUGCUUAUUUGCCUUGAAUUCAAGAUCUUUCAUUACUAUUGAUUUUGUCUACGACCAUAUUCUGAUGAAUAAAACCCAUUGGGUUUGAUCCUUGAUCAGGCAAGUAUAAAGCUUUGGGGGAUUGCAGUUGAAGACAAUAUCAUGAUUUGUGUAACUUGUACCCCGUGAUGGCUCCUCAUACUGCCAUGUUUGUGUAUAGAAGCGUAUUCUUUUCUCUUACUUACCCAACGAACACUGAUGGAAGUAUUAACAAAUGCAUAAAGCAGUAUGUCUUGAGUGAGCAUUGCCCCUUAAGACAUUUACCCUGAAGUCCUCUCAUAUUAACUUUGUUGUAUAUACUAUAUAAUAGAUUCUGUAUUAGCAAUCUGCAAUUGCAGAUUUAGCAACUUAGAGUAUCUGUUUACAGUUUCGGUGAUUAAUGAAGUUGUACACUUAUUAGCCAUAAUAACAACCUGAACACCAAAUGAGAUCAGUCAGGUCUAUUGUCAGUCUGAUGCCUUUCCAAAUUCCAACAGUAGAGCAACUAGUACACCUGUAACAAGGUGUAGGGUUGCAAAAGAGUUGAAGCGAGUCGAGUUUUGGCCGAAUCAAAUUAAGUUUCGACUUAAUUUUAUCGAGUUCGAGCUCGAUGAGCUCUUAAUGUAAAGCUCGAACUCAAACUCAAGUCAAAUUUGAGUCGAGUAGAGCUCAAACUCGAGCUUAAAAAAUAAAAAUAAUUUUAGAUACAUAUAUAUAAUCGAAUCGGCUCACAAGCUAAUGAAAUGAGUAUCUUUGAAUUUGAGUUCGAGUUGAGCCUUAACUCGAACUACUCCCGAGCAGCUCGACUCAUGUAUAGCCUAACAAGGUGCAGUGCAAAGCAUUUACCUAAAAUUUUUCUGCAUAUUAGCGUGUAAUUGUGAAGUGACAAGCUUAAUACUCCGUGCUGCUGCUGGAUUUUGGGAGUAAUGUGUCAGUUUUCUUUUACUGCUGUGGGUAUUAGGCCAAGAAUUGAGAAGAAUAUUUGGAGUAAAGGCUCAUUUAUUGGAUUCAUUUCUCUCAUAUUUAUUUGGUACUUACAAGAGCCAUUAAUAGUUAUGAGUACAUCAUUCUAGAUUCAUUGGAAUUCUAGACAACUACCUCGUCAACUAAUUAUUUAAUUAAGCACCUUACUCAACAUUUUUGGAUCCAAAUUUAGCUGCUGCUUUGGAGACCAGCUUUUUGUUUCCGUCCAGGAAAUUAUUCUUCGCCACUUUGUAUCAGGAGUGUCUCUGUAUGAAUGAUAGGAAAGCGAGUUUGAAAUUAGUGCGUAGAAAAUUUAUUUGUACAUGUACAACAAUUACAAGAAAAUGUUCUUAUGGAAAGCAAAUUCGUGGGAACAAAAACUACCAAUUGGAGCUAUUUCAUGUUCCUAACUGUCGGCCAAAUGAUGAAUCCUUAAUCUUUUUAUUGUUUUUCUUGCUUCUGUGCAUGCAGACUAAAUUGCUAAACGAAAGUUCAUGUGCUGCUGUAUUCUUUCCCCAGAGCAGCUCCCGGAUUACCAAACAUCACCUCACAAAUAUAGGUCAUCACUGGUCAGACUGAAACGCCCAUUUAUAAAAUCAACAAAGCUGUUUUCUAGAAUUUGGUCCUCAAACUUGAGAGCUGGCGGCAGGAUGUCGUCCACGGCGCCAUUACUUAGCCCCUGGUGAUUUCCCCCGCCAAAUGUUCCUUCGUUGAGCAAUAAGUCAUGCAUGAAAGAAUCUUGAAAGUCGGAAUUGUAGUAAACCAAAUUAUUCUUGGCAACCACUGGAUUUCCUGAACUCUCACAGUUCUGGUCUCGAAAUUGAUCUAAUGAAAGCCACUCGGCGAAUAGUACCCUGGGCAAGUUGCUUCUGCAAGCUUCUCUUGGAAGGUCCAUCUGAGACUGAGAAACAGAUUGUUCUGCGUCUGACAUCAAUGAGCUCUCCAAUUGUUCAAUUGAUUCGAUGGUAGAAGUUGGGGGAUUUGACUGCAUCGAGGAAGGUGAAGAUUCCAAACAACUUGCCGAACUUGACUUCUCUGCUUUGGCCUGAGCUUCAGUUUCACCUAUUUUGGCCACUUUUUUCUUCAGAUAAGAGUGCCAGUAGUUUUUUAUCUCGUUAUCUGUUCUUCCAGGCAAAUGCUGUGCCAUCUGUGCCCACCUGAAAAAUACAGAUCCGAAUAGAAUGAAUAGAAAAUUCUUCAAUGUUUCACUCUGCACUACUCAAAACCACGGCUAAAUCAUAUGCUAAUCAUCUAGUCAUGUUAGUAAAAAAUAACUAUAUCUAGACAUCAAUGAAAAGGAAAAAUGAAUAAGAAACAAAAUCAUGAACAUUUUUACUUUGUAUUUUUCCCAAACAAUUUUCAAAGAGAAAAACAAAUGAAAUCAUUUUUUAAGAUUACUAAAGAAUAAUAAUGAGAUAGGAAACAAAGACAGGAUGAAAGAAAAAUAAAAACAAAGGUGAAACUAAAAAAAAAAUGCUCCAAACGCCCAACGUUGAGGCAUACACCCCGUAGCAGCAUGGAGCAAACACCCGACAACACUUAUACCCCAUUCAAUCGCUCCAGGACAUUUGAGAUUCGUCCUGCCCUAGGACUCGCCCAGAAACCACCUUAAGAACACUGCUUCCUACCCAAAAAAAAAUUGUAUUUGUACUAUCCUUGUGAAAUCCUUCCUUCUCAGACAUAUUGUUACAUGAUGCAAGAAUACGAAGUAGCAUACGUGAUUAAAUUAUAUGAGCAGUUGGGGCCUGUCAGAAAUAGAAUGCUAAUGGAAUCAACUUUAUUCUAUCCAAGACAGAAAGAAAAAAACUGUAGAACUAAUCAAUUUCAAUCAGUUAUGCUGCCAAGUAGGUGAAAAUGUGCUAGUAAUAUAUACUUGGUAGUAUAACAAUGUUAUCACUUGAAUGUUCAGAAGUCAACCACAAUCUAACUAACACCGUAAACAUAGACACACUAAUUUAGGUCAGUACCUAUCUCGUCUAGCAUGCAGAAAGGAAAUAGUUUGUUAAAAUCAGGGGCAUCCAGGAGAUGACAAAAGCAUGCAAAAGUAAUUAGCUUCUUACUUGUUGCCGAGCAUGCCAUGGAGGGUCAGAAUUGCUUCCUCCUCUUCUACGCUAAACAUUCCUCGCUUCAGUCCAGGCCUAAGAUAAUUAAUCCACCUUAACCUGCAGCUCUUUCCAUUCCUUUGCAGACCUGCAAGUAAGAGAGAAAAGCACCAAGUCAACCAUCGUGCCCACUAAUGUUGGUUGAAAUAAUAAUAUGGAACGUGUCAUCCGUCAAUCUCUUUCACUUGAACAUCUCGUAUAUUAACGGAAAAUUCCCUCGUCUUUUGACUUGUAGCUGUGAGAACACAGUUUUCAAUACUUGCACUUUUAAAUUAAUACCCAAUAUAGUGGCCAAAAUCAAACUCAUUAAUCUGGAGAGUAAUCAGCCAAUGGCUCUAAAACCUCGCUAUGGUCAACUUACUAAACUGGAGCGGCCGCUAGUAAUGUAAUAAUAUCGAGGUAAACCAUGACUGCUUACCAGCAAUUUGAUUUUUUUUUUAAUAUAGAAAGGGUUUUUCUUGCUAAGAUAACAGCAUUAACCAGUGCAAUCAAAGGCUAAUAAGCGCCUUUUGACAAUGUUUAAGGUCAUCAAUAAACCUGUACUCUAUGCCAUGGAGAGAAGCUUGCUCCAUUUUUUCCCGGCACUACUUAACAUGCAGAUAUAGUUAUACGCUAUUAACAUGGAGCCUACAUUGACGUCGUACAGACCAGGUUAACGUGAGAUACAAAAUUUACAUGCUGGAAAUGAUUAGAAUAGGACGAGAAUUAAACAUGUGAGAGCUAGUAUUGAAUGCGGGCUUCAUGGUUGCCGGGACGUACAAUAAGCGAGAGGAGAAAAGUGGGCGGCAGAGGAGGAUAAGGAUAUUGGUGAGUUAAAAACUAACCAGCAUUGACGGCGACGGAGCUCCAGCAGCCGUGGCCGUGUUUGAGGAUGUAGCUUUUGAGCUUCAAGUCUUCGUCUGGAGACCAUAACCCUUUCUUGUGCUUCUGCUUUGGUUUGUCUGCAUGUUUACACACCAUUUUCCUUUCUCCUCAACUUCGAGGGAUACGAAGAUGAUGGAGAUCAGGUCGUAUCUCCAAUUCUGCUACUUUAACAAGCUUGAUUCUCUGCGACGUGAGGGAGGGAAGAGACUAGAGAGAGACGCAAGAGAAAUUGGAAGCUUGGUGCUGAGGUUAGCAGACCUACAGGAUGCUUUGGAAUUUAAAGGGGUGUGAUGGGGAUUAGGUGAAGAUUUCAAUAAAAACACCCCUCAUGUUUACAGCAACUGAGAUUUUUCUCAAUAUAUUUUUCUUCUUUAAUUUGUUUUUUUUCUUUUCGGGUGGUGGGGAUGUGAGAUUGUUGUGGAAUUAAUUAAGUUGCGGGCCGAGUUUUUAACCCUUUUUUUUAUUUAAUCGUAGUACUUGACUGGUCGAUUUGCUUUGCUUGUAGACUUGUACACUAGUAAAGAUAUCUGCCUUAGAAAAGAUCAUAUUGUAAUGAUUUUUUUUUUGCCUAUUACAAAAAUGUCUUUUUUGUUUUUUUUUUUGGUUGCCCGCCCGGUAUCCGAAGCUUUGUCCCGACUAAUCCGGACCCGACCCGCGUCGCGCACUGGCUAUGGUGGGAGAGUCUCCCAACAGGAGUGUCUGCAUACACUAGGACUCGAACACGAGACCUACUUAAGAAGAAUCUGAGCCGCUUACCACUCGGACCAACCCCUGUUGGUAAUGUCUUUUUUGUUUGCCAAACCUUUGCAAAGCCACAGGGAAAAUUUACGGUUACUUCCAAAUUACCACUGACCAAUCUAUUAGCAGGACGAGUUACUGUAUCCGGCAUUGUGACCGACUGAAUCCUUGACCUGUAAAUUUUGUCACAAAAUAAUUAAGCCAGUUAUUCGUGACUUAGCUAAAAGAGUAGGUUUGCAUGCCAUUAUAAAAGAAGGAAGGAUCGCGACAGCAUGAUCCAAAAUUAUAUAGAGGCAUGCUCAUGCUCUUUCUUCCUCCGCUAGGAUUCGGGGACCAAAACCAACAAGUAGAACAAAACAAACGAACGAAGAAAGAGGAGGCGAGAGAGAGAAACAACAAAAUAAAAAUAAAGAUAAAAGAACUGGAAACAUAAUAGUCAGUCCAUUCCAAUAUACAUUUGUAUAUAUUCAACCGGGAGCCGUGUCAUUAAGCAGGCUUCAACCUACUUCGUAGACGCCACACCAGUUACGUAUAUCUGUUUCAACCCAUUCCUUUUAAUCUCGGGGUCCCAUUCAUUUUUUAAUUUCACCCUUGUUAGGGAGAAAGAUUUCGAGAGAGUUCAAAAACUUAUUAAACCAUUAGGUCUCGAACUCUUACUUACAUAUCAAUAAUUGUUCUUUCUCUGUAUCCCGAACUAAUGUGGAAUAUAAUCCUUACUCAUGAAUCUAACAAUCCUCACGACCCAAAGCGUGAAACACAGUAGGGAAACAUUUGCGCUUCAUAUUACUGUAACCUAACUUGUAAAUGCACUAGGUAGUGGGACUAAUUUAAUCUUUUAAAAUAGCUAGCUUGCUCCUAAUUUAUCAUCAUCCAGUCAUUAGUGUACCAAAAUACAAAACCAACUAACUAGUCGUAUUCUUUUUGAACUUGUUAGCAGUGCAGCAUCUCAGUCUGGGGAUUAACUUGAGUGGCAUCAGCUGGCGUCUUUAUCCGCUUGUAAUUCUUAUUAAGUAAUCGUAGCCUGUCUCCUUUUCAACAUUAUUUUAAUUCUUAAUAAGUAGUAAUCAUUAAGUUGUCUCUUUUGUGAUUCUUAUUCAGAAAUCAAAUCAUGCACGGUCUUAGACGACGUAUAUAGUGACGAAAAUUACGCACGGGAGCCAACCAGAUGGAUCGAUAUUCUUGUGAUUUUUUUUUUUUUUUUGGCUUUUCAAUCUGAAAUUAUACCAGUUGGACAUGUACAAGUAACAAAUGGGGGUCAUUUUUUGCGUCUCUUACUCUCUUAAGUAAGUUACGUAAACUUAUCAUGAAAAUAUAGUGGCGGAAUUUAUUGUAGUUGAUGAACAAUCACCUUUAUUUGAUGAAACUGCAUUGAUAUUCGCUAAGUCUUAUGAUUUAUUUAUAUAUUUGCAAGGUCUUAUGUUGUAUGUUCAUUAACUUUUUUUUUAUAACAAAACAUUUUCAUUAACGAAUUACUGGAAAUCGUCCAAUACUAUUGAUAUACAUCAUUGCCCUAAUAGCAAAUAAAACAUACACUAAAAUUAUAGAUCUACAAUUUAAUAGAUACAAAAGACCUGAAAAAUUAAAAACAUAUCUAAAAAGUACCAUCAAUUUUAAAAACAUCUCCUCAUAGAAUAAAUUGCUGCAAACCACUCUAUGUAUGUUACAAUCAUCAGAUCUGCUAAUCAACAAUUGUAAGUUCCAAUAAAGAUGAUGAAAUCUGCUGACAUAUAUCCAAAUCUAAAAUGAAUUCAAAUCUGACAACCAGAUUUGAAGUAAAUUCAAAUUUAAACAACAAAACAAAGAAAAAUAACACAAAAUCUCAUUAGGAACUCUUAGGAGAACAAAAAUUCUCACUAGAAACCCUAAAAGAAAUAGAGAUCUCCUACUAAAAAUUAGGAGAGACUUUAUUAGGAAAAUAACAAAAACGAAAUCUAUGAGAGGGAGACCACGGAGACCACAGUGAUCUCCCUGCCGAAGAGAAAGGGAUUCAAAAAAAAAAGAGUAGUAGAGAGAAGUUGGAGAAGAGGUACAGUAGAGAGAAGUUGUUGUACAUUCAUUAACUGGAUAUCAAUUUCCAGUGAUUUUUUUUUUACUUGUAACUUCGAAAGACAUCUUAAAGUUGGAUUACCGUGCAAUAAAAAAUGUAGGGAUGCAGUAGAAUAUGAAAGUUACCUUCAUGGAUACUAUUAUUUUACCCGUGCUUGUCAUGCGUUUAUAUUCUUUUCGUGCUAAUCAUAGGUUUUACGAAGUUAUUUUUCUUUAAGAAAAAUAUUUUUUUGAGAGCUCAAUUAUGUAUAUAUAAUGAAAAUCAGAUUUGAUGAUUCUGAUUUAACGCUAAUCAAAAACUAUUUAGCACCAUGUCAACUUGAUGCUUUCAGGCUAACGGCAGAAUCCUGGCAACAAGUACUUGGUAUAUAUGAUUCAUAGGAUCGAGCAACCAGGAGCUAAUGAUUCGAUUAAACUAAUGGUUGCAUUAGCAAUUAUAAUUUCGUCUUCUGACUAAAAUCUUGGCUCAAAAGAUUUGGUAACAAUAAUCGAAUGUUAGGAGGUAACUUGUUGAGAUGGACAUAGGGUCUAAUACGUACUCUUAUUAAUGCGUUGUCAAUCAUUAUUGCACCCUUUUAAAAUGGCAAAGCAAAGAUGACAACUGUUUUUUUAAAAAACAUAUUGACAGAGUGUAAAAUCAAGUUUUAUAUAUAUAUACCUAAUUAAUGGAAUUCUUUUUUCCUUCGUCUUCGUUUAAGAAGAGAAGGACGCAGAAAUUAAGUGAAAAACCUGUUGGAAAAAUUUUUGGGACGGAUCGUUAAGGGAAUGUCAACCCAAAUCCUCCAAUUGUCUCUUUGGAUUAAUAACGUGGAGAAUAUACAAAGGCUGCCCAGUUGGAGUAAUUUGAGUACCAAAGUCGUUUAAUACAACAAUUAUUAUUAUCUGCACUGGGUUAAAUUCAAAACCCCCCCAACCACUCCCCGCCACCUCCAAAUUAAGAAAGGGAAAAGAAAAAAGAGAGAGAGAGUGGAAAAAGCUUUUAUUUUUUUUAAUAUAAAACACGUGCCAAAAGUAUUUGAAAUCGAAAGUCGUCAAUCAAAGUGAACAUCCUAUCCUCCACAUCUAGCUUAGGUGCGUUGGUGUGGUUUUUGGGUUGGUCCGGUGUUAGCAUGGAGAAGAAACUAUAUAUGGAAUUUACAACUAACAAUUGGGUAGCUAGGAUGAAGACGACGAACGGGUUGGCCUUUACAUCGAUCGAUAUAUAUCGGCACAGGACAGCAUAGGAUAGAUUCUGAAAGUAGCCAGUUAUCAUGCAUGAACAUCGAUACUCAAGCUCAAUCAAGAAGACAAAUUGCGCUGUUUAAUCAGUUGGAUAUUGUAACCUUUGACAAAUUUGCGUAAAGUUUCAAGGUGAAACAAUUAUUGUUUCGUUUUUAUUGCGUUUUGACUAUGCCCGCAUGGCUUUGUCAAAGGAUUGGUUUCGUGUAUUUCAAGCAAAAAGUAAUAAGUUGUUUGUUCUUUCUAGAUAUAAAUCAAUUUAAACAACUUAAUUAGUACAUUUUUUUUUUAAAUCAACUUCAUGCAUAUUAUUAAAAUUGACGUAUAUUCUGUAAUCUGAACAGUGUAUUCUUUUUUAGCCAGUCAAGACUAUAGGAACCUUUUAAACCAUUGCUACGACGAUGGGCUUUGCCCGAAUUCAUAUAAAAGUGGCGAAAGCUCUGAUGUGCAGUUUUAUUGCGCAGGAAACUAUUGUGAAGUCAAAGUGAUUAGGUGGAAGAGCUAUUGCUCUCAUAUAGUCAUAUACACAUGAUUGUCUUACUGCAUAUAUUCUCUCCACAGCAUGAUAAAAAUUUGUGUUUUAAAAUAUGGCUUUUAUUGUAUUUAUUUUAUACAUCAAAGCUUAUUAAGUCUUCAAGUCUUCGUUUUCAAAAAAAAAAAAAAACUUCCAAGUCUUCAACUCACAGCUGAAGAUUAGAUUUCAAGUCAUGCUUAGGAAACUAAAGUGGAAUAUGGAAUAGAAGAAUUACCUAACUCAGGAAAAAGGCUUUUUUAUUGACAAGGGAACUCGCAGCCGCUAACCCUAUAAUGCGCACCGGAUAAAUCCAAUCCCGUGCAAUAGCCCACCAACCAUACGAAAGGAUAAGACACACUAGGCAAAUCCUGUGCGAUAAGCAGACGUUCCAAGAGAGGUUCGAACCAGGAUUGCUAGAAAGGCAUGACAUCCACUCUACCAUCUCGACCAACUCAUGGACAAUUUAAAAGCAAAUUUGCUGCGUUAACCUCAAUAAUUGAUGAUUAAAACUGUUAAUUAGCAGAAAGAUUUAUCUGACCGGCCCUAAUGCAGACAAGCGAAAAUACACCACCUUCAAAUUAAUUAUAAUGUGACAUCAGCUUCCAUCUCGAUUUAAAAUUAUAGAAUAUGGCUACCAUAAUUGACUCUGUAAAAAACAAACUGGUAUGUACUAUAUAAAGCCAUUUUCUGGAGGCUUUCUCGUUACAUCAUACUCCUUGCCCUUAAUGAAAACCUAGGUCUGCUUCCUUAGCCGAGGACAUACAUAAUGCGUAUGAUGUGGCCUCAAGAAUCAUAAAAUUGAAAGAAAACUAAAUGGGUUUUUAGAUAAGGGAAUGACAUUGAUAAAAUAUUACAAGACCAAACAAUCUGCUGGAGCUGGCGGUGCAAUUUGUUGCAAAUCAAAAACGAAUUCCAGCUGGGGGCAAGUGAUUUUACAUUAUUUUUUUUGGUAUAUAUCAAGAAGUCAUCGGUAGUAACCUUAACAAGUCGAGUUGGGUUUAACAAAUGAGAGAUACAAGCAAGAACAUGACAAAGCACACAGGCCGCUCCUUCCAAAAUAAUCACAAUUUGUUAAACCCAAAAAAGUACUCCUCUGUGCAAAAACAGAAUAACAUUGAGCACAAGUAUGUGGAUCGCUGCUGCUGGAAGGGUGAUUUAUAUGUCCGUCCAAAUACGAGAUGCAAGGUGACGCAACUUAGACCACGCCACACAGCUAAAGGACCACCACCUCUUUGUUUUUGUUCUCAACAAAUAUAUAUAUACAUAACCAGCUUAGAUAGAAGAAAUACUUUUAAAGACUGGAAACUUGGUUCUCUUCCCCCUGGUCCUGAGCCCUAGUCUUCGUCUUUAUUUGUUUGCAAAAUAUGCUACGAGUCACUCCCCCCAAACACACUCCAAGAGCCAAAACCCUAUCUCUCCUCCUUCUCUCUAGAAAAAAAAUUCUUCAACUAAAUUUUCAUUCAACUCUCCCAUGGAAGAGAGAUCAGAUUUUUCUGAUCUUUUACUAUAAGAGGAGCCCUCUCAAUGGUUUCUUUUCAUUUGUGUGAAUAAAAUUUCUCUUAAAAUUUUCUAGUGAGAGUUUCUUCUCUCCUUAGAGUUGUCUAGUGAGAGUGUUUUCUUCUCCCAUGCAUGUGUGGUGCGAGUCCUCAGAAGCCGGUAACUAUAUCUGCUGUUCGGGAAAAAAACCGAGCUUUUUUCGUCAACCAAAAUAAAUAAAGAUUUAUUAAGAAUGAAUGAAUGAAGUGCGGUGGGGUCAAGGCAUCUGGAAAUUAAUUCAGAUGGAGCUGCUUUGGAGACCUAGAGCUUUGCAAUCAAAACGGCUCAUAUGCUGGAUUAGUAGGAAAUUUUAGUUCUUUGAUUUGACGGAAGCUUUGUGCUUUUCUAUCAAAAUAAAUACUAGUAGAAUAUACCCGCAACUAUUUCCUUUCUUGGAAAAAAAAAGAGAUAAGACUGCUCCUUAAAAAUAAAUAAAUAAAAAUGAAAAGAAUGUCCUAAACCAACCCCCAAUCAAUCAAGAUGCAUGGUACUAGCAAAGAUGUACGGCUAAAAAUGGUGCCAGAGCCAGGGGGGCCUGUACCGUAGAUGAAUUUGGAACAUGAAUAUGCCUACAGAUUACCAACGUCUAUGGGGGUUAAAACUUAAAACCUCCCUUGCAAGAUUACCAACAAAAUUAAAGGGCAUUUACUUGACGUACUGGCCUCAAGGGAUUUGGCCACAGUUCGUUCUGACCAAUUGCAACGAGUAGUGGUUGAUUUUUUUUUUUUUUUUAAGUAGUUGGAAGUGAAAGAGUGCAUAAUUAAAUUGCCAAUGAUUAUGAUACCUUUGCUAUACUCUACUUACUGUCAAAAUCAUAAAUAAAAUUGGUUAACAUAUUUCAUGGGAAUUAAAAUAAUAGUGACAGAAUUAAUGAUAUUAGUCAAGUUCAACCACUUUAGACACCUACACAAGUCAAGCAAUCAGAAGCUUCGAAUGUCAACAAUUAUAAACAACGCCAACAAUCACUGUCAUUCCCAACAUAAAAUAACGCUUUUACCAAAACCCACCCGCAAAAAUAAAUCAAUCUGACCAUUCUCAUCUUAAACACAACACAUCAGGAUAUUCUAAUCCCCCAGCCAAUCUUCUUCUUCCAACAACACAACUAAUCCGCCAAUUGCCAUAGCAUAUAUUUCAACUCAUCUCCAGUUGAUCAUUGACAAAUAUGUGAAACCCUUUUUUUUGUCGGCGAUCAGUCGAAGGAAGCGGAAUUAACAACAGCACUUGGAAGAACGAUGGUUAUUGCGGAUUGGCGUGUAACGGUCGAUCGUCGUUUUUAUUCUACAUUGCACCUAAUCCUUCCUCAAUUUCAAAUAAACUGAUAAUAUUUAUUCGAUUUCAACAACUUCCUAUAACUUCUUUUAUUUUGACUUCCAAUAAAUUCUUUUCAAAAAAAAAAAAACUCCAAAUAACCUACCUCUCUCUCUCCAAAAACAACUCCAACACACUACUACCCGGAAGAGCAGAAACUACCAAGCCUGAACGUUUGGGCUUUGUCUAUGGAGACUAAGAAACCUUGCACAGUGUCAGUGGACAUUGAUUUGGGCUCAGAGGCCCAAGAAAACCGAAUCCUAAGCAAUAAAUCUGGAGGAUCUCCUUUGAUUUUGUUCCGUACCCGAUGUCAUGUCCGUUGCAGCAGAAAGUCGCAAACCAAUUGCAAGUAUGCACUUUCAAACAGCUGAAACAAAUUCACGCCAUCAUUGUCACCUCGUCCCUCCACCAAAACCCCCAAAUUCGAUUGAAAUUUUUGAGGCGAAGCACGGAAUUUGGAGACAUGGACUACCCCAGUCUCAUUUUCUCCCAAAUGGGUGGCUUUCUUAUCGAAGACAUUACUCUUUGGAACGCUAUGAUCAGAGGCUAUGCCUAUAAUGGUCCCCAGCGGAAUUCCAUAUCAAUGUUUGAUGAAAUGCCUCACAGAGGACUUAAACCCAAUAAAUUCACGUACCCAUAUGUUUUGAACUCUUGCACUCGACUGGGUUUGUUUAGAUUAGGCCAAAAAAUGCACUGUCAGAUUAUAAAGACUGGGUUCCAGCUCGUGCUUUCGGCUGCUUAUGCUCUUUUUAGUUUCUAUGCAGAUACAUGUGAUUCUUCUGAUAUGGGUUUUCCGAAAAAAGAAAUGUUAAAUAAUGCUAGGAGGACUUUAGACGGAAUUUGUGGAGUUCCAGCAGAAUUGUGCAACAGAUUCAUUUCUGGGUGUGUGAAAUUUGGUGACGUUGAAUGUGCGAGAGAGUUCUUUGAUCAGAUGAGUGAAAGGGAUAUCGUUUCAUGGAAUUCGAUGAUUUCAGGUUAUGCUAAAACUGGGGACGUAGCAAAUGCGAGAGAUUUAUUUAUGCAGAUGCCAGAGAAGAAUGUGGUGUCCUGGACUACAAUGAUCAAGGCAUAUGCUGCUGCUGGAGAUCUCCAAACAGCAAGAAAGAUUUUCGAGAUGAUGCCCGAGAAGAAUCUGGUUUCUUGGAACUGUAUGAUUUCGAGCUACGCACAGAAUAAACAAUUUCAGGAUGCAUUGCGCCUUUUUGAGCAUAUGCGUAAACAAGGUGUGGUAGCAGAUGGAUUUACAUUUGUUUCAGCUCUCUCUGCUUGUUCUCACCUAAAUGCUCUGGAUUUUGGCAGAAUGGUGCACUCCUGUAUAACAGAUUGGGGUAAUGCAGCUGUUAUUGUUGGGACUGCCCUUGUAGAAAUGUAUGCCAACUGUGGAGAUAUUGAUAAAGCAUUUACAAUCUUUUUUAAAACAGGGAACAAGGAUGUUUUCUGUUUUAACGUUAUGAUCAAGUCUCUGGCUGUUCAUGGAAGAGUAGAAGAUGCCGUCAAAAUCUUUUAUUUGAUGCAACAAAGGGGAUUGAAGCCAAAUGACUUCACAUUUACCAGUGUGUUAUUUGCUUGUAGUCAUGGAGGUUUAGUGGAAGAAGGCCAGAAUAUUUUUCAUAGCAUGGAUAGGCAGUUUAGGGUUAGUCCAAAGCUUGAACACUAUGGUUGUCUGGUAGACUUACUGUGCCGAAGGGGCCAGCUCGAGGAAGCAUUGGUUCUAUUGAAGGAGAUGCCCUUCAAACCUGAUGUUGCUAUCUGGGGUGCACUGUUGGGUGGUUGCAAGUUAAGAGGCGACCUAAAGUUAGCAGAGAGUAUUACAAGUUGUAAUGCUGACAAGUUGGAGUCAAAUGAAUCCGGAGUCUAUGUGACUGUAUCAAAUAUUCAUGCAUCAGCAGGUCAGUGGUUGGAGGCCUUUAAUGCAAGAGAAAAGAUGGAGGAGCAGAACAUGUGGAAGACAACAGGGAUCAGCAAUUUAGUAAUCAAUGGUGAUACCGACUUGUAACAGUUGCUCAGCAUUGCAAUGGCGUCUUCCUUUUUUGAUCGGGGUGGUCCUAAUAAAUUGGUUAGGAUCUUGUAUUAGCAUCCUAAUAAAUUGGUUAGGUCCUAAUAAAUUGAUGUCUUCCAUUUAUUCCAAGAUGUGUGUUUUAGCUUGGUUAGGAUCUUGUAAUUUAGAGCCUAACAUUACGAGUAAAGUGGCAUACAAGCAAAAGCUUCACUGCAAGAGAGAAGCCCUGGUCCCCUUCGGACAAAAAAAAGACCAUUGCCAAAUUUUAGGUUACAAGGUCUCGGACCCUGCUGAAUUGUAAUGCUUCUACUUCAUGGGAUGAUAGAAAGGAGUUUUUUGGGUUUGCCACCAACAUAGUUGCCGAACUUUGGAGGGCCAAUUCAUGGCUUACAAUUAGUGUGGCGCAGGUGAUGGAGGAACCUUGUUUUAGAAUCUGGUUACCAAGUGAGCCGAAAUCUAGCAAGGGGUGCAGAUCAUAAUAGCACAGAGGAUUGUCUUAGAAUCUGAUUCCCAAGUCCCAAGUGAGCUUUUAAGCCUAACAAAGGAUGCAGACGAAAACAGCCCGCAAGAACAAUCUAGUUCAACAGGUGAAGCUUUGGACUCAAAAGACUUGGGAAUGUUUUCUCCAACAAACAAAAAUGUCUCUGCUAUUGGAUGGCAAAGUUGGGACUUAAAAGUAUGCUGAUCUAACAUGUUUGAAGAUCCGGCGGAGAGUCUGAGAGGGUUCCUGAAUCAUGACGAAGCUGGUGUAGCAACGCCGCGUUUUGUUUCUAUCUAACGGGCCUCUGGCCCUCUUUUGUACCCAAAUAAAGAUAAAAAAUGAUGAUACAUUGCAGGAUGUAGAAAAUAAAAUGUUACGGAAGUGCACAUUAUUCAUCUAAAGCAGUCUUGAGCCAUUAUUCAUCUGAAGCCACUACAAGCGGACGACCAAUUGAAGUGCGCAUUCAGUCCCUCAUGUUCGAAGGCUUUAGCUCUUAUCCCGCACUUGGCCGGUUUGCCAUAUAAAAACAACUGGUUAUAUUCAUAACAGUUGAAUGAGGCCUUCUGAUACCGACACAACAUGCUCCUGCUACUGAAGUGCUGCCACUGGUUCUGGCUGAUGUUAAUGAAUGAAAGCCAGUUACUUUUGUUUGCCCAUUACUUGAAGAGUUCAGGAGUGAAGAACAGAAACAGAGAACCAUAAGCAGAACAGGAGAGUAAUAACAACCUUCCGAAAACAAUCGUUAUGGUACUACAAAUAAGCUGAAACUAUUCAAUACAUAUGAACUGCAAUAUGGCACCUAUCCGAAGACUAUUUGUGGGGGUCAAAGGUGGUUUACAUCGAGGGACUUCCUUUCCAGGAGAGAAUAAAUAAAAAGAUUUUCAGAUUCAACCAGGAAUUUGGCGUCUGAAUAUCUACUCUAGCCAUACUUUACAAUCAGGUUAACACCAGAGGGAACUACCGUGAACCUCCACCAUAAUGGGUCCACUUACAUCCAUCAAGCACAAUAACAAAUAUCAAUAGGCAAACACAGUGAAAAUACAAAACAUAAAAAAUGAUGUCUGGAAAUUGUCAAAUGAAGCCCAAAGGAAACGGCCUCUUAACCAGAUAGUCUUUGAUUCACCAUGUUAUGAUUUGAUCAAAUGCUGCUACAUUACAUCUAAGAAGCAGGUCCAGAGUAUCUUAAAACGGGAAAUGACUUAAAUAUCCAUGAGAGAUUAAUAGAGUUUGGGCCCAACUGAGGAUGGAUCAUACCAUCAAGUCGGACAUGCUUCAGUCACAGCAAACUGGCAACCUGCAUAUCAACAUGUAUAUCAAGGAUGGAUCAUGUUGAACUGGAAUCUAGACAGCUGUUGUGGGAUAGUGGAGAUCACAGGCCCAUAUCUCUGUCAUCAAUUGAAAAAUAACAACUGUGAAAAUUAUAUUAAGGCAAAUCUAAAAAGCACGUGCACCUAAAGAUAUGUAUAUUUCGAUAUAAGCGUAACCACAAAAAACUAAUUACAAAAAUGAGUCAAUCAGCUCCUCCAUAUAUGCACAGAGCUUUGAUAAAUCAGAAAGAAACAAGGUGGGCUCACGGUAAUCCAAUAGAAAUGGCUUCCAUACUACAAUAUAACUCUCUCUCUUUUAUACCUGAACAUUGUCAUAGAGUUCGAACAAUGGAACUGCAAGAAGUUUCAAGUUCUUUGGAACAGCAAAAUACUCUCUUUCGGAAAGGUGAACAAGGAAAAGCUUUUUACAUUCCUGCAAAGCCAGGAAUAGGUAAGCAAAAUGAUCACUGCAAACAAAAGACUAAGGCAUAGAUUAAGGAAACAUGUUGGCUAAACCAACUUACCUUAGGUUUUGUUAUGUGGGGAGGGCAGUAUGGAUACAUUAUUGUUUCAAAAUUCGGUCUCCACCAUAUGGCCACACAUUCACCAAUCUGAAAUGAAAUGUUGCACAUGAAGUAGGCAAAUCAUUCAAAAAAAAGUAAAUAAGUACAAAGAAAGGUGAAGAAAAAAAAAAAUCAAAUCUCUAUCGAGUAAUGAGAGAUUUGAAGUGUCAAAAUACUAAACUGUGGCUUGAGUCUAUAUUCUUCUUUUACAUACUUUUUUUUCCUCAUCUCUGGGCAACCUCUCAUGCAAAUUUGGCAGUGUUUCCCACACACACUGUUCUUGAACAAUAUACUAAUUUAAAGAUUUAAGGACAGCCUCACAAUCAAGUAGGUCAAGAACAAAAAGGGAAAGUGAAGGAACAAAUACCUGCCAAUCUGGCUGAAGAGCUGCUGAAUUAGCAGCAAGUUUGCUCGACAGUUUCCGCUUCAAGCCCUCGAUUUCUGCAAUUUUAACAAUAAGCAUGAAUGAAGUUUCAAUAGUCCUCUAUGGCAUGUCCAUUUCAGAAUAUUGUCCAUCAUCUCUAAGAGUUGGACUUGCAUCGCACAUUAACAAGUUCUUCAAGUUCAAUAAAGUAACAAUUAAUGGUACUGUUCAGAUCCAACGGGGGUGCUUCUAGGACUUUAGCUCAAAUUUCAAAACCAUUCGAAUAGACAAGUAGAAGGGUCUAUCAUCAUGCUCAGAGUGACAAAAAUUGCUAUAAUAAAUAAUAUAGACAGAUAAAAAACAAUCAUUUUAAUAAUACUACCAUAUCGGUUAUACAAUUUUUUUGGGGGUACAUUACAGGAUUAAAGGCCCAUUAAUUAUCAUUAUAUACUUGAAAAAAAAAAGGAGGAAGAAGAAGCUAAAGGCUAAUACCAUUCUCUCCAGGCUUCAGCCGCCCACCAGGAAGUUUGCAGAAAGUAUUACCAAUUUGAAGAAGAAGAAUGUGUGGAUGAUUGUGCUCUUGUACCUGUUAGUCACAGCCAUCAAAAGCUAUUAUUUAACAUAACAAUAUGGUUUACCUAUCAAAAAUAACUACUAAUUCAUAGGGAUUCUCAUCAUUAAAGUACAAAAAAAUGGGCACAACAAAUCAGACCAACUAUUCGCUGGCAUCGAAAGUCAGUAAAAGCACCACAGGUUGUAAUAAUGUCAAACUUUUACCCAGAAUAUCAAUCAUGCUAUGCAAUAAAGACAACACCAACCACUACUUCAUACAGCAUGAGUUCUUUUUUUUUUUUGGCUUUGGUUUUUUUUCCCUUUUUUUUUUCCCCGGGGGGGGGGGGGGGGGGGGGGGGGGGGAGGGGAGGGAGGGUUGGAGGGUUUGUUUACGAGUUUCAAAUAAAAAAAAGAUACAUAAACAAGUUAUUGGACGGUAAACGUUUUACAUGCAUUGAAUUCAGCAGAAAAGGAGCAUUAUAGUUAGUUCACAGAGGAGCACAUUCAACUUGAAGAGUCAAGGAAUGGAAUUUGUUUGACAAAAAACAGAGAGAGUGGUGAAGCAGGUCAAAGAACCUAGGGCAGCAAUAUUUUUGACGCAAUCAUACACAGCAUGAUACUAGAAGAAGCAGGUCAACAGAUUACCACAAAGAGUGCAACAUGAAAAAAGCAACUUAGGAUAUUAAAUUCACGGGUUAGUACUAGGUUACAAAUAAAUUCAUGCUCAAAUCAUAUUAAUUUCCAUGCUAUUUACAUGUCUGGGUCAAAAUUAAAUUCAAACUUCCUAACAGUCAAACGAAAAGCUGUUUACCCGAACAUAUGUAUUUGAAACUCAUCUAUAGAGAACUCGGGACCCGACCCUCUCAGGGAAAACCUAGAAUGGGAAACCUCUCUUUCUCAUAUGAUUAUCCAUAUUAUCCGAUACAUUUGCAAGCAAAAAGCUUAGCUAUAGUAAUCAGCAUCAAAGAUUUGCUCAGUUCCUUGCAAAUUGAGUAAAGCGGCAACCAUAUAUAACCAGAAAAGGGGAGAAUUAAAAAGGCAGUACGAGUAAAAAUGUUUACCAGUAAAAUUCCUUCUACGCUAGUCCUCAUGCCCUCCUUCAUAUAACUGCACCAGGAAAAAGGGAAGAAAGUAAGAUGCUGGUACGUGAUCUAGGGUUUUAGACUGCAUAAAUAAGAAUUAAGCUAAGACGAGGUUUAACUAGGGUUUUUCUUUGAUAAAUCGCAUGAAUCAAACAAAAAACAAAGGAAACGUACAAAAUGGAUCGGAGAAAUCAGAAAGAGAGAGCAGAGACGUACUUGACUUUCAUGCGAGCAAGGCGAUCGGCAACGGAGGUGUCUUUCUCCAUCUUCGGCUCCUUUGUCCCGAAGGUGUAACUAGACAGCGGGUACGUGUUCACCACCGAUGACGUCACCAUUUUCUCUCGAUCUCCCUCUAUCUCUCUCUCUCCCCGUCCCCCGGCUGACAGCCCUUGCCCUGCUUUUUCCUCUUCUCUUUUGGCUCUGCAGAGAUUAUAACAAGUCCACUUCUACUGCUUAGGACAUAUCACAAAAUCUUUUCCCUCUCCGGAAUUUGCAGGCGGUGUCUUGUCGAAGCAUCUCAAAGUGUUUUGUGUGUUUUCACCAAAAAAAAAAGUGUUUUGUGUCUUGGGCUUUGGGUUGGAUGUCGGACCAGAAUUAUAAUGGCCGCUUUAGUCAUAACUUGGGUCCCAAUACCUAAGAGGGCCUAAGCCAGACCCAGGUGGAUAUCAUUGGCCCAUACAUGGGGGUUUUUUUAUUUUUAAAUUCUUUUUUUUUCCCUUUUUUUUUUUGGGUGCGCUCUUGGACAUUCUCAGGUUUUGGCUUUCAUUUAUGGAUAUGAUAAAAUUGCACUUGCCAUAAAAUCCCCUUCCUUCUCUUGCCAUAAAAUUGCACUUGCCAUUGGGAGGAUCAGACCAAGGACUUCUAUUGACUGCUCCACGAGAUAAAUCACUUUUCCUUUUUUUCUUUUUUAUUUUUUUUUAUUUUACGGCGAUCAAAAUCUCUAUAUUAUGGGGAAGGGUGCUAAAAGCCCACAAAAGCCGAUUAUGAGAAUUGCAUGUCUCCUUCUAAAACAUUAUCGAUACUAUAAAUGGAGGAACACGGGUAAACAAGACCUCUAAACUUGGCAUAUAGUAGCCGACGUGAGCAACUUUUUGAAUCAAUUUUUGCUCUCAAGAUACAACUAGUGGAUGUAGAACAUCAUUCCUUUUUCAAGUUUCAUGAUACCUUUAAAAAAUAAAAAAAAAAUAAAAGAGAGUUUCAUGAUAUUUGACAGUGAAUAGCUUUACCACACGUUGUAGGAUAAGGUGAUGGAUAAGGGUGCAUGGAAAGUGAGGAAUGUAGGGUUUUAAUGUAGAGGUUAAGCUCAUAAUAUGUAGUACAUCCUAAAAUCACGACAUUCUACUGCAAACAAAGGUGGUGCUUGGUUUAUAGAUACAUCCAAGUCACUGGUUCUUGAACUUAUAAUAGUUUAGCAUAUCAGUAUCUAAAAAAUUUUAUAGAAAAAAAAAAAAAAAAAAAAACUGUGAAAACCUGGGUUUCAGACUGAUUAUUGAAACUCGACGGAACAACAAAAAUCCAUACAGAUGGUGAAGUUUAUACCAUUUCCAUUACAAUUCCAAUUCCUGAAUUCCAACCAAACACCUGUGGAUUUUUCUCUUAGUGAUUAUGAUAUAAAAUACGUUGCAUGUCAUUUGGAAUAGUGAAGCUAGCUAAUUCAAUAUCACUAGUAGUCGUGCUCAUAAUGAAAAAAAAUUUGUAGUCUAAUUCUAUUGUUAAUUUGCAUUGCCAUACAAUGAAUUAAGGAUAAUCCUUAAGAUUAAUCUUUCCACAAGGAAACUUAUAAUUCUACGGAUAAUGCUUAGAAUUAAUCUUAAGACAUCUCUACAUAUAAAAGCAUGAGAACUUUUUGGUACUAAAAAUUUCUGUCAUGUAAUAAACUGUUUAAUAUACCCUUCUUCUUUUAAACGUUUAUAAUCCACUUCCUCUUCUGUCUCUUACUUACUCUUAUUUCUUUCUCUCAAUGAUAUUUAGUAAUAUAACUUUCUUCAAACUAUCGUUAACUCGUGAAAAUCAUACAAUAUUUCAAAAAAAAAAAAGGUAAGUUGCAGAAAUUUUUUGCCCAUGUGUUCCUCUAGUUAAUUUAGUAUUAUUUGUCUUUGCAAAAAUUUAUUUAUUCGUUAUUUACUUCUACAAUAUGCAUACACAUAAUGUGCGUCUUAUCUACUGGUACUAAUUAAUUCUUGGAUGCCUCUUUUAUAUCCUUUGAGAUAAGGCUGGCAUGCCUCUUUUAUAGCCCCCGGGCAGAUCGACUGGUUUCUGUAGUCCCCUCUUUAGGGGCAGGUCACUGGUUCGACCCUCGGGAGAACUAACACGCUGUGAACCUUGGGGCGGGGCUCUCACAGCCGCAGGGGAUUAGUCGGGUCCAAUGGUUUCGAACACUCCUGUGUCAACAAAAAAAAAAAAAAAGGAGAUAAGGCUAGCAUGCGCACAAUUUCAAAUUUUGGAAGAGGAUUUCUCUUUCGUUCCAUGGAAAAGAAAAUCCACGCUGCCCUUCGAUUGACUAAGUGUAUCCGUAAUAUGAUUUUAUAACAAAUUUCCUAUUCGGAAUCCUCGACAACACACACAGACGUACUCUCAUAACAUUUUUACGCAAGAGACACUCGAAUUCGAAUGGUAAAGAAAAGCUGAGUGGAGAGUCUGGAGGGUAAAGGGCCAAAUAGUUUUCGGAUCAAAAAAUAUGAGUGUUAGUCCUAAUCGAAUUGAGCACUUUUUCUUUUUUACUUUUUUAAUUUAACGAGUUUGAAAUUGUGCAUAAACUCGGUUUAUUUAUUUUUUAAACCUAAUUUAAAUAAAUUUUGAUCAAGUGGAGAUUAAGUCAAGCUCAUAUAAUUUGAAUUUUACUAUUCCAUACUCAAAUUUGACUAUGUAACUGCUUGGGCUAGAGUCAAGAGAGCAUCAAAAUUUCGAUGGAAACAAUUCCAUGUUUUUUUUUUUUGGAUAAUAAAUGGUCGCAUCUUUAGUGCCAGCAAUUAAUGUGCUCUUCUGCAGUGGUUAUCUAUUUUUUCCACAUUGUUUACUUUUUGAGAAGCCUAUCUUUCUCCUUGAACCUGAAGUAACCGAAGAAAAUGCUAAACAGGAAAGAAUAAGUCAGUUGUUUCUCUCGUUAGUCGUUAACCUUAUAAACUGAGUAUAAUUAAUCCUACUAAAGCGCUCAUUUGUAUAUAUGUUCAUACAUAUCAAUGUGCUUGUUACAUUUAACAUACUUCUGCUUUCUCAAACAUCAGAAUUACCUUUAGAACCAAAAAUCAUACUUCUGCUUUCUCAAACAUCAGAGUUACCUUUAGGACAAAAAAUCAUAUGAUUAAAUUCCACAUUAUUCUUGUCCUUGAGAUUUUUAUUUUUUUUUUUCAGAUAGCAACAGAUAGUCUAGUUUACUCCUACUUCUACUCUAACCUACAUAGGGGUGAAGAGAUCUAAUAGGACUAGAGAAACUGACGAGAACUGAAUCACUAUCGAAGUUGAUGAGUGCCCUAUGAACUUGUAUGGAUUUAAAUGAAAUCACAUAUAGUAGUAUAUUGAUGAGAGGUGAACCCUUAAUCUCUUACCCCCAUAAAGAUUUAAAGUCUAUGGUGGUGGCCAAUCGCCCAAAAGGCCGUUGGUUAUGAUGCUGUUAAUGUAUUCGAAAAAAUCACCUAAGCCAUGUACAUUGUAGUAUUUCUUUUUUUACCAGCCACAUCGCAUAAAAAGUCGUAGACAUAAUAUUAUUGUUUGAAGGAAAAUAUUUCUAGCGGGUAUUUUAUGAAGCCAGAAUUAAUAAAAUGGAUCCUAGUCCACUAUAACCACUCAGUGAAAAGAAGGCAACAAUUGCAUCAAAUUCUGUGCAGACUCCCGUUAGCUGGCACGCUUGUCACCGUAAUGCUGCUGAAAUUUGGGGAGAUUUUUUCAUUUCAAUGAGCAAGCGUACGUAGAGCUUCUUGUGGGAUUGUGCUAAUUAAUGUGCAUGAAACUUACACCGGGCGGGAGGGAGGUUUCACUGUAAGUUGGAAGCAUUUGUUUGGAUCAAAGUAUGGAUCACCGUAUAUUGCUAAUAAAGAAUCAGGUAUGGAGUCUGGAUCAAUAUUGUUGUCAAGUAUAUUGGUAGAAGGAAAUGAGCACGUAAAAUACAUCAAGAAUUAAGACUGUAUAUUCAGCAUAAAAAUCAUCACGAAGACAAUAGCACGAUAUACCCCUCAAGAUUUGCUGAGUUUGAUGUAAAUAUUCUACUACAAAAAACAUCGUGUGAGAAGUAAUUAGCGGACGUUAGAAACACGAGUCAAUUCGUAGGAGUGAUACUCUAUAAGAAGAAUCACCUUAUUAUUGGCUUAUUCUUCUUCUGCUACCGCUAAAAACUUGCAGGACCCCGUCUGAGCCGCCGGCGACGAGUGUGCAUUGGUCUUCUCCCAUUUGCCUCCAGCAUACGCUGCUCACAAACCCUGCACCUGUAGGCUCGCAAUAUUCCCCCCCGGAAUAUUCAGCUCGACCUGGAGCCGGAGCUCCAGCAGAGGAUGGCUCGAAUCUCUUGACCCAAACAGGCGAGCCCCAUCUCUUAUCGUAGACAACAACUUGAUUGUCCUCGGAGCCACAGCUAAGCAGCCCGCCGCCCCUCCAAACGGAUAACCCGACGAAUCUCCUGGCGUUGACGUGUCCCGUGUACGUCCGAAUAAGCCGAUGAUCUGCAGUGUGCCACGUCUUCAAGCACCCAUCAAUGCCGGCUGUCACCAUUGUGUGGCGAUCCAGGAAUCUGAUGUAGGUCACGGAUCUCUGAUGCCCGUCUAAAACCAGGACCGGGUCCCCCAUCCUCCUCACAUCGUAACCGUACACCCUUCGGUCAGCACAUCCUGCGGCGACCAGGCAGCCACCGAAUGGAUUGAAUUCCACGCAACACACUGGGCUCCUCCCCGCGCUGGGCUGCACCACCCCCAAGCACUCCCCUCCCUCGCACCGUGGGUCCCACACCUGCAUGGUGCCAUCGUCCGACCCUGACGCACCCACCACUGGAUCAGAGGGGGAGUAGUCCAUGCUCCAUACCCGCCUGCCCCCAUGUUCGUCCCGCUCGAACACCGGCAACCUUCUCUCCAGGUCAUACUCCAUUACUACCCCGUCGUAGUCCGCCGACCCCAGCACACCUCCGCCCGACCCCGGUUUCCACCGGAGGCUGCUAAGCUUAGCCGGGGUACAAAUGUAGAAGUCCCAUGCAUUGGCGUGGUCUAGCGCGGCCGUCGCAACUUGUUCAUACGACGAACUUAAUCCUUCGUGGGGCAACAAAGACGCGGUGCGGUAUAUACGAAUUUUUCUUGAGAUGCCGCCGGUGGCCAAUAACCGAUCACAAGGGUCAAAUUCUAUGACUCCCAGUGUAUCGGAAGCAGCUCCGCCGAUCGAGGAGGAGGAGCUGGAAGAAGAAACAACGGUGGCGAGAUUGAAAUCCCACUCGCACCUGGCUUCACUAUCAUCCUCCACUUCAUGUAAAUGAUUUUCGACGUCGUCUUGUUCUUUUCUUUCUUUUUCUUCUUCUUGUCUUGAUCCUGGGGUUCGGGGAUUCGGCAGCUGUCGUUGGUUUUGGAGGGGAGAGCAGUGGGAUGACAAGUUUUUCAUUUCCCAUUCAUAUGAAUGAGUGAUUGAGAUCUUUGAAUGUUGGUCUUGUGGUGGAAGUGUUGUUGGACUUUUUCAUUUGUAGUUCGCAGCCAAUCAAAAUCAUCCUGUGGGAUUCUUCUUGCUUAGGUUUCCGGCUGCUGCAAUGAUCAGGGUGGGUAUUAAGAAGGAUAAGAUAGUCUGCUUGCACAUUUCAUUUUCGUCCACCUUCUCAUGAAAAUACCAGCCGCUGUUCUUCUGUUCUAAUGACCCUUUUCUACCGAAUGUAUUUACAAUACUGCCAUUUUCAGACAUUCUUUUGUUGCCAAUUUUGUGGCCCAAAACUCGAAAUAUGUUUUGUUAAUAUGUUACACACAUCUCUCCACAUCAUCUUUGUAGCGACAACAAUGUGAUAUGUAACCACCGAGCUUUGAUUCGGUCGCCAAAGAACAAGAACUAAGGUCGGUAGAGGUUCGAAUUGCACCUAUAAUGAACAUUUUUUAAAAAAGCAUCGUAACAUUUCUUUGAUCUAAUAGGUUAUUAUAUUUACUAAUCCUUUAUAUAUAGUCUCUUUAAACUCCCCUUCCUUUCUAGAUUAUGAUAGAUUAUGUCCCCUUAUAUACAAUUUCUUUAGGCUAUUUAGGCUCUCCUCUCCCUUAGAUUAUGAUAGAUUGGAUUAUAAAAAUGUUAUCAUUACCAUAAAAAAAAAAAAAGACAACAAUGUGAUAUGUCCAGACAGAAGAAGAUCAGAUAUAUGAUGAUCAAGAUUCAAGAGCCAAACUAUGCAACUCCAAUUACGCCUGUUAAAUGAAUACUUUUUUUUUUUUUUUAAAAAAGAAUGAAUACAUUUAUUCGAUAGCAUACAUCAGUUCAGCGGAAGUGUGAAAUUAAAACUAUGCAAAGCCCAAUUAAGCCUGUUUGGCAAGGUUUGUAAAAUCGGGAUCCUACGUAGGAUCGAUUUUAGUUUCACAGAAUCGGAUCGUAGGAUCGUAAGAUCCUACCAAAAGCUCCUAAUUGCAAUUAAAGGCUGCAAUUCUUUGAUAAAUUACAAAUAUACCACAAAUAUUUUCAUUUACUUGCAAAAUGGAGCUUCGUAUUUCACAAAUUUACAAAAAAGUGUAGGAUCGUACGAUCUUACACGAUCCUACAUAGAUUAAUAUGAUUUACGACUCUGAAAACGAUCCGGAUCGAUUUUGGUUAUCCGGAUCGUAGGAUCGUACGAUCCUACAAUCCGGAUCGCGAUUUUGACAACUAUGCUGUUUGGUCAUAUCGUUCAAUUCCUCAAUACCGGAAAUGUCUUCAAAACCUACAAAUCUUUUCUUGGUGUAAGUAUGAAAUUAAAUAUGGAAAUUAUGGCACAUUUUGUGGUUGAGACUCAAAUUGGCGGAGGGUGUAUGUUACGAGGGGGAUUGUAUUUAUUGACGCUAUUUUUUACGCAAGUGGAGGAGGGAGAAAUGAAAUGGUGGUUGCUUUUGUGCCUCAAUUCAAUAGACCAAAUGCUGUGGAUACAGGUUGAUUACAGGCACUGAAUUACGUGGUCUAAGCCAAGCCUUUUGUCAACGCACCAAAACAACCAAUCACAUUUGAGUCAGAGAAAAUUAUAAAUCAUUUUUUCCCAAUAGAUUUCACAUAUUGUAUUCAAUGCAUUAUGUCUACCAAAAAAAUAUACAUAGUCAUAUCUACAGUGCUAUUAUUAUGGCUGUAUAAACAUGAGUAACCUUUCACCUACCUUAUCCAAAAAAUAAAUAAAUAAACUUUAUAAAAUAAAAGACAGAUGUUAAACGUAUAAGUCAUGGUGGGACUGAGACUUAUCAUAUUAGUCUACAGUAUUUAAAAAAAAAAAUCGCUAGACAAUAUUCCUCCGAUUGUACAUUUUAAUAUGGUGCAGGAGGCGAAUCAUGUAAUUUCGUUUAUAAACCAAAAAUAGAGUAAUUAAUACGUCUAGAUGAGCCGUAUUUGUGCCAUACAUUACAUACCAAGAAAUUUCAAAAUCGUCAUUGCACUAAAUAGUAGAGACAAUGAGAGAAAAAAGUCCUGUUUGUUAAUUUAAUUAAACACUUACAUCUAAUGGUUACAAAUUUUAAUAUAUUCAAACGUGUUAGAUAAUAAAAAAAUAUAAUAUUUGAAUUAAUUAAGUAGCACUAAAAUUUAUAGGCAAAACUUGCUCUAAAAAAUAAAUGAUAAACUAUUCACUUAUGGUUUAAUGUGAUAUACAUUUAAAUACAUUAGAUUUAGAUCCCGUUUGAUAAUCUAAUUCAACGCUUAAAUUUAAUGGAUUCAGAUCUUAACAUGUUCAGAUGUGUUUGAUAAUAAAAAAUUAAAUGCCUAAAUUAAUUAAAGUGGCACUAAAUUGUUUAAACAAAACUUGCUCCCAAAAAUAAUUGAUAAACUUGCUCCCAAAACUUUUUCAGAUUUCAAAUUAUGAUUUUCAAACUUCACUUUUUAUCAAAUGCAUCCAAGUCGGACUCAAAAAAAGGAUUAAGUAAAGUAGGUCAUAUAUACUAGCCUACCCCAUCGCAAGCUUUCUUCGAAGGUACAAAUCAUUGCUUUAUUUCUUAAAGAAAUGAAACCAUCGCGUUUCUUCCAAGAACCCACCAAAAAGAACGUUUUCUUCAAAAAAAAAAAACAAAUCAUUGCACUCUUUCUUAAAGAAAUUAAAGAAAAAAAAAUUUCUCCAUCACUUGUGAAUUUAAUUAAUCCUGUCACAUAGCGUCCGAGGAAAGAGAUCCCUUCACUAUUGUGAACAUCCACACCUUACAAAAAUUGAUUAUUAUAAUGGUCUUAAGAGAUAUUUGAAAGUUCUGCUAGGGCAUUAUACCAUCAAUUCAAGAUAACUCAUGGCUGUUGAAAUUUCUCAAAAUGUAAUUACAUAUUUUGCCCUUACUAUAAAAUUGCUUCCUGCACCUCCAAUUCUACAUCAUAAAGUACUCUCUUCUUCCGUAUCCACGUCGUUUCAAGGUUCUUCAUAUAUCAUAAGCUGACUUCAAAGAUAUUAACAUUUAUCAGAAGAAAACAAAACACAAAUAACAAAAAGAAUAUGGGAAUAAAUCUAUAUACACUUUCAUUUAAAUAUAAUCCUAAACCAAAUCAGCAUAUCAAAACUGAAUAGAAAAAGCCCAUCCGAGGCAGUGGAUAUAAAACGACAAAGUACACUACCAGAAGGGCCAAGUUACAGGAAUUUUCAAAUUGAAUUGUUCCGGAUCACAAAAAAAAGCCCACAGUCUUCAAGCAUCUCUUGAAAGGAAAGCCCAUUAACGUUGCACUAUCACGGAGACACGGUAGUCGCAUCCUUGUACUUGUGGUGGGCUGUCUGUGGCAAACCGCCCAUAUCCAUGUCCUUGGCUAACCAUUAUUAUUAAUUUUUUGAGUAUAUAUUAUCACGGUUGAAUGUAUAAUACAUGAGCAAAAUUUAGAUAUUAAUUUUUAAAUUUAAAUGAGUUGUCAUAUAUCAAAUAAUGAUGAUAUAUACAUUAUCAAUGUAUAAAAAAAUUAUAAUAAUUUUUAAUGUUCCCAUUCAUCUCCAUAUCCUUUACACCUCCAACUAUCAAAGAUUUUUUUAUUAUAUAUUUUAUAGAGUUCAUAAGCAUGUGAAAAAAUCAUGUUCAUUUUGGUGAGUCGAUAACUAAACAAAAAUAUAAAAUGCAAUCCUACUUGCAAUUCGAAGAUUCCAACAAACCUCUGCACCGAUGCAAACAACAGAUUUGAUCCACAAAUUCCACAAUGGAGAAUCAUAUGGACUGGUUUGGGCAUGUCUAUUGGGAUCUCGUUCCUCGUUCCCUUGAGGAAGAGAUGGUUCCAUUUCCGCCUGGUGGUGUAGUUUGGACUUUGGAGUGAUCUAAAUCAUCAAAUCCGACAUAAGUAGCCGGUAAAGUUUCAUCCUUUGUGAUUAAUGUAAGACUACUCGAUUCUCCAUCCAAAAAAAAGGAAAAAAUAAAAAUUCCCGUUGAAAAAUUUAAGAAUCCUGUACCGAGGCGGCAAGGCACCCGUAGAGUACAUGGUACACAAUUUCCCCCGCGCUCCAAACCGCCAAAAACCGCACCCCCACUUGAUGCCACUCCACACACACCGCCGGGAGCUUUGAGGGGGCUGUCGCCAUGGGGAAGCAGAAGCAACAAGUAAUUUCUCGUUUCUUUGCACCCAAACCCAAAACCCAAGAAGAUUCUUCCUUUCCCAACGAUCCAUCAUCAUCCUCAUCUUUGGCGUCCCCCUCCCAAUCACAACCACCGCCAACCCCACCUCCGAAAGUUUUGUCCACCGUCUCAUUUUCACCCGCCAAACGCCUUAGGACUUCCCGGCUCCUCUCUCAAUCUCCAGCAUCAUCUGGUCACACCCCACAAUCCCUUUUCCCUAAACCCUCCAAAAAACCCAAACUUUCAGCCCACACCCAUAAUCCUAUACCCCCUCUCUCCAAUCCUACUCUUCACGAAAAGUUUUUAAAGAAACUCCUGGAACCCUCUCAAGAGCUUUUAGAGACCUCCAAGAAUCAGCCGAUUGUGAAUCCGAAGUACACCCCAUUGGAGCAGCAAGUGGUGGAGCUCAAGGCCAAGUACCCCGAUGUCCUGUUGAUGGUCGAAGUCGGGUAUAAAUAUAGGUUUUUUGGUGAAGAUGCGGAGAAUGCUGCAAGGAUUUUGGGGAUUUAUGCUCAUAUGGAUCAUAAUUUCUUGACUGCAAGUAUACCCACUUUUCGGCUGAAUGUCCACGUGCGGAGGCUUGUGAGUGCAGGGUACAAAGUUGGCGUGGUGAAACAGACUGAAACUGCAGCAAUUAAGGCUCAUGGGACCAAUAAACUGGGACCCUUUUGCCGCGGAUUAUCAGCAUUGUACACCAAGGCCACCUUGGAGGCUGCCGAAGAUUUGGGAGGUGGUGAGGAGGGGUGUAGUUCAUGUAAUAAUUAUUUGGUUUGUGUUGUGGAACAGGAGGUUGAGAUUGUGAAGGGUGCCCUUGAGAGUGGGGUUGACGUGAAAAUUGGCGUUAUUGGAGUUGAAAUUUCGACUGGGGAUGUCUUGUAUGGGGAGUUCAGUGAUAAUUUUUUGAGAAGUGGUCUGGAGUCUAUGGUUUUAAACUUGUCUCCUGCUGAGUUACUUCUGGGGAAACCACUAUCGAAGCAGACUGAGAAGGUAAUCUUACUUGCAGUUGAAGUUGUACGGAAAAGAAAAUGCAUGUGCUGAAAGUCUUGUACUUCUAUGUGGUGGAAUUUUCUCUCUUUCUGCUGUUAACUCUUUAAGGGCAUGAAUCCCGUCUCUCACAAGCAUUUCUAUUACUAUAGAAACAUAAUCCUGUUUGAUCGUGCCUUCAUUUUCAAAACAUGCAAGUAGUGUACCUAAUUCUAAAUAUGUUUCCUUUCUGUCUCUAAUUUCUCACCCCAUUUACUAGUGGUACUUUCUUGAAUGAGAUGCAUCUUACUAAAUUAAGUGUUGUCUAGUUUGCCAGUAUUUAACUAUGAUUGCAGCGCUUAUUAUGUUUCACUUUGAACAGAUAUUACUCUAACUUUCAUCUAUCUGUCCCUCUUGUAUUUCCUACUUCAAUCACGUCAAUUGGUCACUGGAAUGAAAUCUUGUUAUUGUAGUUGCUCCUAGCAUAUGCUGGACCGGCCUCAAAUAUCCGUGUUGAACAUACCUCACGAGAUUGCUUCACAGAAGGUGGUGCACUUGCUGAAGUGAUGUCUCUGUUUGAGGGGAUGACUGGAAAUAAGCUAGGAGAUUCCCAUCACAAGGGAGAUGUAGAGGCCAAAGAAAAUGACAGCAACUGCUCUCCAUUUGAGGUUUGAUCAUCUUUUAUUACUCUCAGAUACUUAAUGAGCUAUUAACCCAUACCAAGUAUUAUUGCUGAUUAGGCUUGUUGGGUGAGUAAUAUGCAUGUCAUGAAAUUCUUGUUUGGUCCACGAAUGGAAAGAAAAUCACUGCUACAUCUAAUUUAUUAUGUUUACCCUUUCUCCUGCCACUAAAUUUUGCUUCAAUCCAUAGGGAAUUAUGGCACUGCCUGAUUUGGUAAUCCAAGCAUUAGGUCUAACCAUUCGUCAUCUCAAGCAAUUUGGUCUUGAAGGAGUUCUCUGCUUGGAAGCUUCAUUCCGGCCUCUAUCUACCAAAUUGGAGAUGACCCUUACUGGCAAUGCACUUCAACAACUGGAGGUAAUUGGUGAUAUUUCAAAUGACUUGAUAAUUAAUGAAGUCAGUGUCAGACCAAGUUGUUAGUUUUUCAGAGGGUUCAUAAGUGCUAUCAAUCUUCCAUGCUAGUUGCUGGUUGUCAUUAUUACUAACAUGCAUGUGCCCUGUAAGUAAUAUUGAGAUGACAUCACGUUCAAACACAUGGUGUGCUAUUAGAGUAUUUAAGGGAAAAUGCAAUAGCAUGUGGAUAGGAGUGCCCAUAAUCUAAUCGAAGUAUUUCAGGAAGUGUGAGAAAAAGACUCUUUAAUAUGUAGACAGGAAGCUUCUUAUUGAUGCAAUGCCUCCUUGUAGGUUCUGAAGAAUAAUGCUGACGGUUCAGAGUCUGGCACCUUGCUGCAGUGUAUGAAUCAUACUCUUACAAUAUUUGGUUCAAGGCUUCUUAGGCAUUGGGUAUGCAGCAAUUAUUCUCUAUUUAAUGUUUUCAGUAUUCUGUCUUCUCUACAAAAAUAGAUCUGCAUCAUCCAUGAUCUAUUUAUUUUCACUGAUAUAUACAUAUGAAGACAUGCAAAUGUCAGCGCAUGAUCAAGUCAAGUCCUUUUCUGGCACAGGUGGCUCAUCCUUUAUGCGAUAGAAGCAUGAUAUAUGCUCGUCUUGAUGCAGUUUCUGAGAUUGUGGAAUCUAUGGGGGCCUUUAAAGCUUCUAGUAAUUGUGAAAGUGACGGUGAAGAAUCCGAUAUCAUUACUAUGCAGCCUGCAGUUCAUGAUAUUCUUUCUUCGGUAUUGACCUCUUUGGCUAGAUCACCUGAUAUUCAACGUGGGAUAACAAGAAUAUUCCAUCGAACAGCCAAAGCAGCAGAGGUAUUAAAACAGAUUAGCUUGUCUAGCAUUUUGAUGUGUAGUCUUUAUGGAGAAACCUUUGUAGCUUACUGUAUAUGAGCACUCUUCUCAUGCUUUUGUUUAUUCACUUCUCGUUUAGCUGUUGCACCAUGUGUGUGCAGAUUACAUUGAUUAGUGACACUUUGUAAUCCAAAUGAUACCUUACAAGGACUUCUCGUGAAGCCCAAUCUAAUUCUCUCUCCUGGAGAACAUGAUAACAAAUAAGUUUGCAUUUUAUUUUCGCUCUCUUGAAGUGUUACUGACUGUUUUGAUUCUUGAAAUGUUUUCUGAUAUUCUUCUGUUCUUGAAUAGGAGGGAUCAAGGGGGAAGGUGUUUUUGAUCUCUGGACCUUGAUUCAGUGAAAAAUGCAUGGACUCUAGAACUUUCAUUGAUCUUGGACAUUCCUGAAUUAGUAAAUUUGUUGAACUUAGUGGCUUGUCUAAGUGCUUGAACGAAAUCAUAUGCGUUCCUGUUCAAAGCCUCUUGUUGAAUCACAUAUAAGUGAUUUUAAAUAAUCAGAUUAAGAUUUAAUAAAUUAUUAUGAGUCAACUUAGUUUUAUAAGUUAUACAUGUACUCCAAUAUUUGCUUUCAGUAGAACUCUUGUAGACAGCAUUUGAUGUAAUUUCCUCGGUUACCGGAUUAACAGUUUAUAGCUGUCAUUCAAGCUAUUCUACUUGCUGGGAAGCAGCUUCAGCAACUUCAUGGUCAGGAGGAGAUGGAAUACAAGAAUUUGCAGACAACAGUUCACUCGCCCCUGCUGGGGAAGUUAAUAAUGGCGGCUUCAUCAUCAAGUAUCCUUGGUACGGCUGCAAAACUAUUGUCUGGGCUCAAUAAAGAAGCUGCUGAUCAAAAAGAUCUUCACAAUUUAUUCAUCAUCUCUGAUGGACAAUUCCCAGAGGUUUCCAAUGAAGAGUUCUGUCUUGUGCGCAAAAUCUUGAUGUUUUACUUUCUUAGGUGAUGUUGCUUUAUUGAUAUUUGUCUUCUUUCGAUGAUCUGUUUGUCCCCAGGUUGCCGAAGCAAGGCAAAAAGUUCAGUUGGCUAAUGAGAACUUAGAUUCGAUGAUUAGCAUUUAUCGUAAACAAGUGCAAGAUCGCAGUUUGAUGUUCACGAGUGUAGCUGGUAUUACUCAUUUGAUAGAGGUACUUUGAUGUAAAUUGAUCCACAUUGACCUUUCAAAAGCUCAGAAUAGUAACUGGAUGUCUGAAUUAUGAGAAAGUUUUGCAUUGGAAUUUUCAUAGUUGCUAUUUGUUAAAGGUAUGAUGAGAUAUAGCAGCUCAUUCUGAAUUUUUUUUUUCUAUAGCGACCUAUUUUUGGUUUUCUAUAUUCUUGAUUCUACUUGAUGUUGCACUUUUCUAUUACCUCUUGUGUGAAGUAAUCAGGGACUGAAGUAAAUUGUUCCUCGGCAUAAUAAUUGGUUGACUAUUAGAUGAAGAUAUUAGUAUUCCAUGUAAUAUAUUUUGAGGUAUACGUAUCUUUUCAUUCAAUCAAGGAUUUAAACUCAUUUGUCUAAUCUUGAACUGUUAUGCUGUUUUAGAGCACCAGUUUGAAUUCCCUACUUAUAUUUAACAUCGACUGCAGUUGCCACUAACCGUGAAGGCGCCUCUAAAUUGGGUGAAGGUAAAUAGUACCAAAAAAACAACUCGCUAUCACCCUCCUGAGGUUUUGAUGGCUUUGGACCAGUUAUCCUUGGCCAAAGAGGAGCUUACUCUUGUUUGCCAAGCUGCUUGGGAGGGUUUCUUGAAGGCCUUUGGUGGAUAUUAUGCUGAGUUCCAAGAGGCUGUCCACGCUCUAGCUGCCUUGGAUUGCCUGCAUUCACUUUCCAUUCUUUCGAGGAAUAAGGUUUGCUAUUGGAUACUAUUUUGAAGUGCUCAUAAUCUUUUAAAAUUUUUGAUGUUUGUAACCUUCUCAACCUGUCUGCUGCAGAAUUAUGUUCGUCCAGUUUUUGUCAAUGAUAAUGAGCCAGUUCAGAUACAGAUAUCUUCUGGCCGUCAUCCUGUACGUACUUUUGAUUGUUUUGCAUUACAUGUUGAACUCAGUUUGGAGAAUCCUGAUUUUCUCUAUGAUCUGUAUAGUCUAUGAACUUGAGCUUAUGGAAUUCUUUGCCUAUGUUCCAUUUGAUAUCUGUUCUGCUUUGCUUGCAGCUAGUCAGAUUUAACAGCACUGCCUCACUAUGUUGCUCAAUCAUCUUAUAGCCCGUGAUUCUUUUUUAAUUUCAUUAGAUUUUUGUGUUUAUCACCGUCCUUUUUUGCACUUUGGUAUGUGCAGUGUUUUGUCAGCUCUUCUGAAAUAACAGAGUUGUCAUUCCUUCUUCAUCUUCUUCUUUUUUUGUUUGCACGCACAUUUUGCAAAUAUUUUUUGCUCCUUCCUGUUUUAUCAAUCAUUUAUUAUUGAUUAAUCCAUUUUGUUUCUUUGUCUCAAUAUAUUUGCGUCAUAGAUAUCCUUAAUACAUGAUAUGAUUCAUAGUCUCACACUUGCUUACUUUAAUCUAUAAAAUAUAAUAUUAUAGUGUCUUCCAAUUCUACCAGGUUAUGGAGACCGUAUUACAAGAUAAUUUUGUCCCAAAUGAUACAAAUUUGCAUGCUGAAGGAGAGUACUGUCAAAUUAUUACUGGACCAAACAUGGGUGGAAAAAGCUGCUAUAUUCGCCAAGUUGCUCUGAUUGCUAUCAUGGCUCAGGUAGAAGCAACUUUCAGUACUUUAUUAAUUUCCAUGGUUCUUUUUUGCCAAGUAACAAGCUGGUUUUCCAAAUCAUUGCCAUUCAUGAAGUAUUUUUCAAGCUUUAAUUCUGAUCUUUCUGGUCAAGAAGUUUAAUUUAAGACAUUAUGGGGCUUGUUUCAACUUGGUAACGCAUGAGAUAUGGGUGUUGGAGGCACAAGAAUUAUGUUGCUGUUUAGUUCUAUAUUCUGUGACUUGACUGCUGGGUAAAGUGUAUUUGCUGUAGGUCAUAGUCUAUUUUCUUUUUCUGGAGACACCCACUUUACAAAUUGUACACUCGGAUGAAAUGAUGAUUAUAGUUUUUCCUUUACAUUCCCUUGAAUGUUAAUAACUUAUCCGCUAUUAAACUUUGAAGAAUCAAAGAAACUCCAACUCUCUAUUACAAAUUGAAGAUUUGUUUUGCUGAAUCUCGUGGUGAUAAAGAGAACUUUAACAUUACUGCUUUAACCAAAAUUCGCUCUCAUCCUCAUAGGUCGGUUCCUUUGUACCAGCACUAUCUGCAAAGCUGCAUGUGGUAGAUAGUAUUUAUACUCGAAUAGGAGCUUCUGACAGUAUUCAACGAGGAAGAAGUACCUUUUUGGAAGAACUGAGUGAAGCUUCUCUCAUACUGCGGAAUUGCACAACCCGCUCGCUGGUUAUUAUCGAUGAGCUUGGCAGAGGGACAAGUACGCAUGAUGGUGUAGCCAUUGCCUAUGCUACACUGCAAUAUCUUCUUGAGAAUCUAAGAUGUAUGGUCCUAUUUGUCACCCAUUACCCUAAGAUAGCUGAUAUCAAGAAUGAAUUUCCAGACUCCGUGGCAGCAUAUCAUGUUUCAUAUCUGACUUCGCAGAAAGAUGAUCAACUGGGUUUAGACUCUAACUUGACUAUGGAUGGCAUGAAUCAAGAACAUAUCACUUACCUUUACAAACUUGUGCCUGGUGUUUCAGAAAGGAGCUUUGGCUUCAAGGUAGCUCAGCUUGCAGAGGUUAGUGGGUUGCCAGAUCGGUGAAUAACACUUAGAACUGACUUUUCAGUGGCAGAAUUUGGUACUAAGAUUAUAAAAAUUUUAUAGUCAAUACUGAAACGUCUGGAAAGAUGUUUUUCCUUUUGUUGCUUGUCAAUAGUUGUUGCAUAUCUUGUUUGGCAAAGGGACACAAAGAGCAAAGUCGUUGGUAGUAUAAUCUUCUUGUUCCUCUCUUUUCAAUAAGCCAUACCGGCUGAAUGCUGGGGUUGGUUUAGAUCCUUAACAUAUUCUCAUGUAAGAAUAAUUGCCGUGCCAUUUUUCUAUUGCAGCUGCCAUCGUCCUGUAUUGGACGAGCCAUUGAAAUGGCUACAGGAUUGGAAGCAGCAGUAUGCAACAGAGAGAGAGAAAGGCUGGUGAUGAAAUGUGCCACAGAAAGUGAACUGAAUUUAAGCGAUAAAGCAAAGGCGAGAGAAGAUGAAGAAAGAGAAGAGAGUAUCUUGAAUCCUGUUGAUUCCUUGGAUACUGGAAAGAUCGAAAGCUUAAGAGUAUUUUGCGAUGCUUGGAGGGAGUUCUUUCCAUACUUGAACCUUGCAGUUUCAGGAGAAAGUGAUGAUGCAGAAAGGUUCCAAAUUUUGAACCUUGCGAAAAGACUUGCACUUGAGUUGAUAAACAGAUGAAUGUGUACCGAAGUUAUUGUUUUGCGAGUUAUCUAUUGUUUAAUCCGCAAUAGUCUUUGCAAUUGCGUUUGCCUCGAAUCCUUGCUUGGGUGCUGUCCGUUGUCUUUUAAUUCCCCAUGUAACUGAUGAGUUAUUUCUGCAUUCUGGCCCAGUUAAAAGAGGAUUUCUAUGGUGUGAGAGCCUAAAUCUACGCUCUUUCGUCUUAAACUCUUACACCCAGAUACCAGAUUCAAGGCUGAUGGUACAAGGCACUGGUCCAUGAAGGGUGCGGAAUAAUUUGUCUUAAAAACAUAAAAAGUAAAACUAGUCUUAGUUUAAUACAAGUUUGAGAGAAUUAUGGUUUGGUCCCAAAUGUUUGGAGCAUGUGUGAUUUUAGUUCUUAAAGUUUGGAUAAAAGCAAAUGUAGUUCUAAAUGUUUUUAAUAUCUAAGCACAUUUUAGUUCAAUUGACUAAUUUUUGCCAAUUGAACUACAUAAUUUUAUUAUUUCUAAAAUGAAAAAAAAAGAAGAGAAAGCAUUCACUUUUAUUGUUGAAUUUUGGGAAAGGAUUUCAGUUUUAAACUAAACAUAAUUACAUUAGGCUUGUUUAUCAAUCAGACAUACAAACCUCCUCGAGAAUAAGUUAAUCCAUCCAUAGAACUUCAAAUUUAUAUUUAAUUAUGAGAAAAAGAUGAAGGGAAUGGGCCUGAUUUAACUCCAACUUAGCACUAGCUUCAGGGAAUGGGCCUGAUUUAACUCCAACUUCGCACUAGCUUCUGCAGAAACUAGUUAGUUGCUAACUGCUCCUCCCUCUAUGACAUGACAUACCGCCCCUGGUCGACAUCUACCAUAACACUACCAAAUGGAAUAUAAAUUCGAACCCAUUCUGCAUAUAGCUGACGACAAUUGACAAACAGCCGAAAAACGACGGUGUAAGGGCGAUCAAGCGUGUUAACGGCGAUUGAGGAGUGAAGGGGACUGGGCCUUUUCCUUCUUCCUUUGGAACCAUCAAACUCCUAUUGAUUCCACGGCAUUGGUGACUGGUGAGCGUGUCCUGCGCGUUGUAUUUGAUUCGAAUUAUAUGAAAUAGUAUAUCUGAAAUAAAUUGCGUGGAUCCAUGAUUACUUGUCUAAAGCCCAUUGUCUUGUCUGCUUAUCUAAAGAGAGAGAGCUCGACAACCCCAUUGGGAGUCUCCUUAAGUCUAAUUUUUCUCUUGUUUCUUGAUGAGGGACUAGGAAAACACGUGAAGAGAUGAAUGGCUAAAACCAAGUUCUAAUGAUUCUGGUAUUUCUUUAACUUCUAGAUGUUACUAGUACAUAUUAUGAGGCUAUUUGGGCUUGCUUCCCCGGUGUUUUGCUUCUACUGUAAUUUGAUGAUGGUUGAUGUUUCUUGUUGUCUGCGAAAGGACUUCUUGAAGCAUGAUAAAUUUUUUUUUUUUAAAUCACAUUGCUUUUAAUUCUUGUCAGAUUUUGGAUUUCUUGUACUGUGAUUGUAUUAUCUACUAUUGUCUCAUUUCUUUUUUGAUGCAAUCUAGAUGAUAAUUUUGGUUAAUUCCCAUGUGAUUGAUUGCUCUACCCUUCCCCCACCCAAAAUAGAAAAUGAUUGUGAUGAUUGUUCAGUUGGACUUAAGGCAGUGAUGCAUACUUCCUGUCCACAAAAUUGCAGGUCCGGCCAAAUGAUCUGCGCUUUUGUAGCCGACAAAUAGAGCAAAUUGAACUUAGCGCUGAGUGAUUAAAACGAGCUGAUUCUGAAAUUCGCUUUUUUCCCAAAGGGCAAUUUCGGCUAAAUUUUACAAUCUAAAGAUGAUCUGAGAUGAUCAGGAAUUUGAAGAGGAUCCAGACCAAGAUUUAGAGGAUCAUUUGAGUGCAUAGACAACAUUCAAGCGUAACCACAAAAAACUAAUUACAAAAAUGAGUCAAUCAGCUCCUCCAUAUAUGCACAGAGCUUUGAUAAAUCAGAAAGAAACAAGGUGGGCUCACGUAAUCCAAUAGAAAUGGCUUCCAUACUACAAUAUAACUCUCUCUCUUUUAUACCUGAACAUUGUCAUAGAGUUCGAACAAUGGAACUGCAAGAAGUUUCAAGUUCUUUGGAACAGCAAAAUACUCUCUUUCGGAAAGGUGAACAAGGAAAAGCUUUUUACAUUCCUGCAAAGCCAGGAAUAGGUAAGCAAAAUGAUCACUGCAAACAAAAGACUAAGGCAUAGAUUAAGGAAACAUGUUGGCUAAACCAACUUACCUUAGGUUUUGUUAUGUGGGGAGGGCAGUAUGGAUACAUUAUUGUUUCAAAAUUCGGUCUCCACCAUAUGGCCACACAUUCACCAAUCUGAAAUGAAAUGUUGCACAUGAAGUAGGCAAAUCAUUCAAAAAAAAGUAAAUAAGUACAAAGAAAGGUGAAGAAAAAAAAAAAUCAAAUCUCUAUCGAGUAAUGAGAGAUUUGAAGUGUCAAAAUACUAAACUGUGGCUUGAGUCUAUAUUCUUCUUUUACAUACUUUUUUUUCCUCAUCUCUGGGCAACCUCUCAUGCAAAUUUGGCAGUGUUUCCCACACACACUGUUCUUGAACAAUAUACUAAUUUAAAGAUUUAAGGACAGCCUCACAAUCAAGUAGGUCAAGAACAAAAAGGGAAAGUGAAGGAACAAAUACCUGCCAAUCUGGCUGAAGAGCUGCUGAAUUAGCAGCAAGUUUGCUCGACAGUUUCCGCUUCAAGCCCUCGAUUUCUGCAAUUUUAACAAUAAGCAUGAAUGAAGUUUCAAUAGUCCUCUAUGGCAUGUCCAUUUCAGAAUAUUGUCCAUCAUCUCUAAGAGUUGGACUUGCAUCGCACAUUAACAAGUUCUUCAAGUUCAAUAAAGUAACAAUUAAUGGUACUGUUCAGAUCCAACGGGGGUGCUUCUAGGACUUUAGCUCAAAUUUCAAAACCAUUCGAAUAGACAAGUAGAAGGUCUAUCAUCAUGCUCAGAGUGACAAAAUUGCUAUAAUAAAUAAUAUAGACAGAUAAAAAACAAUCAUUUUAAUAAUACUACCAUAUCGGUUAUACAAUUUUUUGGGGGUACAUUACAGGAUUAAAGGCCCAUUAAUUAUCAUUAUAUACUUGAAAAAAAAAGGAGGAAGAAGAAGCUAAAGGCUAAUACCAUUCUCUCCAGGCUUCAGCCGCCCACCAGGAAGUUUGCAGAAAGUAUUACCAAUUUGAAGAAGAAGAAUGUGUGGAUGAUUGUGCUCUUGUACCUGUUAGUCACAGCCAUCAAAAGCUAUUAUUUAACAUAACAAUAUGGUUUACCUAUCAAAAAUAACUACUAAUUCAUAGGGAUUCUCAUCAUUAAAGUACAAAAAAAUGGGCACAACAAAUCAGACCAACUAUUCGCUGGCAUCGAAAGUCAGUAAAAGCACCACAGGUUGUAAUAAUGUCAAACUUUUACCCAGAAUAUCAAUCAUGCUAUGCAAUAAAGACAACACCAACCACUACUUCAUACAGCAUGAGUUCUUUUUUUUUUUUGGCUUUGGUUUUUUUUCCCUUUUUUUUUUCCCCGGGGGGGGGGGGGGGAGGGGAGGGAGGGUUGGAGGGUUUGUUUACGAGUUUCAAAUAAAAAAAAGAUACAUAAACAAGUUAUUGGACGGUAAACGUUUUACAUGCAUUGAAUUCAGCAGAAAAGGAGCAUUAUAGUUAGUUCACAGAGGAGCACAUUCAACUUGAAGAGUCAAGGAAUGGAAUUUGUUUGACAAAAAACAGAGAGAGUGGUGAAGCAGGUCAAAGAACCUAGGGCAGCAAUAUUUUUGACGCAAUCAUACACAGCAUGAUACUAGAAGAAGCAGGUCAACAGAUUACCACAAAGAGUGCAACAUGAAAAAAGCAACUUAGGAUAUUAAAUUCACGGGUUAGUACUAGGUUACAAAUAAAUUCAUGCUCAAAUCAUAUUAAUUUCCAUGCUAUUUACAUGUCUGGGUCAAAAUUAAAUUCAAACUUCCUAACAGUCAAACGAAAAGCUGUUUACCCGAACAUAUGUAUUUGAAACUCAUCUAUAGAGAACUCGGGACCCGACCCUCUCAGGGAAAACCUAGAAUGGGAAACCUCUCUUUCUCAUAUGAUUAUCCAUAUUAUCCGAUACAUUUGCAAGCAAAAAGCUUAGCUAUAGUAAUCAGCAUCAAAGAUUUGCUCAGUUCCUUGCAAAUUGAGUAAAGCGGCAACCAUAUAUAACCAGAAAAGGGGAGAAUUAAAAAGGCAGUACGAGUAAAAAUGUUUACCAGUAAAAUUCCUUCUACGCUAGUCCUCAUGCCCUCCUUCAUAUAACUGCACCAGGAAAAAGGGAAGAAAGUAAGAUGCUGGUACGUGAUCUAGGGUUUUAGACUGCAUAAAUAAGAAUUAAGCUAAGACGAGGUUUAACUAGGGUUUUUCUUUGAUAAAUCGCAUGAAUCAAACAAAAAACAAAGGAAACGUACAAAAUGGAUCGGAGAAAUCAGAAAGAGAGAGCAGAGACGUACUUGACUUUCAUGCGAGCAAGGCGAUCGGCAACGGAGGUGUCUUUCUCCAUCUUCGGCUCCUUUGUCCCGAAGGUGUAACUAGACAGCGGGUACGUGUUCACCACCGAUGACGUCACCAUUUUCUCUCGAUCUCCCUCUAUCUCUCUCUCUCCCGUCCCCCGGCUGACAGCCCUUGCCCUGCUUUUUCCUCUUCUCUUUUGGCUCUGCAGAGAUUAUAACAAGUCCACUUCUACUGCUUAGGACAUAUCACAAAAUCUUUUCCCUCUCCGGAAUUUGCAGGCGGUGUCUUGUCGAAGCAUCUCAAAGUGUUUUGUGUGUUUUCACCAAAAAAAAAAGUGUUUUGUGUCUUGGGCUUUGGGUUGGAUGUCGGACCAGAAUUAUAAUGGCCGCUUUAGUCAUAACUUGGGUCCCAAUACCUAAGAGGGCCUAAGCCAGACCCAGGUGGAUAUCAUUGGCCCAUACAUGGGGGUUUUUUUAUUUUUAAAUUCUUUUUUUUUCCCUUUUUUUUUUUGGUGCGCUCUUGGACAUUCUCAGGUUUUGGCUUUCAUUUAUGGAUAUGAUAAAAUUGCACUUGCCAUAAAUCCCCUUCCUUCUCUUGCCAUAAAAUUGCACUUGCCAUUGGGAGGAUCAGACCAAGGACUUCUAUUGACUGCUCCACGAGAUAAAUCACUUUUCCUUUUUUCUUUUUUAUUUUUUUUUAUUUUACGGCGAUCAAAAUCUCUAUAUUAUGGGGAAGGGUGCUAAAAGCCCACAAAAGCCGAUUAUGAGAAUUGCAUGUCUCCUUCUAAAACAUUAUCGAUACUAUAAAUGGAGGAACACGGGUAAACAAGACCUCUAAACUUGGCAUAUAGUAGCCGACGUGAGCAACUUUUUGAAUCAAUUUUUGCUCUCAAGAUACAACUAGUGGAUGUAGAACAUCAUUCCUUUUUCAAGUUUCAUGAUACCUUUAAAAAAUAAAAAAAAAAUAAAAGAGAGUUUCAUGAUAUUUGACAGUGAAUAGCUUUACCACACGUUGUAGGAUAAGGUGAUGGAUAAGGGUGCAUGGAAAGUGAGGAAUGUAGGGUUUUAAUGUAGAGGUUAAGCUCAUAAUAUGUAGUACAUCCUAAAAUCACGACAUUCUACUGCAAACAAAGGUGGUGCUUGGUUUAUAGAUACAUCCAAGUCACUGGUUCUUGAACUUAUAAUAGUUUAGCAUAUCAGUAUCUAAAACAUUUUAUAGAAAAAAAAAAAAAAAAAAAAACUGUGAAAACCUGGGUUUCAGACUGAUUAUUGAAACUCGACGGAACAACAAAAAUCCAUACAGAUGGUGAAGUUUAUACCAUUUCCAUUACAAUUCCAAUUCCUGAAUUCCAACCAAACACCUGUGGAUUUUUCUCUUAGUGAUUAUGAUAUAAAAUACGUUGCAUGUCAUUUGGAAUAGUGAAGCUAGCUAAUUCAAUAUCACUAGUAGUCGUGCUCAUAAUGAAAAAAAAUUUGUAGUCUAAUUCUAUUGUUAAUUUGCAUUGCCAUACAAUGAAUUAAGGAUAAUCCUUAAGAUUAAUCUUUCCACAAGGAAACUUAUAAUUCUACGGAUAAUGCUUAGAAUUAAUCUUAAGACAUCUCUACAUAUAAAAGCAUGAGAACUUUUUGGUACUAAAAAUUUCUGUCAUGUAAUAAACUGUUUAAUAUACCCUUCUUCUUUUAAACGUUUAUAAUCCACUUCCUCUUCUGUCUCUUACUUACUCUUAUUUCUUUCUCUCAAUGAUAUUUAGUAAUAUAACUUUCUUCAAACUAUCGUUAACUCGUGAAAAUCAUACAAUAUUUCAAAAAAAAAAAAGGUAAGUUGCAGAAAUUUUUUGCCCAUGUGUUCCUCUAGUUAAUUUAGUAUUAUUUGUCUUUGCAAAAAUUUAUUUAUUCGUUAUUUACUUCUACAAUAUGCAUACACAUAAUGUGCGUCUUAUCUACUGGUACUAAUUAAUUCUUGGAUGCCUCUUUUAUAUCCUUUGAGAUAAGGCUGGCAUGCCUCUUUUAUAGCCCCCGGGCAGAUCGACUGGUUUCUGUAGUCCCCUCUUUAGGGGCAGGUCACUGGUUCGACCCUCGGGAGAACUAACACGCUGUGAACCUUGGGGCGGGGCUCUCACAGCCGCAGGGGAUUAGUCGGGUCCAAUGGUUUCGAACACUCCUGUGUCAACAAAAAAAAAAAAAAAGGAGAUAAGGCUAGCAUGCGCACAAUUUCAAAUUUUGGAAGAGGAUUUCUCUUUCGUUCCAUGGAAAAGAAAAUCCACGCUGCCCUUCGAUUGACUAAGUGUAUCCGUAAUAUGAUUUUAUAACAAAUUUCCUAUUCGGAAUCCUCGACAACACACACAGACGUACUCUCAUAACAUUUUUACGCAAGAGACACUCGAAUUCGAAUGGUAAAGAAAAGCUGAGUGGAGAGUCUGGAGGGUAAAGGGCCAAAUAGUUUUCGGAUCAAAAAAUAUGAGUGUUAGUCCUAAUCGAAUUGAGCACUUUUUCUUUUUUACUUUUUUAAUUUAACGAGUUUGAAAUUGUGCAUAAACUCGGUUUAUUUAUUUUUUAAACCUAAUUUAAAUAAAUUUUGAUCAAGUGGAGAUUAAGUCAAGCUCAUAUAAUUUGAAUUUUACUAUUCCAUACUCAAAUUUGACUAUGUAACUGCUUGGGCUAGAGUCAAGAGAGCAUCAAAAUUUCGAUGGAAACAAUUCCAUGUUUUUUUUUUUUGGAUAAUAAAUGGUCGCAUCUUUAGUGCCAGCAAUUAAUGUGCUCUUCUGCAGUGGUUAUCUAUUUUUUCCACAUUGUUUACUUUUUGAGAAGCCUAUCUUUCUCCUUGAACCUGAAGUAACCGAAGAAAAUGCUAAACAGGAAAGAAUAAGUCAGUUGUUUCUCUCGUUAGUCGUUAACCUUAUAAACUGAGUAUAAUUAAUCCUACUAAAGCGCUCAUUUGUAUAUAUGUUCAUACAUAUCAAUGUGCUUGUUACAUUUAACAUACUUCUGCUUUCUCAAACAUCAGAAUUACCUUUAGAACCAAAAAUCAUACUUCUGCUUUCUCAAACAUCAGAGUUACCUUUAGGACAAAAAAUCAUAUGAUUAAAUUCCACAUUAUUCUUGUCCUUGAGAUUUUUAUUUUUUUUUUUCAGAUAGCAACAGAUAGUCUAGUUUACUCCUACUUCUACUCUAACCUACAUAGGGGUGAAGAGAUCUAAUAGGACUAGAGAAACUGACGAGAACUGAAUCACUAUCGAAGUUGAUGAGUGCCCUAUGAACUUGUAUGGAUUUAAAUGAAAUCACAUAUAGUAGUAUAUUGAUGAGAGGUGAACCCUUAAUCUCUUACCCCCAUAAAGAUUUAAAGUCUAUGGUGGUGGCCAAUCGCCAAAAGGCCGUUGGUUAUGAUGCUGUUAAUGUAUUCGAAAAAAUCACCUAAGCCAUGUACAUUGUAGUAUUUCUUUUUUACCAGCCACAUCGCAUAAAAAGUCGUAGACAUAAUAUUAUUGUUUGAAGGAAAAUAUUUCUAGCGGGUAUUUUAUGAAGCCAGAAUUAAUAAAAUGGAUCCUAGUCCACUAUAACCACUCAGUGAAAAGAAGGCAACAAUUGCAUCAAAUUCUGUGCAGACUCCCGUUAGCUGGCACGCUUGUCACCGUAAUGCUGCUGAAAUUUGGGGAGAUUUUUUCAUUUCAAUGAGCAAGCGUACGUAGAGCUUCUUGUGGGAUUGUGCUAAUUAAUGUGCAUGAAACUUACACCGGGCGGGAGGGAGGUUUCACUGUAAGUUGGAAGCAUUUGUUUGGAUCAAAGUAUGGAUCACCGUAUAUUGCUAAUAAAGAAUCAGGUAUGGAGUCUGGAUCAAUAUUGUUGUCAAGUAUAUUGGUAGAAGGAAAUGAGCACGUAAAAUACAUCAAGAAUUAAGACUGUAUAUUCAGCAUAAAAAUCAUCACGAAGACAAUAGCACGAUAUACCCCUCAAGAUUUGCUGAGUUUGAUGUAAAUAUUCUACUACAAAAAAACAUCGUGUGAGAAGUAAUUAGCGGACGUUAGAAACACGAGUCAAUUCGUAGGAGUGAUACUCUAUAAGAAGAAUCACCUUAUUAUUGGCUUAUUCUUCUUCUGCUACCGCUAAAAACUUGCAGGACCCCGUCUGAGCCGCCGGCGACGAGUGUGCAUUGGUCUUCUCCCAUUUGCCUCCAGCAUACGCUGCUCACAAACCCUGCACCUGUAGGCUCGCAAUAUUCCCCCCCGGAAUAUUCAGCUCGACCUGGAGCCGGAGCUCCAGCAGAGGAUGGCUCGAAUCUCUUGACCCAAACAGGCGAGCCCCAUCUCUUAUCGUAGACAACAACUUGAUUGUCCUCGGAGCCACAGCUAAGCAGCCCGCCGCCCCUCCAAACGGAUAACCGACGAAUCUCCUGGCGUUGACGUGUCCCGUGUACGUCCGAAUAAGCCGAUGAUCUGCAGUGUGCCACGUCUUCAAGCACCCAUCAAUGCCGGCUGUCACCAUUGUGUGGCGAUCCAGGAAUCUGAUGUAGGUCACGGAUCUCUGAUGCCCGUCUAAAACCAGGACCGGGUCCCCCAUCCUCCUCACAUCGUAACCGUACACCUUCGGUCAGCACAUCCUGCGGCGACCAGGCAGCCACGAAUGGAUUGAAUUCCACGCAACACACUGGGCUCCCCCCGCGCUGGGCUGCACCACCCCCAAGCACUCCCCUCCCUCGCACCGUGGGUCCCACACCUGCAUGGUGCCAUCGUCCGACCCUGACGCACCCACCACUGGAUCAGAGGGGGAGUAGUCCAUGCUCCAUACCCGCCUGCCCCCAUGUUCGUCCCGCUCGAACACCGGCAACCUUCUCUCCAGGUCAUACUCCAUUACUACCCCGUCGUAGUCCGCCGACCCCAGCACACCUCCGCCCGACCCCGGUUUCCACCGGAGGCUGCUAAGCUUAGCCGGGGUACAAAUGUAGAAGUCCCAUGCAUUGGCGUGGUCUAGCGCGGCCGUCGCAACUUGUUCAUACGACGAACUUAAUCCUUCGUGGGGCAACAAAGACGCGGUGCGGUAUAUACGAAUUUUUCUUGAGAUGCCGCCGGUGGCCAAUAACGAUCACAAGGGUCAAAUAGAUUGGUGAUGUUGACUACUGCAGUUAGUAAGUCAUCUUCAAAUAAUUAGAAAGAAGAUGGUUGACCAUUUUCCCAGGAAAACUACCUAUACUCAAAUUAGAAUUAAAGACUUUUAAAAGAAGCAUGAAAUCUUUUUAGACUCAACGGUUUAUAAUAUCUAGUAAAACAUAUUGAUCAUACUUUUUGUUGGUUCUUUAACACAUACUAUUUAAGUUACUAUUUGGUGAUAAAAGCAAAAUUUUAUGAAAUAUAGUUUUAAUGUUAUUUUAAAUAAUGUUCUUUUGGAAGAAAUUCUAUAAAUACUUUUUGCCAAUAUUGAUUGGAAUUGUUGUUAAAAACUCUAGAUAAUAUAACUCUCUUUUUUAUUUUUUAUCCUUUGUUCUCUUUCUGCCAUUCUUCCAAAGAUUUAUAAUUUACUCAUGGGAUGUUUGGUCACUUGUAUGCAUGACCCCAUUCAAUAGCGGUAAAAAGUGAAAAACUUGUAAUGUUUCUUUCGUUCCUUCUGCAUAGAUUUGGGAGCGUAGUGCAAUAAGAUAACAUGGAAUAAACAGUUCACACAAAAUAUCAGCCACUCGUAAUCUACUCCUAGAGAUAAGUGUCUAUCAGCCAACACAAAAUAUCUCUAGAGUCUAUCGGUAAGAAUCUUAAUCAGUCAUCCUGUGGCUCUAGCUUUGGGAUUGGGGUCUUGGAGGCUUGGGUUUGGACUUUGACUUUAAUUUUUGCUUGUCCCUUGGGUUUCGGCUUGGAGCCUUUAAGGUCUCAUCUUCAUUGUGUCCAUAAUAGGAGCGAUCAAAUGGAACUCCUCCAAGCUUAAUUUGACGGUUACAAGCGUGAGAAUCCAGCCGUGAUUUGUCAAACAGAUUACCACAAUGACUGCACUCAUUCGGUCUUCAGAACCCUAACUCGAGAACCAAAUCAAUCAUACCCAACAUGACUGCUCUGUCGCGAUCAACGAAGGUUCUUUGGGCCUAUAGGGCUGCCAAGAAGGCUGCCAAGGAGGCUCACGAGACCUAUGUCGAUGCCAAGGAUGACGCUAACAGAAACCACGCCCGGCUGCUGAAUUUUUCCAAGAUCGUGAUUGGAUCCGUGGCGGAUCUCAACACUGUUAUCCGUCUGAAGGAGACCCAUGAGACUUGGCAGGUGGAGGUUGAACUCCUGAGGAAGUACAAGCCGCAAGGGCAAAACAAAUCCUCUGUAAAACGCCUCCGGCAUAUGGCCGCGGAGGCCCGAAUCCCUUUUUUGGCUAAAAAAAUUAGGGCCUAAGGGAAUGUGAGGGUUUAGGGUUUAGGGUAUGGGGUAUGGGGUAUGGGAUAGUAGGGGGUAUGGGGUAGUAGGGGGGAAUGGGAUCUGCCUGAUGCGUCUGAGUUUCGACGUUAUACUUUCUAUCUUGUAUAUACUAUAUAUGCUAUCGCCUAUCGUUAUGCUUAAAAAAAAAAAAAAAAGACUGCACUGAUUCAAUUUCUCCAGAUUUUUCUGUGAUCUCUUCUACCCCGUUCCGUAAUGCUUAUCCAGCACCCGCAUAUACCUCUUGGGCAAAUCAAUGUGAUAAUGCCGCCUCAGUUUCUCCAGAGAAGGAGAACACUGAAAGCGGCAAUGAUAAUAUUGAAAUACCAUAUCUCUAGCGUCUUCCUUUUUUCAUUUUUAGAUUCUUUUUUUCUUCUUUGAGCAGAAGGAUUUUCAGCCUUCUUCUUCAGCAUUGCUCUGUUUUUACUUCCCCUACUCUUCAGAUGCAGAUUCUUUAUCCCCCCAAUAUGCAGACGGCCAAAUGCAGGACGGAGAGGGUCUGCUAUAAUAUAUUCCAUUUAAUUGGAUUGAGCAUUAAAAAGAAUUCUGCUACUACUUUUAAUAUGUUUGGCUUUACUAAACUUUAUAUUGUUAGAAGUUUUUCAAUAACUACACACGACUUUAAUACACAAAAAAUAAAUAUUGUAUUUGUAUCAAUUGCUCCCUUCUCAACUUCUUUUUUUUUUUAAAUUAAAAGAGUUGAAAAAUCACUAUGAUUCAACUUACGUGGAGUUGAAACAAGUGGAUGAGAGGCGAUAACAAGGAUUAACAUGUGCAAAAAUGCAACAAACUCGUUGAUGGUAAUAGACCUUUCGAAAACCAUAGAAGUACUUGUACAAAAUAAAUAAAUAAAUAAAACAUGAUGAUAUGGAGUAGUACACUUUUAGAGGUUAUAAGAAAUGUGAUGAGGUGGAGAUCUUCAAUGCUGAAAUAAUAAUUAAGAUUUACUUCACUUUUAUUUUUCUUAAAUAGCAUAAUCAAGAGUCAAUUGCUUAUGCUACUCCUUUCGGUAUAAAUAGUGAUCAACAAUUUUAUUUUAUUGGUAUUUGACUUGCCCAAAUUAGGUGAUGAUAGAUUUUACUGGAAGUCUCUUUUGAAGAUAAAUGUGAAAAAUUAUUCUGCAUUUUUAAAGAAAAUUACUAAAUACAGGGGAGGUUAAGUGAUUUACUUGGGUCUGAUGUUAAUUUUGGUAGGUUAGGGUGUUCAUUAGAAUUUUGCAGUAUUAAGUCUUAACUCAUGUAACUUUUGGAUUCAAUAUUAUUAAAUAUUAAUUUCUUGAAUCAGUAACUUCUAAAUUCAACAUUAUUAAUGUUUUGUAUCGUGCAACUUCAUAAUGUAACGUUAAUGUGUUAAUGUGUUGGUUUAAACAAAGAUAUUCUUUCAUAUCAAUUUCUUUUGUUGGGAUCAUUUUCAUUUAAUUCUUGUAAUAAAUACAUUAAAAUUUUCAAAUAAUAUGAUCCAAUGCCUUGGAUAUAAUAAAAAAUAUAUCACAUUUCUAUAUCUAAUUUCAAAUAAUAUUAUGAAUUUAUGACUAUUAUACUAAAUUUGUCUAUAUCUAAUUGUUACUACUUUGAUUUAAUAGUCCAUAAACAUUUUCUAAUCAAUAUGAAUUAUUUUUUAAAUUAUGGUAAAAUUUUCAUCGAUAUCCUUCUGUAUGUUGUAGUUAAAUUGAUUUUGUUUAAAGUCAAUUUAAUUUGCAUAUGUUGGACAAGUUUAGUAAAUUUUAAUUUAGAUUAUUAUUUUUUAUGUUAUAAUUGUAUUGACAUUAUGUGUUGGAUCUUUAUUUUGUAGUGUUUUUCUUCUUUUAUAUCAUGAUUAAUUUUGGGCUAGUAUAUAACAAAUUCAACAAAACCAAUUAUAUCCAAUUUUAAUAUAUUAGAUUGGUAAUAUGCUAAUUAGUCAUCUUGAUUUUGAGUUGAUACUUAAAUGUUAGAUUGGUGAUGUUGACUACUGCAGUUAGUAAGUCAUCUUCAAAUAAUUAAAAAGAAGAUGGUUGACCAUUUUCGUCGGAGAACUACCUAUACUCAAAUUAGAAUUAAAGACUUCUAAAAGAAGCAUGAAAUCUUUUUAGACUCAAUGGUUUAUAAUAUCUAGUAAAACAUAUUGAUCAUACUUUUUGUUGGUUCUUUAACACAUACUAUUUAAGUUACUAUUUGGUGAUAAAAGCAAAAUUUUAUGAAAUAUAGUUUUAAUACUAUUUUAAAUAAUGUUCUUUUGGAAGAAAUUCUAUAAAUACUUUUUGCCAAUAUUGAUUGGAAUUGUUGUUAAAAACUCUAGAUAAUAUAACUCUUUUUUUUAUUUUUUAUCCUUUGUUCUCUUUCUAUCAUUCUUCCAAAGAUUUAUAAUUUACUCAUGGGAUGUUUGGCCACUUGUAUGCAUGACCCCAUUCAAUAGCGGUAAAAAGUGAAAAACUUGUAAUGUUUCUUUCGUUCCUUCUGCAUAGAUUUGGGAGCGUAGUGCAAUAAGAUAACAUGGAAUAAACAGUUCACACAAAAUAUCAGCCACUCGUAAUCUACUCCUAGAGAUAAGUGUCUAUCAGCCAACACAAAAUAUCUCUAGAGUCUAUCGGUAAGAAUCUUAAUCAGUCAUCCUGUGGCUCUAGCUUUGAGAUUGGGGUCUUGGAGGCUUGGGUUUGGACUUUGACUUUAACUUUUGCUUGUCCCUUGGGUUUCGGCUUGGAGCCUUUAAGGUCUCAUCUUCAUUGUGUCCAUAAUAGGAGGGAUCAAAUGGAACUCCUCCAAGCAUAAUUUGACGGUUACAAGCGUGAGAAUCCAGCCGUGAUUUGUCAAACAGAUUACCACAAUGACUGCACUCAUUCGGUUUUCAGAACCCUAACUCGAGAACCAAAUCAAUCAUACCCAACAUGAUUGCUCUGCCGCGAUCAACAAAGGUUCUUUGAGCCUAUAGGGCUGCCAAGAAGGCUGCCAAGGAGGCUCACGAGACCUAUGUCGAUGCCAAGGAUGACGCUGACAGAAACCACGCCCGGCUGCUGAAUUUUUCCAAGAUCGUGAUUGGAUCCGUGGCGGAUCUCAACACUGUUAUCCGUCUGAAGGAGACCCAUGAGACUUGGCAGGUGGAGGUUGAACUCCUGAGGAAGUAUAAGCCGCAUGGCCAAAACAAAUCCUCUGUAAAACGCCUCCGGCAUAUGGCCGCGGAGGCCCGAAUCCCUUUUUUGGCUAAAAAAAUUAGGGCCUAAGGGAAUGUGAGGGUUUAGGGUAUGGGGUACGGGGUAUGGGAUAGUAGGGGGGUAUGGGGUAGUAGGGGGGAAUGGGAUCUGCCUGAUGCGUCUGAGUUUCGACGUUAUACUUUCUACCUUGUAUAUACUAUAUAUGCUAUCGCCUAUCGUUAUGUUUAAAAAAAAAAAAAAAGACUGCACUUAUUCAAUUUCUCCAGAUUUUUCUGUGAUCUCUUCUACCCCGUUCCGUUAUACUUAUCCAGCACCCGCAUAUACCUCUUGGGCAAAUCAAUGUGAUAAUGCCGCCUCAGUUUCUCCAGAGAAGGAGAACACUGAAAGCGGCAAUGAUAAUAUUGAAAUACCAUAUCUCUAGCUUCUUCCUUUUUUCAUUUUUAGAUUCUUUUUUUCUUCUUUGAGCAGAAGGAUUUUCAGCCUUCUUCUUCAGCAUUACUCUGUUUUUACUUCCCCUGCUCUUCAGAUGCAGAUUCUUUAUCCCCCCAAUAUGCAGACGGCCAAAUGCAGGACGGAGAGGGUCUGCUAUAAUAUAUUCCAUUUAAUUGGAUUGAGCAUUAAAAAGAAUUCUGCUACUACUUUUAAUAUGUUUGGCUUUACUAAACUUUAUAUUGUUAGAAGUUUUUCAAUAACUACACACGACUUUAAUACACAAAAAAUAAAUAUUGUAUUUGUAUCAAUUGCUCCCUUCUCAACUUCUUUUUUUUUUUAAAUUAAAAGAGUUGAAAAAUCACUAUGAUUCAACUUACGUGGAGUUGAAACAAGUGGAUGAGAGGCGAUAACAAGGAUUAACAUGUGCAAAAAUGCAACAAACUCGUUGAUGGUAAUAGACCUUUCGAAAACCAUAGAAGUACUUGUACAAAAUAAAUAAAUAAAUAAAAUAUGAUGACAUGGAGUAGUACACUUUUAGAAGUUAUAAGAAAUGUGAUGAGGUGGAGAUCUUCAAUGCUGAAAUAAUAAUUAAUAUUUACUUCACUUUUAUUUUUCUUAAAUAGCAUAAUCAAGAGUCAAUUGCUUAUGCUACUCCUUUCGGUAUAAAUAGUGAUCAACAAUUUUAUUUUAUUGGUAUUUGACUUGCCCAUAUUGGGUGAUGAUAGAUUUUACUGGAAGUCUCUUUUGAAGAUAAAUGUGAAAAAUUAUUCUGCAUUUUUAAAGAAAAUUACUAAAUACAGGGGAGGUUAAGUGAUUUACUUGGGUCUGAUGUUAAUUUUGGUAGGUUAGGGUGUUCAUUAUAAUUUUGCAGUAUUAAGUCUUAACUCAUGUAACUUUUGGAUUCAAUAUUAUUAAAUAUUAAUGUCUUGACUCAAUAACUUCUAAAUUCAACAUUAUUAAUAUUUUGUGUCGUGCAACUUCAUAAUGUAACGUUAAUGUGUUAAUGUGUUGAUUUAAACAAAGAUAUUCUUUCAUAUCAAUUUCUUUUGUUGGGAUCAUUUUCAUUUAAUUCUUGUAAUAAAUACAUUAAAUUUUUUAAAAUUUUGAUAUGCUUUCAAAUAAUAUGAUCCAAUGCCUUGGAUAUAAUAAAAAAUAUAUCACAUUUCUAUAUCUAAUUUCAAAUAAUAUUAUGGAUUUAUGACUAUUAUACUAAAUUUGUCUAUAUCUAAUUGUUACUAAUUUGAUUUAAUAGUCCAUAAACAUUUUCUAAUCAAUAUGAAUUAUUUUUUAAAUUAUGGUAAAAUUUCAUCGAUAUCCUUCUGUAUGUUGUAGUUAAAUUGAUUUUGUUUAAAGUCAAUUGAAUUUGCAUAUGUUGGACAAGUUUAGUAAAUUUUAAUUUAGAUUAUUAUUUUUUAUGUUAUAAUUGUAUUGUUAUUAUGUGUUGGAUCUUUAUUUUGUAGUGUUUUUCUUCUUUUAUAUCUUGAUUAAUUUUGGGCUAGUAGAUAACAAAUUCAACAAAACCAAUUAUAUCCAAUUUUAAUAUAUUAGAUUGGUAAUAUGCUAAUUAGUCAUCUUGCUUUGGAGUUGAUACUAAAAUGUUAGAUUGGUGAUGUUGACUACUGCAGUUAGUAAGUCAUCUUCAAAUAAUUAGAAAGAAGAUGGUUGACCAUUUUCGCAGGAAAACUACCUAUACUCAAAUUAGAAUUAAAGACUUUUAAAAGAAGCAUGAAAUCUUUUUAGACUCAACGGUUUAUAAUAUCUAGUAAAACAUAUUGAUCAUACUUUUUGUUGGUUCUUUAACACAUACUAUUUAAGUUACUAUUUGGUGAUAAAAGCAAAAUUUUAUGAAAUAUAGUUUUAAUAUUAUUUUAAAUAAUGUUCUUUUGGAAGAAAUUCUAUAAAUACUUUUUGCCAAUAUUGAUUGGAAUUGUUGUUAAAAACUCUAGAUAAUAUAACUCUCUUUUUUAUUUUUUAUCCUUUGUUCUCUUUCUGCCAUUCUUCCAAAGAUUUAUAAUUUACUCAUGGGAUGUUUGGCCACUUGUAUGCAUGACCCCAUUCAAUAGCGGUAAAAAGUGAAAAACUUGUAAUGUUUCUUUCGUUCCUUCUGCAUAGAUUUGGGAGCGUAGUGCAAUAAGAUAACAUGGAAUAAACAGUUCACACAAAAUAUCAGCCACUCGUAAUCUACUCCUAGAGAUAAGUGUCUAUCAGCCAACACAAAAUAUCUCUAGAGUCUAUCGGUAAGAAUCUUAAUCAGUCAUCCUGUGGCUCUAGCUUUGGGAUUGGGGUCUUCGAGGCUUGGGUUUGGACUUUGACUUUAACUUUUGCUUGUCCCUUGGGUUUCGGCUUGGAGCCUUUAAGGUCUCAUCUUCAUUGUGUCCAUAAUAGGAGGGAUCAAAUGGAACUCCUCCAAGCUUAAUUUGACGGUUACAAGCGUGAGAGUCCAGCCGUGAUUUGUCAAACAGAUUACCACAAUGACUGCACUCAUUCGGUUUUCAGAACCCUAACUCGAGAACCAAAUCAAUCAUACCCAACAUGACUGCUCUGCCGCGAUCAACGAAGGUUCUUUGGGCCUAUAGGGCUGCGAAGAAAGCUGCCAAGGAGGCUCACGAGACCUAUGUCGAUGCCAAGGAUGACGCUGACAGAAACCACGCCCGGCUGCUGAAUUUUUCCAAGAUCGUGAUUGGAUCCGUGGCGGAUCUCAACACUGUUAUCCGUCUGAAGGAGACCCAUGAGACUUGGCAGGUGGAGGUUGAACUCCUGAGGAAGUACAAGCCGCAUGGCCAAAACAAAUCCUCUGUAAAACGUCUCCGGCAUAUGGCCGCGGAGGCCCGAAUCCCUUUUUUGGCUAAAAAAAUUAGGGCCUAAGGGAAUGUGAGGGUUUAGGGUAUGGGGUAUGGGGUAUGGGAUAGUAGGGGGGUAUGGGGUAGUAGGGGGGAAUGGGAUCUGCCUGAUGCGUCUGAGUUUCGACGUUAUACUUUCUAUCUUGUAUAUACUAUAUAUGCUAUCGCCUAUCGUUAUGCUUAAAAAAAAAAAAAGACUGCACUUAUUCAAUUUCUCCAGAUUUUUCUGUGAUCUCUUCUACCCCGUUCCGUAAUGCUUAUCCAGCACCCGCAUAUACCUCUUGGGCAAAUCAAUGUGAUAAUGCCGCCUCAGUUUCUCCAGAGAAGGAGAACACUGAAAGCGGCAAUGAUAAUAUUGAAAUACCAUAUCUCUAGCUUCUUCCUUUUUUCAUUUUUAGAUUCUUUUUUUCUUCUUUGAGCAGAAGGAUUUUCAGCCUUCUUCUUCAGCAUUACUCUGUUUUUACUUCCCCUGCUCUUCAGAUGCAGAUUCUUUAUCCCCCCAAUAUGCAGACGGCCAAAUGCAGAACGGAGAGGGUCUGCUAUAAUAUAUUCCAUUUAAUUGGAUUGAGCAUUAAAAAGAAUUCUGCUACUACUUUUAAUAUGUUUGGCUUUACUAAACUUUAUAUUGUUAGAAGUUUUUCAAUAACUACACACGACUUUAAUACACAAAAAAUAAAUAUUGUAUUUGUAUCAAUUGCUCCCUUCUCAACUUCUUUUUUUUUUAAAUUAAAAGAGUUGAAAAAUCACUAUGAUUCAACUUACGUGGAGUUGAAACAAGUGGAUGAGAGGCGAUAACAAGGAUUAACAUGUGCAAAAAUGCAACAAACUCGUUGAUGGUAAUAGACCUUUCGAAAACCAUAGAAGUACUUGUACAAAAUAAAUAAAUAAAUAAAAUAUGAUGAUAUGGAGUAGUACACUUUUAGAGGUUAUAAGAAAUGUGAUGAGGUGGAGAUCUUCAAUGCUGAAAUAAUAAUUAAGAUUUACUUCACUUUUAUUUUUCUUAAAUAGCAUAAUCAAGAGUCAAUUGCUUAUGCUACUCCUUUCGGUAUAAAUAGUGAUCAACAAUUUUAUUUUAUUGGUAUUUGACUUGCCCAAAUUGGGUGAUGAUAGAUUUUACUGGAAGUCUCUUUUGAAGAUAAAUGUGAAAAAUUAUUCUGCAUUUUUAAAGAAAAUUACUAAAUACAGGGGAGGUUAAGUGAUUUACUUGGGUCUGAUGUUAAUUUUGGUAGGUUAGGGUGUUCAUUAUAAUUUUGCAGUAUUAAGUCUUAACUCAUGUAACUUUUGGAUUCAAUAUUAUUAAAUAUUAAUGUCUUGACUCAGUAACUUCUAAAAUCAACAUUAUUAAUGUUUUGUGUCGUGCAACUUCAUAAUGUAACGUUAAUGUGUUAAUGUGUUGGUUUAAUCAAAGAUAUUCUUUCAUAUCAAUUUCUUUUGUUGGGAUCAUUUUCAUUUAAUUCUUGUAAUAAAUACAUUAAAUCUUUCAAAUAAUAUGAUCCAAUGCCUUGGAUAUAAUAAAAAAUAUAUCACAUUUCUAUAUCUAAUUUCAAAUAAUAUUAUGAAUUUAUGACUAUUAUACUAAAUUUGUCUAUAUCUAAUUGUUACUACUUUGAUUUAAUAGUCCAUAAACAUUUUCUAAUCAAUAUGAAUUAUUUUUUGAAUUAUGGUAAAAUUUUCAUCGACAUCCUUCUGUAUGUUGUAGUUAAAUUGAUUUUGUUUAAAGUCAAUUGAAUUUGCAUAUGUUGGACAAGUUUAGUAAAUUUUAAUUUAGAUUAUUAUUUUUUAUGUUAUAACUGUAUUGUUAUUAUGUGUUGGAUCUUUAUUUUGUAGUGUUUUUCUUCUUUUAUAUCUUGAUUAAUUUUGGACUAGUAGAUAACAAAUUCAACAAAACCAAUUAUAUCCAAUUUUAAUAUAUUAGAUUGGUAAUAUGCUAAUUAGUCAUCUUACUUUGGAGUUGAUACUAAAAUGUUAGAUUGGUGAUGUUGACUACUGCAGUUCGUAAGUCAUCUUCAAAUAAUUAGAAAGAAGAUGGUUGACCAUUUUCGCAGGAAAACUACCUAUACUCAAAUUAGAAUUAAAGACUUUUAAAAGAAGCAUGAAAUCUUUUUAGACUCAAUGGUUUAUAAUAUCUAGUAAAACAUAUUGAUCAUACUUUUUGUUGGUUUUAUAACACAUACUAUUUAAGUUACUAUUUGGUGAUAAAAUCAAAAUUUUAUGAAAUAUAGUUUUAAUAUUAUUUUAAAUAAUGUUCUUUUGGAAGAAAUCCUAUAAAUACUUUUUGCCAAUAUUGAUGAAAAUUUUUGUUGAAAUUGUUGUUAAAAACUCUAGAUAAUAUAACUCUCUUUUUUAUUUUUUAUCCUUUGUUCUCUUUCUGCCAUUCUUUCAAAGAUUUAUAAUUUACUCAUGGGAUGUUUGACCACUUGUAUGCAUGACCCCAUUCAAUAGCGGUAAAAAGUGAAAAACUUGUAAUGUUUCUUUCGUUCCUUCUGCAUAGAUUUAGGAGCGUAGUGAAAUAAGAUAACAUGAAAUAAACAGUUCACACAAAAUAUCAGCCACUCCUAAUCUACUCCUAGAGAUAAAUGUCUAUCAGCCAACACAAAAUAUCUCUAGAGUCUAUCGGUAAGAAUCUUAAUCAGUCAUCCUGUGGCUCUAGCUUUGAGAUUGGGGUCUUGGAGGCUUGGGUUUGGACUUUGACUUUAACUUUUGCUUGUCCCUUGGGUUUCGGCUUGGAGCCUUUAAGGUCUCAUCUUCAUUGUGUCCAUAAUAGGAGGGAUCAAAUGGAAUUCCUCCAAGCUUAAUUUGACGGUUAUAAACGUGAGAAUCCAGCCGUGAUUUGUCAAACAGAUUACCACAAUGACUGCACUCAUUCAAUUUCUCUAGAUUUUUCUUUAAUCUCUUCUACUCCGUUCAGUAAUGCUUAUCCAACACCCGCAUAUACCUCUUGGGCAAAUUAACGUGAUAAUGCCGCCUCAGUUUCUCCAGAGAAGGUGAACAUUGAAAGCGGCAAUGAUAAUAUUGAAAUACCCUAUCUCUAGCUUCUUCUUUUUUUUUUUCAUUUUUAGAUUCUUUUAUUCUUCUUUGAGCAGAAGGAUUUUCAGCCUUCUUCUUCGGCAUUACUCUGUCUUUACUUCCCCUGCCCUUCAGAUGCAGAUUCUUUAUCCCUCCCAUAUGCAGACGGCCAAAUGAAGGAAUAGCAGACCCUUUCCUGACGGAGAGGGUUUGCUAUAAUAUAUUUCAUUUAAUUGGAUUGAGUAUUAAAAAGAAUUCUGCUACUACUUUUAAUAUGUUUGGCUUUACUAAACUUUAUAUUGUUAGAAGUUUUUCAAUAACUACACAUGACUUUAAUACACAAAAUACAAAUAUUGUAUUUGUAUCAAUUGCUCCCUUCUCAACUUCUUUUUUUUUUAAAUUAAAAGAGUUGAAAAAUCACUAUGAUUCAACUUACGUGAAGUUGAAACAAGUGGAUGAGAGGCGAUAAUAAGGAGUAACAUGUGCAAAAAUGCAACAAGCUCGUUGAUGGUAAUAGACCUUUCGAAAACCAUAGGAGUACUUGUACAAAAAAAAUAAAUAAAUAAAACAUGAUGAUAUGGAGUAUUACACUUUUAGAGGUUAUAAGAAAUGUGAUGAGGUGGAGAUCUUCAAUGCUGAAAUAAUAAUUAAGAUUUACUUCACUUUUGUUUUUCUUAAAUAGCAUAAUCAAGAGUCAAUUGCUUAAGCUACUCAUUUCGGUAUAAAUAGUGAUCAACAAUUUUAUUUUGUUGGUAUUUGACUUGCCCAAAUUGGAUGAUGAUAGAUCUUACCGGAAGUCUCUUUUGAUGAUAAAUGUGAAAAAUUAUUCUGCAUUUUUAAAGAAAAUUACUAAAUACAGGGGAUGUUAAGUGAUUUACAUGGGUCUGAUGUUAAUUUUGGUGGGUUAGGGUGUUCAUUAUAAUUUUGCAGUAUUAAGUCUUGACUCAUGUAACUUUUGGAUUCAAUAUUAUUAAAUAUUAAUGUCUUGACUCAGUAACUUCUAAAUUCAACAUUAUUGAUGUUUUGCGUCAUGCAACUUCAUAAUGUAACGUUAAUGUGUUAAUGUGUCGGUUUAAACAAAGAUAUUCUUUCAUAUCAAUUUCUUUUGUUGGGAUCAUUUUCAUUUAAUUCUUGUAAUAAAUACAUUAAAUUUUUUAAAAUUUUGAUAUGCUUUCAAAUAAUAUGAUCCAAUGCCUUGGAUAUAAUAAAAAAUAUAUCACAUUUCUAUAUCCAAUUUCAAAUAAUAUUAUGGAUUUAUGUCUAUUAAAUUAAAUUUGUCAAUAUCUAAUUGUUACUACUUUGAUUUAAUAGUCCAUAAAUAUUUUCUAAUCAAUAUGAAUUAUUUUUUAAAUUAUGGUAAAAUUUCAUCGAUAUCCUUCUGUAUGUUGUAGUUAAAUUGAUUUUGUUUAAAGUCAAUUGAAUUUGCAUAUGUUGGACAAGUUUAGUAAAUUUUAAUUUAGAUUAUUAUUUUUUAUGUUAUAAUUGUAUUGUUAUUAUGUGUUGGAUCUUUAUUUUGUAGUGUUUUUCUUCUUUUAUAUCUUGAUUAAUUUUGGACUAGUAGAUAACAAAUUCAACAAAACCAAUUAUAUCCAAUUUUAAUAUAUUAGAUUGGUAAUAUGCUAAUUAGUCAUCUUGCUUUGGAGUUGAUACUAAAAUGUUAGAUUGGUGAUGUUGACUACUGCAGUUAGUAAGUCAUCUUCAAAUAAUUAGAAAGAAGAUGGUUGACCAUUUUCGUCGGAGAACUACCUAUACUCAAAUUAGAAUUAAAGACUUCUAAAAGAAGCAUGAAAUCUUUUUAGACUCAAUGGUUUAUAAUAUCUAGUAAAACAUAUUGAUCAUACUUUUUGUUGGUUCUUUAACACAUACUAUUUAAGUUACUAUUUGGUGAUAAAAGCAAAAUUUUAUGAAAUAUAGUUUUAAUACUAUUUUAAAUAAUGUUCUUUUGGAAGAAAUUCUAUAAAUACUUUUUGCCAAUAUUGAUUGGAAUUGUUGUUAAAAACUCUAGAUAAUAUAACUCUUUUUUUUAUUUUUUAUCCUUUGUUCUCUUUCUAUCAUUCUUCCAAAGAUUUAUAAUUUACUCAUGGGAUGUUUGGCCACUUGUAUGCAUGACCCCAUUCAAUAGCGGUAAAAAGUGAAAAACUUGUAUUGUUUCUUUCGUUCCUUCUGCAUAGAUUUGGGAGCGUAGUGCAAUAAGAUAACAUGGAAUAAACAGUUCACACAAAAUAUCAGCCACUCGUAAUCUACUCCUAGAGAUAAGUGUCUAUCAGCCAACACAAAAUAUCUCUAGAGUCUAUCGGUAAGAAUCUUAAUCAGUCAUCCUGUGGCUCUAGCUUUGGGAUUGGGGUCUUGGAGGCUUGGGUUUGGACUUUGACUUUAACUUUUGCUUGUCCCUUGGGUUUCGGCUUGGAGCCUUUAAGGUCUCAUCUUCAUUGUGUCCAUAAUAGGAGGGAUCAAAUGGAACUCCUCCAAGCUUAAUUUGACGGUUACAAGCGUGAGAGUCCAGCCGUGAUUUGUCAAACAGAUUACCACAAUGACUGCACUCAUUCGGUCUUCAGAACCCUAACUCGAGAACCAAAUCAAUCAUACCCAACAUGACUGCUCUGCCGCGAUCAACGAAGGUUCUUUGGGCCUAUAGGGCUGCCAAGAAGGCUGCCAAGGAGGCUCACGAGACCUAUGUCGAUGCCAAGGAUGACGCUGACAGAAACCACGCCCGGCUGCUGAAUUUUUCCAAGAUCGUGAUUGGAUCCGUGGCGGAUCUCAACACUGUUAUCCGUCUGAAGGAGACCCAUGAGACUUGGCAGGUGGAGGUUGAACUCCUGAGGAAGUACAAGCCGCAUGGCCAAAACAAAUCCUCUGUAAAACGCCUCCGGCAUAUGGCCGCGGAGGCCCGAAUCCCUUUUUUGGCUAAAAAAAUUAGGGCCUAAGGGAAUGUGAGGGUUUAGGGUUUAGGGUAUGGGGUAUGGGGUAUGGGAUAGUAGGGGGGUAUGGGGUAGUAGGGGGGAAUGGGAUCUGCCUGAUGCGUCUGAGUUUCGACGUUAUACUUUCUAUCUUGUAUAUACUAUAUAUGCUAUCGCCUAUCGUUAUGCUUAAAAAAAAAAAAAAAGACUGCACUUAUUCAAUUUCUCCAGAUUUUUCUGUGAUCUCUUCUACCCCGUUCCGUAAUGCUUAUCCAGCACCCGCAUAUACCUCUUGGGCAAAUCAAUGUGAUAAUGCCGCCUCAGUUUCUCCAGAGAAGGAGAACACUGAAAGCGGCAAUGAUAAUAUUGAAAUACCAUAUCUCUAGCUUCUUCCUUUUUUCAUUUUUAGAUUCUUUUUUUCUUCUUUGAGCAGAAGGAUUUUCAGCCUUCUUCUUCAGCAUUACUCUGUUUUUACUUCCCCUGCUCUUCAGAUGCAGAUUCUUUAUCCCCCCAAUAUGCAGACGGCCAAAUGCAGGAACGGAGAGGGUCUGCUAUAAUAUAUUCCAUUUAAUUGGAUUGAGCAUUAAAAAGAAUUCUGCUACUACUUUUAAUAUGUUUGGCUUUACUAAACUUUAUAUUGUUAGAAGUUUUUCAAUAACUACACACGACUUUAAUACACAAAAAAUAAAUAUUGUAUUUGUAUCAAUUGCUCCCUUCUCAACUUCUUUUUUUUUUAAAUUAAAAGAGUUGAAAAAUCACUAUGAUUCAACUUACGUGGAGUUGAAACAAGUGGAUGAGAGGCGAUAACAAGGAUUAACAUGUGCAAAAAUGCAACAAACUCGUUGAUGGUAAUAGACCUUUCGAAAACCAUAGAAGUACUUGUACAAAAUAAAUAAAUAAAUAAAACAUGAUGAUAUGGAGUAGUACACUUUUAGAGGUUAUAAGAAAUGUGAUGAGGUGGAGAUCUUCAAUGCUGAAAUAAUAAUUAAGAUUUACUUCACUUUUAUUUUUCUUAAAUAGCAUAAUCAAGAGUCAAUUGCUUAUGCUACUCCUUUCGGUAUAAAUAGUGAUCAACAAUUUUAUUUUAUUGGUAUUUGACUUGCCCAAAUUAGGUGAUGAUAGAUUUUACUGGAAGUCUCUUUUGAAGAUAAAUGUGAAAAAUUAUUCUGCAUUUUUAAAGAAAAUUACUAAAUACAGGGGAGGUUAAGUGAUUUACUUGGGUCUGAUGUUAAUUUUGGUAGGUUAGGGUGUUCAUUAGAAUUUUGCAGUAUUAAGUCUUAACUCAUGUAACUUUUGGAUUCAAUAUUAUUAAAUAUUAAUUUCUUGAAUCAGUAACUUCUAAAUUCAACAUUAUUAAUGUUUUGUAUCGUGCAACUUCAUAAUGUAACGUUAAUGUGUUAAUGUGUUGGUUUAAACAAAGAUAUUCUUUCAUAUCAAUUUCUUUUGUUGGGAUCAUUUUCAUUUAAUUCUUGUAAUAAAUACAUUAAAAUUUUCAAAUAAUAUGAUCCAAUGCCUUGGAUAUAAUAAAAAAUAUAUCACAUUUCUAUAUCUAAUUUCAAAUAAUAUUAUGAAUUUAUGACUAUUAUACUAAAUUUGUCUAUAUCUAAUUGUUACUACUUUGAUUUAAUAGUCCAUAAACAUUUUCUAAUCAAUAUGAAUUAUUUUUUAAAUUAUGGUAAAAUUUUCAUCGAUAUCCUUCUGUAUGUUGUAGUUAAAUUGAUUUUGUUUAAAGUCAAUUUAAUUUGCAUAUGUUGGACAAGUUUAGUAAAUUUUAAUUUAGAUUAUUAUUUUUUAUGUUAUAAUUGUAUUGACAUUAUGUGUUGGAUCUUUAUUUUGUAGUGUUUUUCUUCUUUUAUAUCAUGAUUAAUUUUGGGCUAGUAUAUAACAAAUUCAACAAAACCAAUUAUAUCCAAUUUUAAUAUAUUAGAUUGGUAAUAUGCUAAUUAGUCAUCUUGAUUUUGAGUUGAUACUUAAAUGUUAGAUUGGUGAUGUUGACUACUGCAGUUAGUAAGUCAUCUUCAAAUAAUUAAAAAGAAGAUGGUUGACCAUUUUCGUCGGAGAACUACCUAUACUCAAAUUAGAAUUAAAGACUUCUAAAAGAAGCAUGAAAUCUUUUUAGACUCAAUGGUUUAUAAUAUCUAGUAAAACAUAUUGAUCAUACUUUUUGUUGGUUCUUUAACACAUACUAUUUAAGUUACUAUUUGGUGAUAAAAGCAAAAUUUUAUGAAAUAUAGUUUUAAUACUAUUUUAAAUAAUGUUCUUUUGGAAGAAAUUCUAUAAAUACUUUUUGCCAAUAUUGAUUGGAAUUGUUGUUAAAAACUCUAGAUAAUAUAACUCUUUUUUUUAUUUUUUAUCCUUUGUUCUCUUUCUAUCAUUCUUCCAAAGAUUUAUAAUUUACUCAUGGGAUGUUUGGCCACUUGUAUGCAUGACCCCAUUCAAUAGCGGUAAAAAGUGAAAAACUUGUAAUGUUUCUUUCGUUCCUUCUGCAUAGAUUUGGGAGCGUAGUGCAAUAAGAUAACAUGGAAUAAACAGUUCACACAAAAUAUCAGCCACUCGUAAUCUACUCCUAGAGAUAAGUGUCUAUCAGCCAACACAAAAUAUCUCUAGAGUCUAUCGGUAAGAAUCUUAAUCAGUCAUCCUGUGGCUCUAGCUUUGAGAUUGGGGUCUUGGAGGCUUGGGUUUGGACUUUGACUUUAACUUUUGCUUGUCCCUUGGGUUUCGGCUUGGAGCCUUUAAGGUCUCAUCUUCAUUGUGUCCAUAAUAGGAGGGAUCAAAUGGAACUCCUCCAAGCAUAAUUUGACGGUUACAAGCGUGAGAAUCCAGCCGUGAUUUGUCAAACAGAUUACCACAAUGACUGCACUCAUUCGGUUUUCAGAACCCUAACUCGAGAACCAAAUCAAUCAUACCCAACAUGAUUGCUCUGCCGCGAUCAACAAAGGUUCUUUGAGCCUAUAGGGCUGCCAAGAAGGCUGCCAAGGAGGCUCACGAGACCUAUGUCGAUGCCAAGGAUGACGCUGACAGAAACCACGCCCGGCUGCUGAAUUUUUCCAAGAUCGUGAUUGGAUCCGUGGCGGAUCUCAACACUGUUAUCCGUCUGAAGGAGACCCAUGAGACUUGGCAGGUGGAGGUUGAACUCCUGAGGAAGUAUAAGCCGCAUGGCCAAAACAAAUCCUCUGUAAAACGCCUCCGGCAUAUGGCCGCGGAGGCCCGAAUCCCUUUUUUGGCUAAAAAAAUUAGGGCCUAAGGGAAUGUGAGGGUUUAGGGUAUGGGGUACGGGGUAUGGGAUAGUAGGGGGGUAUGGGGUAGUAGGGGGGAAUGGGAUCUGCCUGAUGCGUCUGAGUUUCGACGUUAUACUUUCUACCUUGUAUAUACUAUAUAUGCUAUCGCCUAUCGUUAUGUUUAAAAAAAAAAAAAAAGACUGCACUUAUUCAAUUUCUCCAGAUUUUUCUGUGAUCUCUUCUACCCCGUUCCGUUAUACUUAUCCAGCACCCGCAUAUACCUCUUGGGCAAAUCAAUGUGAUAAUGCCGCCUCAGUUUCUCCAGAGAAGGAGAACACUGAAAGCGGCAAUGAUAAUAUUGAAAUACCAUAUCUCUAGCUUCUUCCUUUUUUCAUUUUUAGAUUCUUUUUUUCUUCUUUGAGCAGAAGGAUUUUCAGCCUUCUUCUUCAGCAUUACUCUGUUUUUACUUCCCCUGCUCUUCAGAUGCAGAUUCUUUAUCCCCCCAAUAUGCAGACGGCCAAAUGCAGGACGGAGAGGGUCUGCUAUAAUAUAUUCCAUUUAAUUGGAUUGAGCAUUAAAAAGAAUUCUGCUACUACUUUUAAUAUGUUUGGCUUUACUAAACUUUAUAUUGUUAGAAGUUUUUCAAUAACUACACACGACUUUAAUACACAAAAAAUAAAUAUUGUAUUUGUAUCAAUUGCUCCCUUCUCAACUUCUUUUUUUUUUUAAAUUAAAAGAGUUGAAAAAUCACUAUGAUUCAACUUACGUGGAGUUGAAACAAGUGGAUGAGAGGCGAUAACAAGGAUUAACAUGUGCAAAAAUGCAACAAACUCGUUGAUGGUAAUAGACCUUUCGAAAACCAUAGAAGUACUUGUACAAAAUAAAUAAAUAAAUAAAAUAUGAUGACAUGGAGUAGUACACUUUUAGAAGUUAUAAGAAAUGUGAUGAGGUGGAGAUCUUCAAUGCUGAAAUAAUAAUUAAUAUUUACUUCACUUUUAUUUUUCUUAAAUAGCAUAAUCAAGAGUCAAUUGCUUAUGCUACUCCUUUCGGUAUAAAUAGUGAUCAACAAUUUUAUUUUAUUGGUAUUUGACUUGCCCAUAUUGGGUGAUGAUAGAUUUUACUGGAAGUCUCUUUUGAAGAUAAAUGUGAAAAAUUAUUCUGCAUUUUUAAAGAAAAUUACUAAAUACAGGGGAGGUUAAGUGAUUUACUUGGGUCUGAUGUUAAUUUUGGUAGGUUAGGGUGUUCAUUAUAAUUUUGCAGUAUUAAGUCUUAACUCAUGUAACUUUUGGAUUCAAUAUUAUUAAAUAUUAAUGUCUUGACUCAAUAACUUCUAAAUUCAACAUUAUUAAUAUUUUGUGUCGUGCAACUUCAUAAUGUAACGUUAAUGUGUUAAUGUGUUGAUUUAAACAAAGAUAUUCUUUCAUAUCAAUUUCUUUUGUUGGGAUCAUUUUCAUUUAAUUCUUGUAAUAAAUACAUUAAAUUUUUUAAAAUUUUGAUAUGCUUUCAAAUAAUAUGAUCCAAUGCCUUGGAUAUAAUAAAAAAUAUAUCACAUUUCUAUAUCUAAUUUCAAAUAAUAUUAUGGAUUUAUGACUAUUAUACUAAAUUUGUCUAUAUCUAAUUGUUACUAAUUUGAUUUAAUAGUCCAUAAACAUUUUCUAAUCAAUAUGAAUUAUUUUUUAAAUUAUGGUAAAAUUUCAUCGAUAUCCUUCUGUAUGUUGUAGUUAAAUUGAUUUUGUUUAAAGUCAAUUGAAUUUGCAUAUGUUGGACAAGUUUAGUAAAUUUUAAUUUAGAUUAUUAUUUUUUAUGUUAUAAUUGUAUUGGCAUUAUGUGUUGGAUCUUUUUUUGUAGUGUUUUUCUUCUUUUAUAUCAUGAUUAAUUUUGGGCUAGUAGAUAACAAAUUCAACAAAAUCAAUUAUAUCCAAUUUUAAUAUAUUAGAUUGGUAAUAUACUAAUUAGUCAUCUUGCUUUGGAGUUGAUACUAAAAUGUUAGAUUGGUGAUGUUCGCUACUGCAGUUAGUAAGUCAUCUUCUAAUAAUUAAAAAGAAGAUGGUUGACCAUUUUCGCAGGAGAACUACCUAUACUCAAAUUAGAAUUAAAGACUUUUAAAAGAAGCAUGAAAUCUUUUUAGACUCAAUGGUUUAUAAUAUCUAGUAAAACAUAUUGAUCAUACUUUUUGUUGGUUCUUUAACACAUACUAUUUGGUGAUAAAAGCAAAAUUUUAUGAAGUAUAGUUUUAAUAUUAUUUUAAAUAAUGUUCUUUUGGAAGAAAUCCUAUAAAUACUUUUUUCCAAUAUUGAUGAAAAUUUUUGUUGGAAUUGUUGUUAAAAACUCUAGAUAAUAAAACUCUCUUUUUUAUUUUUUAUCCUUUGUUCUCUUUCUGCCAUUCUUCCAAAGAUUUAUAAUUUACUCAUGGGAUGUUUGGCCACUUGUAUGCAUGGCCCCAUUCAAUAGCGGUAAAAAGUAAAAAACUUGUAAUGUUUCUUUCAUUCUUUCUGCAUAAAUUUGGGGGCAUAGUGCAAUAAGAUAACAUGGAAUAAACAGUUCACACAAAAUAUCAGCCACUCCUAAUCUACUCCUAGAGAUAAGUGUCUAUCAGCCAACACAAAAUAUCUCUAGACUCUAUCGGUAAGAAUCUUAAUCAGUCCUCCUUUGACUCUUGCUUUGGGAUUGGGGUCUUAGAGGUUUGGAUUUGGAUUUUGACUUUAACUUUUGCUUGUCGCUUGGACUUUGGCUUGGAGCCUUUAAGGUCUCAUCUUCAUUGUGUCCAUAAUAGGAGGGAUCAAAUGGAACUCCUCCAAGCUUAAUUUGACGGUUACAUGCAUGAGAAUCCAGCCGUGAUUUGUCAAACAGAUUACCACAAUGACUGCACUCAUUCAAUUUCUCCAGAUUUUUCUUUGAUCUCUUCUACCCCGUUCCGUAAUGCUUAUCCAGUACCCGCAUAUACCUCUUGGGCAAAUCAAUGUGACAAUGCCGCCUCAGUUUCUCCAGAGAAGGAGAACACUGAAAGCGGCAAUGAUAACAUUGAAACACCCUAUCUCUAGCUUCUUUCUUUUUUCAUUUUUAGAUUCUUUUUUUCUUCUUUGAGCAGAAGGAUUUUCAGCCUUCUUCUUCAGCAUUACUCUGUCUUUACUUCCACUGCCCUUCAGAUGCACAUUCUUUAUCCCCCCCAUAUGCAGACGGCCAAAUGCAGGAAUAGCAGACCCUCUCAUGACAGAGAGGGUCUGCUAUACUAUAUUCCAUUUAAUUGGAUUUAGGAUUAAAAAGAAUUCUGCUACUACUUUUAAUAUGUUUGGCUUUACCAAACUUUAUAUUGCUAAAAGUUUUUUAAUAACUACAUAUGACUUUAAUACAAAAAAUACAAAUAUUGUAUUUGUAUCAAUUGCUCCCUUCUCAACUUCUUUUUUUUUUAAAUUAAAAGAGUUGAAAAAUCACUAUGAUUCAACUUACGUGGAGUUGAAACAAGUGGAUAAGAGGCGAUAAUAAGGAGUAAUAUGUGCAAAAAUGCAACAAACUCAUUGAUGGUAAUAGACCUUUUGAAAACCAUAGAAGUACUUGUACAAAAAAAAAAUAAAACAUGAUGAUAUGGAGUAUUACACUUUUAGAGGUUAUAAGAAAUGUGAUGAGGUGGAGAUCUUCAAUGCUGAAAUAAUAAUUAAGAUUUAUUUCACUUUUAUUUUUCUUAAAUAGCAUAAUCAAGAGUCAAUUGCUUAUGCUACUCGUUUCGGUAUAAAUACUGAUCAAUAAUUUUAUUUUGUUGGUAUUUGACUUGCCCAAAUUGGGUGUUGAUAGAUUUUACCGGAAGUCUUUUUUGAAAAUAAAUGUGAAAAAUUAUUCUGUAUUUUUAAAGAAAAUUACUAAAUACAGGGGAUGUUAAGUGAUUUACUUGGGUCUGAUGUUAAUUUUGGUAGGUUAGGGUGUUCAUUAUAAUUUUGCAGUAUUAAGUCUUGACUCAUGUAACUUUUGGAUUCAAUAUUAUUAAAUAUUAAUGUCUUGACUCAGUAACUUCUAAAUUUAACAUUAUUAAUGUUUUAUGUCGUGCAACUUCAUAAUGUAACGUUAAUGUGUUAAUGUGUUGGUUUAAACAAAGAUAUUCUUUCAUAUCAAUUUCUUUUGUUGGGAUCAUUUUCAUUUAAUUCUUGUAAUAAAUACAUUAAAUUUUUUAAAAUUUUGAUAUGCUUUCAAAUAAUAUGAUCCAAUGCCUUGGAUAUAAUAAAAAAUAUAUCACAUUUCUAUAUCCAAUUUGAAAUAAUAUUAUGGAUUUAUGAGUAUUAAACGAAAUGUAAGGAUCGAAGACAACCUAAGAGGGGGGGUGAAUUAGGUUUUCAAAAAUCAACUAAGAUAUAAGCCACCUUUUUUAAAGCCUACAUUUCUUUUCUCAAAGACCACCCAAUAGAUCAGAUUACAAGAGAGCACAGGUAUUCGUGAGAUGAAGAGUAGAACAGUUUAUAUAGAAAAGCGGUAAAUGAAAAUAGAGAAACAAACCCGGCUUCAAACACAACUGAGGUUUGAUCAGCACUUUUAUAUACCAAGUUACUUCAAGUUGAACAAACUUGCAACCAAUGUCUUGUGUACAAGGGAGGGAUCACUUCUUUCUUGCCCCAAAUCACACUUGGUCAAGUAAGGAAGUUUUACAAAACACUCGAAAAACCCUCUCUAUGCUACACUAUUGAAGAAGCUGUGUCACACUUAAAAAACUACAAGAAGAUUGCACAAGCAAAGAGUACAAAUGUUCCUUUUGAGUAUUUUAACACUUGAAUCACUCACGAUCUGAUGUAGACUUGAUGUGCAAAGUUCUUCUGAGGUGGUUGACUUGGUUCUUUUUAUAGGAGAUCAAAAAAUUUUUCAAUUAAUGCUGUCAACGGGUAGAAGGCAACUGAAGAGUCAACUAGCCGUUGAUGCUGUCGGACGUCCGAUGUUUAGUUUUUUAUGCGUCCGAAUGAGAUCAAUGAGUUCUAGAAGUUUUCUUGAAUCUCUUAGGGCGUCCGAUCCCUUAUCAUUAUGCUUCCGAGGGUAGGAUGCACACUUGAAAUUUCUUUUUCAAUUCAUUCGGACGGCCGAUGCGUCCAGAGUGUUGCGUUCGAAGAGCAGCAACGCUUGUCGGACAUCUGAUACUCAGGUGUUGAGCGUCCGAUCAUUAUUAGUAAUCAUAGAAACCCUGGCUUGUCUUCUUCGGACGUUCGAGUCUGAGUUCUUCACACGUCCGAAGAUACUCAAAGGAUGUCGGACGUCCGAUACUCUCCUUUUGUGCAUCCGACAUCAUCCUCAGCACUCUUCAUCAUUUUUUAUCUUUUUUUUUGCUUUAAAUCCACAGACCUGUUUGGUGUCAUUUCUGAAAGGGAUCUCUACAAAAAGUAUUAGUAACAUCCAUUUAUUUUGUAAUCAUCAAAAGAUAUGAAUUGCGAUAAACAAUCUCCCCCUUUUUGAUGAUGACAAAAUAUUUGGAUAGAGCAAAAACUAUACGAACUGGGAUAUAACAGCUCCCCCUAACGAAGUGCAUGAGUAUACAGGAAGAAACGCAAUCAACACCAUCAGUGCUAAUCCAACGCAACUUCCCCUGAAAUUGACUCCCCCUAACUAGUUACUCUACACCAUCAGUGCUAAUCCAAUUCUCCCCCUUUUUGUCAUCACAAGAUUGAGUAUCAGUUUUGGUACCAACAGUAUCAGAUAACAUCAGUACAAUCCAUCAGAAAUAUUAUCAAUACACUCAUUAACAAUGUUCAGCACAGUUUGGAAUCAAUCAGAAACAUUCAUAACAAACACAUUCAUUCAGCAGAUUCCAAAAACACACAACCAUUCAUAACAACCAUUCAAAACAUUCAUAACAAACAUUUAGUUAUAACAUUCAUAAACAGUAGAAAAUAUCCAGUUGUACAGACCAAGUGUUCAACACUUAGUACAAAAGUGCAAUGCAAAAGAUGAACUAUAGUCCUAGAUUAAGGUGCAAUGACCUAGUAGUACCUAGAUGGUGAUUUUAGAUGAUCCAGGCCUCCUCCUGGCCAGACGAAACUGUUCAGGGUCCUCUUCUUCCUCAGUUUCUUCAUCAUCAUCUUCAUAUGCUUUCUCAGUUGCUGGAGCCUUGCCUUUAUCCUUGGGCUGAGAACUGGAAGCUAGUGUGGUCUCAGUACCAGUAGUUGGCCCUGUGGGCACAGGUCUUGGCUUAUUUGCAUUGUUCUCAGGUAUUGGAGGAACAAGAAAGUUUCUUUUUUUAAUGAAGGAGGAUUGUUGGUCAGAGGUCAUGGUCAUCAUGAGACCUUAUUCAAUAAGUAAGACAUGUUGUUUGAGAUCUUCAAGCAAUGAAAUGACUACAGAAUUGGAUGCAAAGGACCUGCUAGCAGAUUUUCUAGGAUGAAUAGUGAAAGGAGAGGCAAAGUCUGACUGAUCAUGAGAAGUCCUAGGAGUGACAGGGGUUUCAUGAAAAUUUUUCCUUCUAGACUCAGCCACAGUCUCCUUAUAGCACCAAUGGCCUUCAAAAAAUUUUAAGUUCUUUCGUUCAAAGUAAGCUUUUGAGAAAACUGAUGAAGCACUAUUUUUGGGAGAUUUUUCAGAAAAAGGUAUUUCAAAAUGGGCAAAAAUAUGGGUCAGAAAUCUGCCAUAAGAGAGCUUCCUACGACUGUCAGUGCUAAUUUUGAGCAAAAACUUGCACAUUACAAAUCCAAAGUCAAUGCGGAUUUUUUCAACAAAGCAGUAGAAAAAAUAGAGUUCCAUUUUGUUUGCAUCUGUUCUGUGGCCAUCAGUUGGCACCAACAGAUUUGAAAUGAUGGUAAAGAUGAUCAGAUUCUGAGGACUGAGAUCAUCCAAUCUUGCCUCAGUAGGAGUAUUGAAUUUGGUUUAAAAAUAGGCCAUGAGUUUAGCAUUGUAAAAAUGAUGGUAGGUAGAAGGAAAUUCCUCAUAUGAAAAAAAAUUUGUAAUUUUUCCUUUGAAACCAGGUUCAAUACUAAUUUUCAGAAUGGAAUUCACAAUGUCAGGAGAUAAUGUGAUGUCUACAGAGUUGACCCUAGAGAUAAGUUCAGUGUGUGGUUUACCCUUUCUAAGAUUAGCAAAGAAUUGAUGUAGCAUGUCAGGGUAAAAGACAUUAGGAAUGGUCAGAAGAUGAGUCCAUUUCUGGAAUUCAAACAGUUUAAUAACGGGUUCAAGAUCAAACUUAUGAAAUUCAUAGGGAAGGAUGAGCCUUUGGGUGAUAAACCCUUUUUGAGAGACUGACUCAAAUCUGUCUCUGGCUUCAUCAUUGAUGAAUUUUGAAAGAGGAGUGGGUUCUUCUGCUGGCUGAGAAACAGGAGCCUUUCCAGAACGUUUCCUAUUUGAGGUUUGUGUGGCAGAUGCCCCUACAUUUUGAGUCUCAGUCCUUGUCCUUGGAGACUUCCUGGUGGAGGUUCAGGAGUUUGCUGACUCCCAGUAGUGUUUCCUUCAUUCUGCUGAUCAUCAGAGGGAUCAACAGAUUGCUUUUUCUUGGAUUGGGGAGUGCUCUUCGUCUUUGCAGUCCUCUUUCUUUUAGCAGAAGACCUUGUGACAGUUUCAUCACCCUGGGUAGCCUGCUCUGGUUCCUCAUUUCCACCAACAAUGUUCCCUUCAGAGUUCUGCCCUUCCAUCUGCUCAUCAGAUGAUUCAGCAAUUGGAGUAACCAGUUUUCUUUGGACAGUUUUCUUCACUUUACCACCACGGGUCACAAUCUUCUUUUUGGGUGCCACAGGAGAUGGUUCCACAAUUUCAAUGUCUUCAUCCCUAAGUCUAAAAGAUCGUCCGGCACUAGUAGAUCCUCCUCUUAUUCUAAUCAUGAUACAAUGUGGAUAUGAUUUUUGAUGCAGAAUGUGGUGUACAGAGGAAGAAUGCAGUAAGGGCCAACUAGAGUGCACUAAGAAGCCAUAAGGAGAGAGUUAUGUGAAAUUAGGGUUUCAUAUGUAAAUUGAGAGUUUUGGGGUAGUUGGGGGUUAGGAGUGAUUUUUAUGAGUGGUUAAUGAGCAAUAGAAGUGUAAUUGAGUUGGUUGGUUCAAUUUCUCGAAACUUGGUUUGAGGAGAGAGAAAUUUGAAUUUCAAAUAUUAGAGGAAACUGAAAAAUUGCGUCCGAGACUUAUGGAGGAAAAUGAACUAAGAAGAAUGGGUAACUACCUUAUAGGACUCAAUUUUUGAGUAUCGGACGUCCGAACGAAGUGAAGCGUCCGACACAACCGUUCGAACCAGGAUUUUUUCUGAAACUGGACGAAGAACACUGUCGGAUGUCCGUUCCAAUUCAUCGGACGUCCGAUAAAGAUUGACUAGAAAUAAGACUUAGAAUAUUUUUUCUGAAACGCCCAAUUUUGUUCUCAAAAACACAAAUUGAUCUAGCGGAAGAGCUUUUGUGAGGAUAUCAGCGAUCUGUUCUUUAGAACAAACAAAUUCAACACGGAUUACCCCCUUGGAGACAAGAUCGCGAAUAAAAUGAUGCUUUAUAUCAAUGUGCUUAGUUCUAGAGUGUUGAAUGGGAUUUUUUGUUAGAUUGAUUGCACUAGUGUUGUCACAGUACAUGGGUACACAUUCAUAUACUAAACCAAAGUCAUUCAAUGUGUUUUUCAUCCAUAACAAUUGAGUACAGCAAGCACCAGCAGCAACAUAUUCAGCUUCAGUAGUGAACAAUAAGAUAGCAUUUUGUUUUUUACUAAACCAAGAGACCAAGCAAUUUUCAAGAAAGUUGCAUAUGCCAGUAGUACUUUUUCUAUCUAUUUUACAACCACCAAAUUCAGCAUCAGAGAAUCCACACAAAGGAAGUUCAUGACAUUUUGCAUACCACAAGCCAAAAUUUAAGGUUCCUUUAAGAUAUCUCAAGAUUCUUUUUACCGCAUUCAAGUGUGAUUCCUUUGGACAGAAUUGAAAUCGAGCACAUAAGCACACAACAAACAUGAUGUCAGGCCUACUAACAGUUAAAUAAAGUAAACUUCCAAUCAUACCUCUGUACUUCUUUUCCUCAACUUUUGUACCUUCUUCAUCUUUGUCAAGUUUGGUAGAUGUGCACAUAGGUGUUCCAACAGGCUUUGAGUCCUCCAUUCCGAAUCUUUUCAGCAACUCCUUGGUGUAUUUUGUUUGAUUUAUAAAUGUUCCAUCUUGGGUUUGAAUCACUUGGAAUCCAAGGAAGAAGUUUAGUUCUCCCAUCAUGCUCAUUUCAAAUUCUUUUUGCAUGAUGAUGGAAAAGUCCUUGCACAAUCUCUCAUUAGUAGCAACAAAUAUGAUAUCAUCCAUAUAUAUUUGCACAAUUAAAAGAUCUGGUGAGGUUUGUUUUGUGAAAAGUGUAGUAUCUACAAUGCCCCUUUUAAAACCAUUCUCAAUCAAAAAUUCACUUAGACGUUCAUACCAUGCUCUAGGAGCUUGUUUUAAUCCGUAUAAAACUUUUGAGAGUUUAAAAACGUGAUCUGGAUAAGAUUCAUUUUCAAAAUUAGGAGGUUGGUCAACAUAGACUUCUUGAUCUAUAAAGUCAUUUAAGAAAGCACUCUUAACAUCCAUCUGAAAUAAUUUAAAAUUCUUGAAGCAUGCAAAUACUAAAAACAUUCUAAUGGACUCCAGCCUGGCCACAGGUGCAAAAGACUCAUCAAAGUCUAUUCCCUCUUCUUGAGUGUAUCCUUUAACCACCAGCCUGGCCUUAUUUCUAACAACCUCCCCUUUAUCAUUCAUUUUGUUUCUAAAAAUUCACUUUGUGCCAAUGAUAGAAUGGCCUUGUGGUCUGGCAACCAGGGUCUAAACCUUAUUUCUUUCAAAUUGGAUUAAUUCUUCUUCCAUAGCUAAAAUACAGUGAUCAUCAUUCAAUGCAUCAACAACAUUUUUAGGUUCAAUAUGUGAUACAAAAGCAAGAUUAUCUACUAGGUGUCUAGAGGAACGAGUUCUGAACUUUUCAGAUGGAUCACCAAUUAUAAGAUCCCUGGGAUGAUUAUGAACAAAUUUUCAGGUUCUUGGAAGAUCAUUAGGAGUAGUGGUAUCUCUGUCAUUCACUUCACCAGCUGGACUGACUUGAGUAUCAGUAUCCUUUGAAUCAGUUUCUGGUGAGGCAGAGUCAUGAUCAUUGAUUGCUAGCUUCUUUAGUUCUUCUUGAACACCUGUAUCAUCAUCUUCACCACAACUCAUAGAAAUGUCACCAUUAGAUUCAUCAAAAAUAAUGUGUAUCGCCUCCUCUAUAAUCAGUGUUCUACGAUUAUAAAUUCUGAAACCUCUUUUAUUUUCACAAUAUCCCAAGAAAAUUUCCUCAUCAGAUUUCUUGUCAAACUUUCCAAGAUGUUCCUUGAUAUUCAAAAUGAAACAUUUACAACCAAAUAUUUUGAAGAACCAAAUAUUUUGAAGUAACCAACAACAGCCUUUUUGUCAAACAUCAGCUCAUAGGAGGUUUUGUUCAAAAUUGGUCUUAGGAGAACUCUGUUCAUGGUAUAACAGGCUGAGUUUAUGGCUUCAACCCAAAAAUAUUUUGGUAAAUUAUAUUCACUAAACAUGGUUCUAGCAGCCUCUUGGAGAAUUCUAUUUUUUCUUUCUACAACUCCAUUUUGUUGGGGGACUCUAACAAUAGAAAAUUCAUGAGUAAUGCCAUUAUGAUCACAAAAUUCUGAAAAACCACAGAACUUGAAUUCUGUCCCAUUAUCACUUCUAAUCCUGACAAUUUUCAAGCCAAGCAGAUUUUGUACUUUAGCAAAUAAUGAGAUAAAAUUCUUAAAGGCAUCAUCUUUAUGAGUAAGGAAUAUCACCCAAGUAUAUCUAGAAUAAUCAUCAACAAUCACAAAACAAUAUCUCUUACCACCAAGGCUUGUAGUUUGUGUAGGACCAAACAGAUCAAGGUGCAAAAGUUCAAGUGGUUUUGAAGUAGAAACACAUUUCUUGGGUUUAAAAGAUACCUUGACUUUUUUCCAAAUUGGCAAGCAUCACAAAUCCUGUCCUUUUCAAAUCUGAUUUUUGGGAGACCUUUAACAAGUUCCUUUUUAGAGAUUUCUUUUAGUAAAUCCAUAUUGAAGUAACACAGCCUUCUAUGCCAUAACAAUGGGUCCUCAUUUGCUACUUUGAGACAUUUGAGAUAGGAGGAAUCAAUUUUUUCAAGAACAACUACAUAUACAUCAUUAACUCUUUUUCCUUUGAAAAUAAUGUUGAACUUUGAGUUAAAAAUGACACAUUCAAGCUUUUUGAACAAUACAAACAGAUUUCUAUCACACAAUUGGCUAACACUUAACAAAUUUUAGCUCAGAUUGUCAACAAGAAGAACAUUGUGGAUAAAUGUUUGAUCAUUCUUACCAACAUCGCCAAUACCAAUAGUCUUGGCUUUGUUAUCAUCUCCAAACGUUAUCUUUUCACUUGCUUUUUACUUGAAUUUAAUGAAUUGUGAUGCAUCACCAGUCAUAUGUCUUGAACAUCCACUAUCAAUGAACUAUUUUGAUUCUUUAGCAAUGUUAUCCUAGUUCACCUACACACAAACCCACAAGAUAAUACUUGGUACCUUUUACAUGUUGGGUCCUUGAGAGUUAGUCUUAUGUCUAACUACCCACAUGCAUCUCAUGUCAUUUCUCAUGUUUUUCUUAACAUAACAGUUGCUAUUCAUGUGACCAAAUUGACAACAAAAAUUGCAUACUGACAUUGGAUCAAUCAAAUGAACAGGUUUAAUGAAUCUGACUUGCCUUCUUCUGUGGAUAGCAAACUCAUUUGUAUUUUGAUUCAGUCUUAUUUGAUGAGUAUUAACAUAAGGUACUGUGUCAUUCUUUUGAAGACAUUUCUGUUGCAAAUGGUGUAACAAUUGACAUAAAUCAUCCAUUCUUUUUCUUAAGCUGCAUUGCUCACUUCUGAGUAUGUCACAAAAAUUUUUCUUUUUGUAAAGUUCAGCAAGCACAUCAGUUUCAGUCCUUUUCAGGUUUUCAUUUUCAAGCUUAAGACACUGAUUUUGUCGAAAAAGAUUUGCAUUGUCUUGUAUUAGAAAGCUAAUUUUCUGCUUUAAUUCCUUGUUUCUAGCAUAGGAUUCUUUCAAGCUGUUAUGCAUUUUUUCUAGAAAAGAAUUAACAUCAACAUUAGAUUCACUAUUACUAUCGGUUUGAGAGUUGCAUUGUGUUACCUCUUCAUCUCCAAUGGCCAUGAAAGCUACUUGAGCAGAUUCCUCUUCUUCUUCAACUUCGCCUUCUGAGUUGCAAUCAUUCCAGGUAAUCUGGAAAUUGUUGAAUUUUGAUUUUCGUUCAACUUUGUUUUCCUUCUUUUUUUUCAUUGGACACUCAUUUGCAUAGUAUCUUGGUUGGUCACAUUCAAAAUAUUUAUCAGUUAGCUGCUUGUUGAACUCCAGUUUCCCUCUGUUUCUGAAGUCAUUAGACUGAUUUGGGAAGGAAUUGCUGGAUCCGCCUUUCCUGAAUCUUCUCUUGUUGAGAAAUCUUUUGAAGCCUCUUGUGAUGAGUGCAAUAUCACUAUCAUCACCUUCCAAAUCAUUUUCAUCCUGUGAGGCUGUUUCAUCUUCAUCUUGUGAAGCUUUCAGAGCAAUACUCUUUCUUCCUUUUGUGUCUUCUUCAUCCUGCAUCUUAGAUUUAAGUUUCAGUUCAUAAGAAGUUAGAGAGUUAAUAAGAGAUUCAAUGGAUAAAGAAUUUAAAUCCUUGACUUCAUCUAUGGCAGUCACUUUGCUUUCCCAAUCUUUUGAUAGAGCAUUCAGAAUUUUUCUGUUCUUUUCACCUAGAGAGUACUCCUUCUCAAGCACCUCUAAAUCCUUGAUCAGAUCAUUGAAUCUACAAUAUAUUUUAUCGAUAUUUUCAUGAGACUCCAUCUUAAAAGAUUCAUAUUUAGUGAUCAGAAUGGACUUUUUCUGUUCUCUCACAUUGUCACUACCCUCAUGAAUUUCUCUUAGCUUAUCCCACAUUUCUUUGGCAGAUUUACAUCCUUUUACUCUAAUUGACUCAUUUGAGUCUAAGGCGCUAUAAAGAACAUUCAUGACUUUGGCAUUCAAUGUGAGAUUGGUUCUAUCUUGAGCAUUCAUCUCAGCUCUUGUUUUUUGCCGCAACAAACCUGUUUCUGCAUCAAGAAAGUUAGCAUCAUGCGGUCCUUCAUUCACAAUAAACCAUAGCUCAAUAUCAAUGGAUUGCAAGAAAAUAAUCAUUCUUUUUUUCCAACUAACAUAAUUGAAACCAGUAAACAUGGGAGGGCUAGUGACAGAUUGCCCCUCAACAAACAUGGCAUGACUGGUUGUCAUCUUUACUCCAAACCGCUUGAACUUAAUCUCUAAGAGACCAAACUCUGAUACCAAUUGUAAGGAUCGAAAACAACCUAAGAGGGGGGGUGAAUUAGGUUUUCAAAAACCAGCUAAGAUAUAGACCACCUUUUUUAAAGCUUACCUUUCUUUUCUCAAAAACCACCCAAUGGAUCAGAUUACAAGAGAGCACAGGUAUUCGUGAGAUGAAGAGAAGAACAGUUUAUAUAGAAAAGCGGUAAAUGAAAAUAGAGAAACAAACCAGGCUUCAAACACAACUGAGAUUUGAGCAGCACUUUUAUAUACCAAGUUAUUUCAAGUUGAACAAACUUGCAACCAAUGUCUUGUGUACAAGGGAGGGAUCACUUUCUUCUUGCCCCAAACCACACUUGGUCAAGUAAGGAAGUUUACAAAACACUCGAAAAACCCUCACUAUGCUACACUAUUGAAGCAACUGUGUCACACUUGAAAAACUACAAGAAGAUUGCACAAGCAAAGAGUACAAAUGUUCCUUUUGAGUAUUCUAACACUUGAAUCACUCACGAUCUGAUGUAGACUUGAUGUGCAAAAUUCUUCUGAGGUGGUUGACUUUGUUCUUUUUAUAGGAGACCAGAAAAUUCUUCAAUUAAUGCUGUCAACGGGUAGAAGACAACUGAAGAGUCAACUAGCCAUUGGUGCUGUCGGACGUCCGAUGUUUAGUUUUUUAUGCAUCCGAACGAGAUCAAUGAGUUCUGGAAGUUUUCUUGAAUCUCUUAGGACGUCCGAUCCCUUAUCAUUAUGCGUCCGAGGGUAGGUUGCACAAAUGAAAUUUCUUUUUCAAUUCUUUCGGACGGCCGAUGCGUCCAGAGUGUUGCGUCCGAAGAGCAGCAACGCUUGUCGGACGUCCGAUACUCAGGUGUUGAGCGUCCGAUCGUUAUCAGUAAUCAUAGAAGCCCUGGCUUAUCUUCUUCGGACGUCCGAGUCUGAAUUCUUCACACGUCCGAAGAUACUCAAAGGAUGUCGGACGUUCGAUACUCUCCUUUUGUGCGUCCGACAUCAUCUUCAGCACUCUUCAUCCUUUUUGAUCUUCUUUUUUGCUUUAAAUCCACAGACCUGUUUGGUGUCAUUUCUGAAAAAGAUCUCUACAAAAAGUAUUAGUAACAUCCAUUUGUUUUGUAAUCAUCAAAAGAUAUGAAUUGAGAUAAACACGAAAUUUGUCUAUAUCUAAUUGUUACUACUUUGAUUUAAUAGUCCAUAAAUAUUUUCUAAUCAAUAUGAAUUAUUUUUUAAAUUAUGGUAAAAUUUCAUCGAUAUCCUUCUGUAUGUUGUAGUUAAAUUGAUUUUGUUUAAAGUCAAUUGAAUUUGCAUAUGUUGGACAAGUUUAGUAAAUUUUAAUUUAGAUUAUUAUUUUUUAUGUUAUAAUUGUAUUGUUAUUAUGUGUUGGAUCUUUAUUUUGUAGUGUUUUUCUUCUUUUAUAUCUUGGUUAAUUUUGGGCUAGUAGAUAACAAAUUCAACAAAACCAAUUAUAUCCAAUUUUAAUAUAUUAGAUUGGUAAUAUGCUAAUUAGUCAUCUUGCGCUGGAGUUGAUACUAAAAUGUUAUAUUGGUGAUGUUGGCUACUGCAGUUAGUAAGUCAACUUCAAAUAAUUAAAAAGAAGAUGGUUGACCAUUUUCGUAGGAGAACUACCUAUACUCAAAUUAGAAUUAAAGACUUUUAAAAGAAGUAUGAAAUCUUUUUAGGCUCAAUGGUUUAUAAUAUCUAGUAAAACAUAUUGAUCAUACUUUUUGUUGGUUCUUUAACACAUACUAUUUAAGUUACUAUUUGAUGAUAAAAGCAAAAUUUUAUGAAAUAUAGUUUUAAUAUUAUUUUAAAUAAUGUUCUUUUGGAAGAAAUCUUAUAAAUACUUUUUGCCAAUAUUGAUGAAAAUUUUUGUUAAAAUUGUUGUUAAAAACUCUAGAUAAUAUAACUCUCUUUUUUAUUUUUUAUCCUUGGUUCUCUUUCUGCCAUUCUUCCAAAGAUUUAUAAUUUAUUCAUGGGAUAUUUGGCCACUUGUAUGCAUGACCCCAUUCAAUAGCGGUAAAAAGUGAAAAACUUGUAAUGUUUCUUUCGUUCCUUCUGCAUAGAUUUGGGAGUGUAGUGCAAUAAGAUAACAUGAAAUAAACAGUUCACACAAAAUAUCAGCCACUCCUAAUCUACUCCUAGAGAUAAGUGUCUAUCAGUCAACACAAAAUAUCUCUAGAGUCUAUCGGUAAGAAUCUUAGUCAGUCCUCCUGUGGCUCUAGUUUUGGGAUUGGGGUCUUGGAGGCUUGGGUUUGGAUUUUGGCUUUGACUUGUGCUUGUCCCUUGGGUUUCGGCUUGGAGCAUUUAAGGUCUCAUCUUCAUUGUGUCCAUAGUAGGAGGGAUCAAAUGGAACUCCUCCAAACUUAAGUUGACGGUUACAGGCGUGAGAAUGCAGCCAUGAUUUGUCAAACAGAUUACCACAAUGACUGCACUCAUUCAAUUUCUCCAGAUUUUUCUUUGAUCUCUUCUACCCCGUUCCGUAAUGCUUAUCCAGCACCCGCACAUACCUCUUGGGCAAAUCAAUGUGAUAAUGUCGCCUCAGUUUCUCCAGAGAAGGAGAACACUGAAAACGGCAAUGAUAAUAUUGAAAUACCCUAUCUCUAGCUUCUUCCUCUUUUCAUUUUUAGAUUUUUUUUCUCUUCUUUGAGCAGAAGGAUUUUCAGCCUUCUUCUUCAGCAUUACUCAGUCUUUACUUCCCCUGCCCCUCAGAUGCAGAUUCUUUAUCCCCUUCAUAUGCAGACGGCCAAAUGCAGGAAUAGCAGACCCUCUCCUGUGCUAUAUUCCAUUUAAUUGGAUUUAGGAUUAAAAAGAAUUUUGCUACUACUUUUAAUAUGUUUGGCUUUACCAAACUUUAUAUUGUUAGAAGUUUUUUAAUAACUACAUAUGAUUUUAAUAAAAAAAAUACAGAUAUUUUGUUUGUAUCAAUUGCUCCCUUCUCAACUUCUUUUUUUUUUUUAAAUUAAAAGAGUUGAAAAUUCACUAUGAUUCAACUUACGUGGAGUUGAAACAAGUGGAUGAGAGGCGAUAAUAAGGAAUAACAUGUGUAAAAAUGCAACAAUCUCAUUGAUGGUAAUAGACCUUUCGAAAACCAUAGAAGUACUUGUACAAAAAAAAAUAAAACAUGAUGAUAUGAAGUAUUACACUUUUAGAGGUUAUAAGAAAUGUGAUGAGGUGGAGAUCUUCAAUGCUGAAAUAAUAAUUAAGAUUUAUUUCACUUUUAUUUUUCUUAAAUAGCAUAAUCAAGAGUCAAUUGCUUAUGCUACUCGUUUCGGUAUAAAUAAUGAUCAAUAAUUUUAUUUUGUUGGUAUUUGACUUGCCCAAAUUGGGUGAUGAUAGAUUUUACUGGAAGUCUCUUUUGAAGAUAAAUGUGAAAAAUUAUUCUGCAUUUUUAAAGAAAAUUACUAAAUACAGGGGAUGUUAAGUGAUUUGCUUGGGUCUGAUGUUAAUUUCGGUAGGCUAGGGUGUUCAUUAUAAUUUUGCAGUAUUAAGUCUUGACUCAUGUAACUUUUGGAUUCAAUAUUAUUAAAUAUUAAUGUCUCGACUCAAUAAUUUCUAAAUUCAACAUUAUUAAUGUUUUGUGUCGUGCAACUUCAUAAUGUAAUGUUAAUGUGUUAAUGUGUUGGUUUAAACAAAGAUAUUCUUUCAUAUCAAUUUCUUUUGUUGGGAUCAUUUUCAUUUAAUUUUUGUAAUAAAUACAUUAAAUUUUUUAAAAUUUUGAUAUGCUUUCAAAUAAUAUGAUCCAAUGCCUUGGAUAUAAUAAAAAAUAUAUCACAUUUCUAUAUCCAAUUUCAAAUAAUAUUAUGAAUUUAUGACUAUUAAACUAAAUUUGUCUAUAUCUAAUUGUUACUACUUUGAUUUAAUAGUCCAUAAAUAUUUUCUAAUCAAUAUGAAUUAUUUUUUAAAUUAUGGUAAAAUUUCAUCGAUAUCCUUCUGUAUGUUGUAGUUAAAUUGAUUUUGUUUAAAGUCAAUUGAAUUUACAUAUGUUGGACAAGUUUAGUAAAUUUUAAUUUAGAUUAUUAUUUUUUAUGUUAUAAUUGUAUUGACAUUAUGUGUUGGAUCUUUAUUUUGUAGUGUUUUUCUUCUUUUAUAUCAUGAUUAAUUUUGGGCUAGUAUAUAACAAAUUCAACAAAACCAAUUAUAUCCAAUUUUAAUAUAUUAGAUUGGUAAUAUGCUAAUUAGUCAUCUUGCUUUGGUGUUGAUACUAAAAUGUUAGAUUGGUGAUGUUGGCUACUGCAGUUAGUAAGUCAUGUUCAAAUAAUUAAAAAGAAGAUGGUUGACCAUUUUCGUAGGAGAACUACCUAUACUCAAAUUAGAAUUAAAGACUUUUAAAAGAAGCAUGAAAUCUUUUUAGACUCAAUGAUUUAUAAUAUCUAGUAAAACAUAUUGAUCAUACUUUUUGUUGGUUCUUUAACACAUACUAUUUAAGUUACUAUUUGGUGAUAAAAGCAAAAUUUUAUGAAAUAUAGUUUUAAUAUUAUUUUAAAUAAUGUUCUUUUGGAAGAAAUCCUAUAAAUACCUUUUGCCAAUAUUGAUGAAAAUUUUUGUUGGAAUUGUUGUUAAAAACUCUAGAUAAUAUAACUCUUUUUUUUUAUUUUUUAUCCUUUGUUCUCUUUCUGCCAUUCUUCCAAGGAUUUAUAAUUUACUCAUGGGAUAUUUGGCCACUUGUAUGCAUGACCCCAUUCAAUAGCGGUAAAAAGUGAAAAACUUGUAAUGUUUCUUUCAUCCCUUCUGCAUAGAUUUGGGAGCGUAGUGCAAUAAGAUAAUAUAGAAUAAACAGUUCACACAAAAUAUCAGCCACUCCUAAUCUACUUCUAGAGAUAAGUGUCUAUUAGCCAACACAAAAUAUCUCUAGAGUCUAUCGGUAAGAAUCCUAGUUAAUACUCCUGUGGCUCUAGUUUUGGGAUUGGAGUCUUGGAGGAUUGGGUUUGGACUUUGGCUUUGACUUGUGCUUGUCCCUUGGGCUUCGGUUUGGAGCAUUUAAGGUCUCAUCUUCAUUGUGUCCAUAGUAGGAGGGAUCAAAUGGAACUCCUCCAAGCUUAAGUUGACGGUUACAGGCGUGAGAAUGCAGCCAUGAUUUGUCAAACAGAUUACCACAAUGACUGCAUUCAUUCAAUUUCUUCAGAUUUUUCUUUGAUCUUUUCUUCCCCGUUCCGUAAUGCUCAUCCAGCACCCGCAUAUACCUUUUGGGCGAAUCAAUGUAAUAAUGCCGCCUUAGUUUCUCCAGAGAAAGAGAAUACUGAAAACGGCAAUGAUAACAUUGAAACACCCUAUCUCUAGUUUCUUCCUUUUUUCAUUUUUAGAUUCUUUUUCUCUUCUUUGAGCAGAAGGAUUUUCAGCCUUCUUCUUCAGCAUUACUCAGUCUUUACUUCCCCUGCCCUUCAGAUGCAGAUUCUUUUUCCCCCCAUAUGUAGACGGCCAAAUGCAGGAAUAGCAGACCCUCUCCGUCAGGAGAGGGUCUGCUAUAAUAUAUUCCAUUUAAUUGGAUUUAGGAUUAAAAAAAAUUUCUGCUACUACUUUUAAUAUGUUUGGCUUUCUAAACUUUAUAUUGUUAGAAGUUUUUUAAUAACUACAUAUGAUUUUAAUUAAAAAAAAUACAAAUAUUUUGUUUGUAUCAAUUGCUCCCUUCUCAACUCCUUUUUUUUUAAUUAAAAGAGUUGAAAAAUCACUAUGAUUCAACGUACGUGGAGUUGAAACAAGUGGAUGAGAGGCGAUAAUAAGGAGUAACAUGUGCAAAAAUGCAACAAGCUCAUUGAUGGUAAUACACCUUUCAAAAAUCAUAGAAGUACUUGUAAAAAAAAAAACUUGAUGAUAUGAAGUAUUACACUUUUAGAGGUUAUAAGAAAUGUGAUGAGGUGGAGAUCUUCUAUGCUGAAAUAAUAAUUAAGAUUUACUUCACCUUUGUUUUUCUUAAAUAGCAUAAUCAAGAGUCAACUGCUUAUGCUACUCAUUUUGGUAUAAAUAAUAAUCAACAAUUUUAUUUUGUUAGUAUUUGGCUUGCCCAAAUUGGGUAAUGAUAGAUUUUACCAGAAGUCUCUUUUGAAGAUAAAUGUUAAAAAUUAUUUUGCAUUUUUAAAGAAAAUUACUAAAUACGGGGGAUGUUAAGUGAUUUGUUUCGGUCUGAUGUUGAUUUUGGUAGGUUGGGGUGUUCAUUAGAAUUUUGCAGUAUUAAGUCUUGACUCGUGUAACUUUUGGAUUCAAUAUUAUUAAAUAUUAAUGUCUUGACUCAGUAACUUCUAAAUUCAACAUUAUUAAUGUUUUGUGUCGUGCAAUUUCAUAGUGUAACGUUAAUGUGUUAAUGUGUUGGCUUAAACAAAGAUAUUCUUUCAUAUCAAUUUCUUUUGUUGGGAUCAUUUUCAUUUAAUUCUUAUAAUAAAUACAUUAAAUUUUUUAAAAAUUUGAUAUUCUUUCAAAUAAUAUGAUCCAAGGCCUUGGAUAUAAUGAAAAAUACUAAUAAUUUAUGGUUGAUGACUAUUUUACAGUAGCAUAUAUUUUGAUUGAUUUAAUUAUAUGAAAUUAUGUAAUUAAUUAUAUUAAAUUUCUAUAGAUGGAUACAAGUAGUAAUGAUGAGAUUAUAACGGUAAUUGGUAUCGUCCCUUUGAUUUUAGUAGCAAAAUAUGUAAGUCUUGAAACUUUUAAAAUUUUGAUUGUCAUAUCAAAAUUACAUUGUAUUAAAAGAGAUAAAGUUAGGUAAGAUACAAAUAGCAUAUUAUAUGAAAGUUAUUCUCAUUGUAUAGGUCAAAUUAGGAUGGACCAGGAUAUAUUUUGUCAAUUACUAAUUACUCUCACAAUUAAAUAAUUGUUGUAAUCACCUAUCUAUAUAUCAACAAGAGGGCAAUUGUUGAUAUUUCUACAAAUAAUGAGUUAUAAUUUGAGGUUUUGAGUUAUGAAGGGCUACUUAUAUAGGACAACUGAAACUACAAAUAGGUAUUUUUUCAUUAUUCUUGAUGCCAUAUUAAAAUAUGUCUAUAAUUAAUAUAUAUAAUUAUCAAAUGGUGAAAUUGCAAUGAAGAACUAUAAUAGUUGAAGAAUUUACCAAAGGUUUGUUGCAAGUUUAGUUCUUCGUUUAAUUAACUAAUCAGAUAUUAAUAGCCAUUAAUAAUCAUAUAAAUUAUAAAAUAGAAUUAUGUAAUGACUAUAGAUGGGGGCGCAUGUUAUUACAAGUGUAACCAUAGAAAUUUAUUAAAUAUUAGUUAAUUUUUAGAUUUUAAUUUCAGCAACAUCUUAUGUGAUAAGUUAUUGUAUAAGUAAUUUGAUUUGUAAUUUGAAUUCUAAUUUGAUAGGAUUUGUAGGAUAACUUCUAUAUAAACUCUCAACAAUGUCAAUGAUAUUGAAAUAUCAUGAAUAACUACAUCCUUUUCUAAAAUUUAUCAUUGUAUUAGAGUUACAUCCAUAGUUUUGUGUUGGCAAAAUUUCUCCAUCACUUGACUUACAAUGUCAUAAAGUGAUCAAGAAGAAUCAGUAAAUAAUGGAAUAAUACUUGAUGGUAUUGAUUAUAUUUCUCCCCAUUAUCUUCAUGUGUUUGACUAUUUUGAUAUGGUUUUGAUUUCCUAAAAUUAACGGUGAAUUUUUUCUUGUUGGAGAAAUGUUGUUAAAAUUACUUUUGUAGCAAAAAAAACAUUCUAUGCUUUAUUGAUGGAAGGACAAUAACCUUGGAAUCAUCUUUCCCUAAAAUUAUGGUGUAGAAAGAUUAUAGUAAAACGAUUAUCUAUUGAUGAUAUUUCAAUUCCUUUCAUGGGUUUCUUCAUUUUGCAAUUUUUCUCCUUUCACAUUACCUCAAGGGUAAUAAUUCAUGUCAUGGUUGAUUUUUUUUUUCUCAAUGGUGCUCUCCAUCCUUUUUUAUAGGUGUAAACUUUUAUGCCUCUCUUGAGGGUGUGCAUUUAUUCCCUUUAUUGGGUAUUUACUUUUUAAUUUAUAUUGUAUGUUAGUUAUUCUCGCUUGCAAUAUUUUCAAUGGGUUACAUACCAUUUCAAUUAAUAGGUUAUAUUCCCCUUAGGAAUUUCCUUUUAAUAGUGUAGUUGUGCUUUUCCACAAUAAUGAAUCUUCAUCAUUUUGAAAUAAUAUCAAGAAUCAAUAACUUGAAGAGAUUCAAAACACUUAGUCGUGAUCAAUAACUUGAGGGAAAGUAUUGAAAAUUAGUUAGUUAUUAUUUUAAUUUUAACAUCUUUUGUUACCAUUAUCUUUGUAGGGCAACUUUUAUAUAAACUCUCAACAAUGUUAAUGAAAUUGGAAUAUCAUCAAUAACAACAUCCUUUUCUAAAAUUUAUCAAAAUUCAAAGAAGAUUUCGAGGUUGAAAAGGUAUGCCAACUCGAAAUAUUUUAUAUAUUAUUUCUUUUGAUAUCAAAUUUUCAUAUUUGCUUACGUAUUUGGAAGGAUCAGCAUGUGAACCAUGUUUCAAAAAAUGCUUUUACUGGACUAGGGAGUCUACAAGUAUGCCAAGAUACUUGUUUUAAUUUAUUUAAAUCACACAUUUUGUCAAAACACUAAUAAAUUAUGUAAAGACAAUUAUAUUUCAAUUUUAGAUAAGUAUAAUCUUGUAAAUAUUAGGAAUGACAUUCACAAUGGGUUUUUUUCCUUCCUAUCAUUGAAUAUUGCCUAAAAGAUAAUGAUGAUGAUCUCUCUAAAAAUAAGAAGCACUUUUCAAUUUUCACAAUUCUUCUUUGCGAAUCACUAUUAAAUGAACCCUUAUGGUAUUUAACAAAUUGAAUUAAGAUGAUGGACAAUAAUCCAUUUUGGGAUUCUAAAACUCAAAAGGAUGUGGGCUAGUAUAUGUUAUAUCAUAUAUAAUUAACUUAUUAGAAUAACUUAAAAUGACAAAUUCAUAAAUGUUGUCCUUCAAGAGCAAUAAUUGCAAACUCUAAGUGUUCUAACUAAACAAGGAUCUCAAAUAUAAAAUGAGAGUGUGUUUUAUAAAAUAGAGAAUGAACAAUGAACAAAAAUGCAAUUGUACAUGCUAUAUAUGCAGAUUAUAUAUAAAGAAGACAUCCAGAUAGUGGUUGUACUUUCAUUUCUUUUUUAUUUUUUUUUUCAAAAUUUCAGUUUCUUGAAUUUGUUAGCAUAAGUAGUAAAUAGAUGCUUGCAAUUUUAGAUAGUAUUUUCUUAGAAAUUUUACAAAAUUUUAACUAUUUCAUAAUUUCAAAUAUCUAACCAUCUUGUUAAAAUAAGCUACAAGAGUGUAUCCAAAUUUAGACAUUCUAAAGAAAAACAAGGAAAAUGAAAAGGAAGCAAUGAUCGAAUCUAAAAGAUGACUGUGAUAAAAAAAAAGAGAUAUUUUGACCCUUUUCAUAGUGAUACAAUCUAUUUUAUUAUUUCUUUUUUCUUACUCUUAACAAAGCAAAGAAUGAAGGAAGAAAUGAUCGAAUCGAGAAGAUGACAAUGUGAUAGAAAAAAUAAGACAUUUCGACUUUUUUGUUGCAUGGUGAGACAAUCUAUUUUGUUACUUAUUUUUUCUUACUCUUUCAAUAACAUAGAAGAAAUUUUUUACUGUAUUCGAGUUCUAUCAAUUCAUGAUUUUCUAAGAAUGCCUUUGCUAUGAUAAUCAAGUCUACGCACCUUGAAUAUGAUUAACUAUUUAUUAUUAAUAUAAAAUAUUUGCUACAAUUUCAAAGAUAGUAUCAUCAAGCAGUUAUUUUGUUAUUAAAGUCUAUUUACCUAUUAUUUGUUUGCAAUUUAUGAUAAUAAUUCUCUUGUUAAUAUCGAUGGUCAAACUUGAUUAUAAUGGAUAGGUUAGGUUUGAGAAAAUCUAAAAUCAACACAAAGUGAAUAAUUUGACAAUGAAAAGAAUAGUUUUAACACUAUUAGAAAUGCAAACAGCAAAGAACAUUUUUGAGAUUUGAAUACUUUAGAGAAACAUUUAAAGCUUAUGAAUUUUUUUUUAAUAAAAUUUUUCAUAAACCAAAGCUUCUAUUUUCCAACAUAGUAAAUUUCUAAUAUUUCUAGGUAUCAUAAAGAUAUUGACUAAUUUAUCACAUUUCAAACAACAUAAACAAAAUUUUUACCUUUUUACAAUUUUUUCUUAUGAAAUGAUCUACUACGUCAAUGUGUUUGAUUUAACUUUAAGUUAAAGCUAUAUGCUAUAAACGUACUAGUGUUAUAUUUGAGUGGACAUGAAAAAUGAAAAUAGUAGUGUCAUAUAAAGUAAAAUUAACUCUUGUUACACUAGGUUACUAAUUAGCAAAAAUUUAGUUUUUCCACUCUUUUUUGACUUUUCUUUCCACCUUCUUGUUUCCUUAUUUGUCUUGUCUUAUGUGUUUGUGUUUUUGUUUUUCUCUCUAUUGUCAAAUUUCUUGUACUUUUGCCCUACAGUCAACCUCUAAUAGCAACCAUAAUCUUUUAACCUACUUUGUUUCAAUCUUCAUUUUAGAAUGAAGUUUGCCUUUUUUUAACUAAAAAAAAUGGUAGGAAUGACCCAAGUCUUUUUUUUUUCUUUGUAAGUGGGAGGUCUUGAAUUCAGGGACUCUUACUUACAAUCUCUCCCACCUUACUAUCCAAGUCAACUCUCCUCCUACGAGAAAUAACCCAUGUAGACACCAAAUUUUUAAUUUAGUUUUAUUUACUAUUAUUUUUAUUUUCAUUGAUUAAAUGUUAAUUAUUAUUCAUUUUUAGUCUCUUAGUCUUUGUUUUUAGAUUUUUUUUUGGAUUUUUAAAUUUUAUCAAAAAAUACAAAAAAUAAUAAUAAGGAAAAUGUGUGAAUAUGUGUAAGCUUGCAUGUGGGACAAGUGUUCCUUUGUGUCUUUGACAACACAACACCUAGAGGGUGAGGUGUUGGGAUACUUGGUUGGCUUAGGUAAUUUUGGGGGAACAAAAAUCAAAAGGAAAAAAGGGGUUACGGCUAGAGAGAUCUUUGGGGGAGGAAAAAAAAGGGGGCCUCGUCUGAGAGCAAAGAAAAAAAUAACAAAAAACAGAGGAAAAGGGGCGGCGGACGGAGGGGCGGAUGGGCAAGAAAAGAAGGAAAUAGAGAGCUUCGUCUGAGAGAAACGGAGGAAGGAAAAAAUAGGGGAGCUGGGGAAGAAAUCUAAAAAAAAAAAAAAGAAAGACAGGGGAGCAACUAAAGCUGUUAAUCGAGCUGAGUCGAGCCGAAUAUUUGGCUGCUGAGCUCGACUCGAGUUUAAUUCGAGCCGAGCUCGACUCGAGCUCGUUAGAAAAAUGAGCUUUAAAAUGUGAUCGAACUCGACUCGUUAAAUAUACAUGUGGCUCGAGCUCGAGCUCAACUCGUUUAUCACAAACGAGUCGAGCUUCACGAGCUUGAGCUCGAACUCGUGCAAAUUAACAUUAAUAAAAAUAAAUAAUUUUUAAUUUUUAUAAUUUUGAUUUCUAAAAUGACAAAUAUGCCUUUCAUUAACGAACUCUAACGAGCUACUCGAGUAUCUACUCGGCUCGUUAACUAAACGAGCAUGUUUCGAACUCGAGCUCGACUCAUUAACCAAAAUUAACGAGCCGAGCUCUAACGAGCUUUCGACCUACUCGAUUGACUUAACAACUCUAGGAGCAACGCAUGAGAAAAACAGAGAAAAGGGAAAAGGAGGAAAACUGGGAAAUUUGAGAGGAGCUCUUGAGGGCUGGAAACAAAAGAAAGGUUUGGGGCAGAGAAGAUAGAAACCAGAGAGGAAGGGCUUCGGCCGAAAAGAAAAAUAGAGCAAAGGAGAGGAAAGAAAAGGGGUGGCAGACGGCGGGUAAGAGGAGAGCAACAAGAAAGGGAAAAUCUGGAAAAUUGGGAAAGAGCUUCGGAACAAAAACGAAAGAGAGCAAGAGUGAUAGAGGGAGAGAGGAUGGAAAAAACUAGAAAAACAAGAAACCAAACGAAGGAAAAGGGCGGCGGACGGAGAGGUUGAAGCUAGUUGCCAGUUCUGGAAUUUUCCAUUACCGCCUGCAAACCUUCACCGAGAAAGUAUUGUAAGUCAUCUUCUUCCUUUCAAAAUUUCAUUUUUUCUCUUCAAGCUCAGAUUUUCGAAGCUCUCAAAGCACGUUUUUUUUCUAAAUUGGUUCAUUACGAUGUUUUGCUGAUUGUACACGAUGUUGGAAUAUGGAUAUUUUAUAUGUUGAUUGGAGUUGAAAUCCCUUUUGUUGCUGACAAUUUUGGGGCCGAUUAUAGUUUCAAAGGAACAAAGAAUUGAUGAAGUUUCUGAUACCCCUAACCUGUUUGAUAAAAUGCCCAAACAAGAAUCUCGAACCAAAAGAGUACAUCUUAUGCAUUUUCUGUUUGCAUUCAAGAGGAACCUGGCCAGUCCAAAGCUGGCCAGAACCUGUGCAUUUCACCAGUUGGGGAGGGGAGAGAAGCCAAAUGAUUUUUUGAGUUGUUUUUCAUUGUUGCUGCCUCUUGUAUCUUGCAAUGGUGUGGUGUUUUGCCCUGUAAAGCUGUUGGGUUUUUGAAGCAUCAGAGGUUGCAGAAGCUUUUCCUUUUUAGUUGCAUCGAAGAAGAAAGCUUCUGCGAAGCAUGAAGCAUAAAUUUCUGAAAAGUUGCAAUUUAACCCCUUAUUUUCUGUCUAAUUUCAUUGUGGCCCAAAAAGAUAAAAAAUUGAAAUAAUUUGGCCCUUUUAAGUUUUAAUCCUCCUUUUAUAUCUUCAGUAAGUUGUUGGGUAGAUUAAUUCUGAGAUUUAUGGUAUGAUUAGGUUCUAAUACUUUUUAGUUAUCUUAUUAUUUUGUUGGAUUUAACAAAAAUUAGUUGAGAAUUGGAUUAGGUUUAAUUCAAUUGGGUCUUGAUGGUGCGUUUGCCUGUUUUGAUUGGGUUUUGUUUGUUUAUUUCCUGGGUUUGUAAUUUGGGCUUGGGGUUAAAGUCCAUGCAUUUUUGUUGGAUUCACUUGAUAAAAAUAAUAGACUGGCCUGCUCCUUUUGCCUUGGACUUUGGGUUGGGUUUGGCAAGCUUGAGCCCAAGAAAAUGGGGAAAAUGGCCAAGCAGCCUGAUCCAUUAAGAGACCAUAAAAUGAAUUUGCAAAUCAGUCCCUAUACUUCUAAAUAAUUAUGCUAAAACCCUAAAAACUUUUAACCUCUUUCAAUUAGGUCCUUAAUUUAAUUAUAAAUAGAUCCCUAUAAUUGUGACCUAGGAUCUUUGCAAUAAUUAUAAUUUGAUCCCUAAAACUUUGUUAAUUUUUACAAUUAAGUCCCUACUUGUUUUAAUUUCUUAAAUGCAGGUUGUUUACAUUCAUUUACAUGAUUUAAUUGAUUCAAUUUCAUGUUUAUUUUCAUCUUUUAUAAUUACUUGUUAAUUAAAGUGAUGCCUUGACCCUUUCUUUGUUUUUGGAGGGUGUAUAAGUAAAUUUCUUUCAGUAUGACAUAAAUUCAAGGGAGGUACACUCUAUCCCUUAUUUCUGAUAUAUUUGACCCUAUGUACACUUACGUGCUUUAUGUGUGUAAUUGCAUGAUUUUGAAUGUUUUAUUUCAUUUUCAUUCAUUUAUUUCUUUUGUUAUUUAAUUUUACUUCAAUUUUAUGCGCUUAUUCUAAUGUAAUUAUUUGAAAGGCAUUCAAAGGCCAAAGUUGUAAUAGUUAGGGGUUUAUUUAUUUUUAUUCUUUCCCCUUUUAGAUUGUAGUAGGGCCCCCCAAUUGUAAUAGUUAGGAUUUUAUUUGCUUUAUUUGCUUGGUGUGAUUUGUAUGCUUGUGUGCUAUGUGUUACUCGCUUUCUUAGGGCAUUACAUCUAGAUAUCAUGUUUAUUUGUUAUGUGCUUUAUGUGAUUUAUGUGUUUAUUUGCUUUAUUAUGCUCUAUCUGAUUUAUUAGACUAUAAUAAAUACAUGUCGUUACCACACUAGUCCAACGCUAGUCGUGGUCCCUUUUUACGAUUUCUCGCUAGUCCAACGCUAGUUGAGACAUUUUUCUCGAUUUUCCACUAAUCCAAUGCUUGUAGGAAUUCAUAGAUAUGAGCUAGUCCAACGCUAGACCUUUAGGGACCGUCCACGCGUUAGAUCAUGUUUGUUUGAAUCACUACAUUUCAUGCAUGUUUUUCAUCUUUUAGGGUUUUUACCAUGUUGCAUGACAUUUUCUUAUAUAUGUACAUCAUUUAUCCCAUAUUCCCUUCUAUUUAUAUCUCCUAUUCCGUAUUUUCCCUUAUAUGUAUAUUCCUUACCCCUCUGCAUGAAAACAUAAUAUUAGACUUGCAUUUCAUUUAAAAAAUAGAAUUAGGGUAGUGUAUUUGCUUGAUUAGAUAGGGAAACACCCCUUAAAUAUGGAAUAUGGACGAGUUUGGCUUUCUAGUCUUAGCACGCUCGUAUUCCCUCUAUAAAAGGGAAAAUUGAAGUCACGAAUAUUAGUCCCCCGCACCCGACAUGAUGCAUUCCUUUAGGUCACGUAUAUUUGUAUAAUUAUUUUUAUUUUCCUUUUCUUUUCUUAAAGUCUCAUAUUUUUGCAUUAUUCGUGACCUCUCCAAAGAGUCCGCAUUGGGCAUCAUAAUUAAUGUGAUUGGCACCAAUUGAACUUUGAAGAGAAAUUUGACCCCCAG